AAGUUAAGGUGAGGAUUAGCCGUAGGUAAUCGGGAGAUUGAGUAGCGGAGGAGAUCCAUGAGGUGCCUCAAUUACAAGAAAGAUGGUUUUGGAUUUUAUUUUGCCUUUAAUUGGUGCCCCGCCGGUGAUGUACAACACCUGAUGCCCGCGUUAGUUGAAUUAUUGGCGGAGGUUUACUCAGGAUAGGAGUCGCAGCUCGGGCGAGGACGGCCAGUUUGUGUCUGUUGGUUGGUGUCCGGACUUUUUCAGACUUCAAUAAAUCUAAAGCAUUUUUUGGCUUUUGCAUUCGAGUAAUUCAAUGGUUUGGAUCGGUGUACAGUUUAAACCAAGGGUCUGUUUUGUACCCUUGUUUUUGUCCAUUUUAGACAAAAGAUCCGUGUUGCUUAGGUGUUUUUGGACACGAGAGCAGAUCCUCCGUCCAAUUUUUUGUGUCCAAUUUCCUGUCCAAUGUGAAACUACGUAGUUUCAUUUAUUACAUCUAUUGGUGUGGCAACUAAAAAUAGGUGGCUGUUUGGCUGCCUUAUAUUUCUUUUUCUUUCUAACGGCCCUAUCAAAUAAUUUCCAUUCACCGUGAAUUCCUCCAAAGCAAAACCACUACAUAUUUCUUGUUGCCAACGUCACCACUACAUGAAAGCGAAGUUUGUUCGACUAACAUCAAUCUUUAGUGUAUGAUGGGGGAUGAACGUUGAUUGCAUCUAAAAAUUCUCACCGUGAGUGUUUCAAUGUCCUAAUGCAUUCCAUUUCUUCCUUGUUAAAAAUUGCUUUGUUGAAGAACUUCCUUCGUCUUCUAGGCGGAAAAUGGUGGCAACAGGUUUUGGGAAUUAUAACAGUAGCAAUAGGAUUUUGGGAAUUGUAACAAAGUUAUGUAAACAAAGGAAAUCCAAAAAAGAAGAAAGAAAAAGAAGUAUAAGGCAACCAAACAGCCAUCUAUUUUUAGUUGCCACAUCAGCAGAUGUAAUAAGUGAAACUACGUAGUUUCACAUUGGACAGGAAAUUGGAAGAGUUGAGGGACUUUGCAUCCACAUCUUUGCAUCAUGUAGGAGAGUCACGCCGACUUGCAUUUUGCCCUCCACACGUACCACAGGAAAUUCCACUAUAUGCUGAUUCAUGUCGUGUUCAGCGAGCUCCAAGAAAUACCCACGGAAGUCAGCAUAGCGGUGGACGACGUCGUAGACUCCGAUCACCAGAACCCGCCAUACAAACUGGAUUCCAUGGAUGUUCGAUGGCUACUGAGGACCAAACUGGCACAUCUACUUUUGUCACACCUCAGACUGAAGUUAUGCAUGAGAGAGGUGUAUCGAUUGGGCAUUCUAGGUCCCCUGUGACUUUUCCAGAGUUUACGACCGAUAGGGACUUACAUCGGUAUACUUCUGAGUAAUGUGAAGGAGGUGAAAGCACAAGCACUCAAAUUCAAGAUGCUACACUGUUGACACAUAUUACUCAAGUUCAUACAAUAGUGCCAAACCAACCACAUCAAAAUCAAAGAAUACCCAAACCAACAACAUGUGGUACUCAUGAAAAAUUUGGGCAGCAUUAAUGGCACGCUACUUAUAUCGUUAUUGUAUAAAUAACCUAACUUAUGGAUUGCAUACUUUUUUUGUGACAUUUUGUAUAUAUUCUAAAAUUUCACGAAUAUGAGUGGAACAAUGCCAUCACGCGUAUCUUAUUUCUCACUUUAUAUGAGUACUCUUUUAAACAAAACAAAAAAAAAUGGCUACAUAUGUAAACCAAAAAAGGUAAACUAUACUAACCUCUCCUCUAGUUCAUACACAGUAAGUUAGUUACAUGUCGAAACUUCUCGUUAAAAAAAUUAAACAUACUAUUUAUAAUAUAUUUAUAAAUUGUUAUUUUUUACCUUUUGUUAUUCAUAGUUUGUUUCCCCAUUAAAUAUAGGGAACAAACUUUAAUAUUCUCAUAUGGGCAAGUUAAAAAUAAGAUUCCAAUUUUGUUCAUGAAAAUUAAGCCCUAACUUAUUAACAAUUUAAUUUAAUUUUAUAUUGACCUUGAAAAUAAAGAAGCAAGAUGUGUAGUUAUUUCGUUUGAGGAACAAGUGUAAAAAGGGAGGUUUUCUUACCAAAUUGUGCUUUAAGUGUUUAGAAAUCCCAAGCAUACAUACAAUAUUGCAUUUUCAGUAUAUUCAAGUGAGUUUUGGUGAUAACAUGUUUAUACAUGCUAAUGGACUCAUUUGAUGUGCAUGUAAUUUCCAAAAGUGCCAUUUUUGUGUAAAAAUGUAAAAAUGAUCAAAGAACCUCACCCUUCGAUUUGCAAUGUAGAUGUGUGUUUGAUGUGUUUUAAGAGAUUGGAUAUUGUACUUUUGGUAUAUUACAUGUGCAUGGAAGGUUAGAAUUCAUAAAACGUUUUUCCAACGCGUGUUUUGGAAUUGGCCAGAAAAAGGGAGAAAAAAUUUAAAAAAUUGCAGUUUCUGCAAUUAGUGCAGAGAAAUACAGAUCCGAGCUCGGAUCAUAAGUGCCCAGACGGAUCCGACCGCGGAUCCAUUGAUCCGAGCUCGGAUCCAAAAAUUUUCAUAUAUAUCCGAGGGCUCGUCUGUGCUUCUGGCGGUGCGGAUCCGAACUAUGUCGCAUACGAGGGCUUUCAGUAACGAGCCGAGCUCGGGUCGGUUCGCGGAUAUAACAGAAACGAAGCAUCGUUUCUGCACUUUUCAAAAUUUUCUUCCCUCUUUUCACCGAACCCUAAUCCUCUCGCUCUAAUCUUCCAUUUCAUCCAUUCAUUCCCUAAUCUUUCACCUCAAAAUCAUUUUCCAACAUCUUGUGAUCAUAAACCCUCAAAGAUUUCAUUUGAAAAACAUCAAUUUUGGGGGAUUUCAAGUGUUAAAACUGAAAGGAGGGCCGAACUGAAAUCUUCAAAUUUGGAGCGAAUUUGGACUGUUUUCGUCCUCAUUUUUGCAACAAUAUCUUCUUCUAUCAUCACUCUACACAUUUGAGGUAACAAUUUGCAACUUCUUUUGAGAUUUUAUAUUUCCUAUUUUUGCAUUUUUCUAGUUUUUGGGGAUAUUGUGAUAAAUGCAUAUUUGUUGAAAUUUCUUGUUAUAAAUGUGCUACAUUGUACUAGAAUAUGUUGUUACUACUAUUUUUAUACUUAGUAUGGAAAAAAUUGUGGAUUUGGUGAUAUUUUUGGUAUUUUUUUUAAUUUAUUAGGCUAAUGGCAAUUUGGUUCUUUAGGCUUGUGAAUGUUGGUUUCCAUUGAAUAUAUAAACUUGUUUUGAGGAGUAUAAGUCACUAUUGUACUAAUUAAAAAUGAUAUGCGAUUAAUAGAAUCAAUUCCAUUGGGUAAAAGAGUGUGUUUAUGAUUAAGUUUAGCACAUUCAAUUUUUUUUUUUUACUUGAAAUCUCUUAUCUCUUUGAGUUCAAUUGUAAUUGUUUUGGUAAAUUUGGAGCUCAUUCGUAUGCACUUUAUUAAGAAUGGGUAUAGCCAAUUGUGGUGUGAUUCGUGGAUAAAGUUAUGAAUAUAUCGGCAUGUUCAUUCUUGAAAUAAUGGUUGAAGUUCAAAUGAUCGAACUCUUUGAUAAGAUUCUACCUGAAAAUAUGCAAUUGAGUUUGAAAUGAGUUAAGUAGAAUUUUUGGUUGUUUUUUUGGUACAUGUUGGCAGGGAGUUUAGCCAUUUUAUAAGGGGAAACUCUGCUGUAUUUUCUUAAAUUCUAUGUGAGCAAGUUUAUAUUGUUCUAAUGAACGUUCAUCUUGUUUUUAUAUAGGAACUAUGGCUCGCACAAGGUGGGCUCGUAUUCAUACUCCUACACCAUCUUCAAGCGAGAAACGCACUCCCUCACAUGAAGAGUCGUCUGAGGCAGAAUCUCCUUCGCCUGAGCCACCACCUCGAUCUCGCCGGAAGACCGCAUCCACUAGCCGCGACGAGACGCUUCCAAAUUAUGACACCACUGGAUUCACGUCACUCGAGAAUCAACAGUGGUACGAACCAGGCUUAGAUAAGGAAAUUAUCAUUGAAAAGCACCUGGCACCAGAGGUGGAUGCGCACUACCACAUCUCUAUGGCAUUCAAGAGACUCGGAUGGGAGAACAUCCUUCAAUUGCCCAAUCACUACUACCCCAACCUGGUCCGGGAGUUCUACGCCAAUGUAGAAAAUAAACAGAGUCACAAUGGCAACCUCAUCGUCUCUUGGGUUCGAGAAAAGAGAUUGGCUCUUAACCGGGAUACAGUCGCCAAAAUCAUCAAAUUCGAAGACGAAUGAGUGGAUGUUAAAUUGACUAAGGAAUUCACGGCACGCGACCCUUGGCAGGUGGGAGAAGCGGUAGCAUGUCUAAAGGGUCAAUAUAGGGAGCGAAAAAGUUCAAAGAAGCUCACCGUAUAUGCUGACUCCUUCGAGCAUAGGUACCACUUGAUCUUCUAUCUCUUCGCCUUCAAUGUGGUACCCAAGAGGAGUGAAAAACGAGAGCUCCGCAAUAGUGACAUCUACUUCUUGGAUAAGAUGAUGCAUGGUAUGGGUGAGCAGUUGACUGGUAUUCCUUUGCCCAGCAUCAUCAUCAGUUACAUGCGGACCACAGCUCGCAUGAGGGCUGGCGAGACUUGCUUUGGAUUCCCUCGACUGCUAUCCCUCAUUUUUUAGAAGCUCAAGGUUCUUCUUGGAACCGAGCGAGCCAUUGUCACUAGGUCCGCCGACGAGGUUAGUGCCUCGAUACUCAAAUCCUUGAGUAUCUUUACAGAUUUUGGAGCUACUCUGGUUCGAGACACUGGAGAAGUUUCAACUUCUGCUCAGCCCCCACCUCACACUCAACAGGAACCAGAAGCUCAAGAGACAGGGGCACAGCAGACUCUUCCUCCACCUGUUUCACGACCACCACCUCCGCCGCGAUCCAAGUGGCAAGAGCUCCUCAAUGCCAUCUGCUGUAUGGAGACACGAGUCGUCGAGCGCAUUGACCAGACCGAGAGGAUGAUGACAGAGCGACUCGACAGACAUGAUCGCCGUUUUCGUGCGAUCGAGGAUCAUUUCCAUAUCCGCCGGUCACCUACUCCGACGCCUCAGCAGGAGGAGGGGCAUAUUGGUACAUCACAGGGUCCUCAUGGAAAUGAGGAGGCAGUAGACCCUCGUUCUGGGCAGCCAUGAAGAUCUUUAACUGAUUAUAUCUUUUGUUGCUAUAUUUUUCUUUUAUUGUGUUCGGUUUAAACUUUGUAGUUUUCAUAUUGGAUUCUCUUGUGCUACUCAUGGUUUUUUGUACUCUUUUGUUUCAUUGUGAAGAGAAUUUGGAUGAUCGUGAGGAUUAAUGGAUUCAAAUUGAAUCACCACUUAUUUUGAGAGAAGUUUCAGUUUCUAUUACCUUCUUCACAAUGAGGACAUUGUUAAAUUUAAGUGUGGGGGAGGGAUUACUUUAUCUUAUGGGGAUUAUGUCUUGAAAUGCAUGAUUUGAGUUGUCUAUGGCUUAAAAAUGUUGGAAUUUUAUUUGAAAAUGUUGUUUUGUGGUUAAUUUUCUUGAAAUUGAGGUUGUUGACUGGGAGUUUUGUCCAUUUUUAUGGGAAAACUCUGUAAAAAAUUUUUAAAAUAUUUUCCAAUAUUUCAAGUUAAUGGCCAAAAUGUUCAAUUCUGUGAAAUUGUGAGUGGAUUAAUGAGUGAAUUAAAUGAGUGGAUUAAUGCAUUAAUUUUAUGAAAUUGUGACGGAUAUCGAUAUAUGAAAUUCAUGCACGAGCUGAAAGAAGUGUAAGGAUUGUCCAGAGGAUAAAGUACAUAAGAAAUUAGGAGCAAAAAUGAAGGAAAAAGGAAAGAAACGAAAAAACUGAAAAUUUAAUGGCACGGAUCCGAGCUCGGAUCCGUGAGACCAAAGAGAGAUCCGAUCCCUCAUCUGUACUUCUGGAGGAGUGUAUCAGAGGUCAGAAGAUCCGACCCCGGAUCCAUCAUGGGAAGUCCUCGGAUCCUAAAGAUCCGAGCUCGGAUCUAUAUUCAACCCUCGAAUCUGAGGCUCGGAUCUGUCUCUCUCUUCAGUAAGUGGCACAGUCGUUUUCCUUUACCUUUCUCACAACUUUUCCAACUAUUUUGAGGGACAGAAAUCGGUGGGACAUGCUUCUGCAACAAAAGAGAAGAUCAAAUGAAUUGUAGGCAAAAGAAAACAUCAUAUCUUUGGUUCAGCUACUGACUACAUUAGAGAUAGCACUCAGGGUUUGAAGCUUUUAGGAUUCAGGGUUUUAGGGUUUUAGAGAUCAAGAUUUAGUGUUUUAGGAGAAUAGCACUUUCGGGUUUAGGGUUGUAGGAUUUUACUUUGACAAUAGUGUGCCUUCAUUAGGACUUUAGAUUUUUAAUUAAAAUAGUAAUCCUAUCGUGCCAUUAAAAUAUUUUUUAAUGGAUUUUAAUAAACCCAACAACCUUGAUUUAAUGUUUUAGGGUUUACAAGGAUUUGGUUUCUAAGAUUUACGAUUUAGUGUUUUACGGCUUUAGCACUUAGGGUUUUAGGAUUUUUGCAUGACAAUAAAUUUGCCUUGAUUAUCGCUUUAUUUUUUUAAUCAAAAUAGUAAUCCUGCCAAUAACUGUAAAAGGUAAAACACGCAAGAUUUAAUCGCUAGAUAUUUGAUUUAAUUUUUUUUCUUUUCCUUUUCAACUACUAAACAAAUAACAUGCACUUCAUAAAAAUAACUUAUAUAAUUUUUUUAAAUAACAUUGCGUUAUGAAAUUUCUAAAAUUACAGUUGAAAUUGUAACAGAUAUUAAUGACUAUUAACUAUUAUAUUCUUAUAACUAAUAUUCAUCGGUGUCAACAAAUAAAUACGAUUCAUUAAUAACAAAGGAAAAUUAGAAUUUGAUAAAAAAAAUUUAUUUGAUAAAAAAGGAAAAAAAGUAGAGCUCAAUAAGUAGAGCUCGCAUUCCGCUAAUGCGAGCUCAAUAGAGCUCUCUGCUGAGCUCGCAUUCGGGAAAUGCGAAGACCCCCCUACGAAAUACCUCACCAAAAUCACCCCUUUUGUAGAAUUUUUUUAAAAUUUAUCACAAAUUUGGAAAUUUCUCCGCUUUUGCUACAUACAAAUUCAUAAUGCAGAUUAACGACUUCAAUAAAAUGUUAUAAGCUUUCCCCUACGAACAAAGAUUCUUGAAUUGGAUUUUGAGUUCCGUCAACUUCCUUGCUUUGUUAAUGGGAAUAUGCUUAAACUACCUUACUUUCCCCAUACUCCAACUUUUCUUUGCAAGAAUGCGUGAAUUGCUGGGCUAGUCUUCUCAGUUCCUACGGAAAUUUUUACUUCUGUUGCGUCCGAAAAUGUUCAAGUGUUGCUCACGUUGAAUUUUCAUAUAACUUAAUUUAACCGUUCAUGUCCUUCACCAUCUUUUGUACGUCUACUCGUGGGCAAGCAUCUCUUAAAGGUGUUCCUUGCAUUUUUGUAAUGUGGUUAAGGUCACAUAUUUCUUCCCUUCCUUUCAAGACCCUUUUUGCAUGGAAUGCAGAUUUUUCUUCAUAAAUGGUCUUCAAGCUUAGCCAUUUUCACAGUUUUAAGCGCUCAAGUGCUUUCUUCAUCAUUCUUUUGAAGUUAAUAAAGAAAUUACAAAUCGUCAAGUCAGAAAAAAAAAAAAGAUAGAGGGUGUAAGAUGAAGCUUAUUUUUACUAAAUCAUUCGGAUGUGGAAGAGCAUUGCAGAGGCCGGUUGGGCUUAUAGUCAGAAAUUGGCACAAAGAACCAGUUCUGGUGGCAUGGAAGAAACCAGAGAUUGGCUGGACUAAGUUAAAAUUAAGUGGCACUGAAUUUUUUAGACAAAAUUUGUUCUAAAAAAUAAGUGAUAAGUUAUUCACUUAUCACUUAAUGUGAUACAUGUACACUCAAAAUGCAUCACAUUUAGUACUUAACAAUUCAAUAACAGAAUAAAUUCAGAUUUCAGAUACCAAUUUCAGUUUUGUCAAACGUACCCUAAAACCUUCUCGACUAGCUUAAUCAUUAUUAAGAUGCUCUAAGCACUUGUUUAAAUGUGUAUGUGCUCGCCUGCACUCCACAAGGAAUUAACUAUUGUCAUACAAGAAACUAUUUCUUUUGGCAUAUAGGGAGCUGCGACUUCAGCGCAACAUUAUCCAGAUUUUAAUUAGAAAAAAGAAACCAUUAUACUUUUCAAAUUUGUUACGGAGAAAGAGGCGGAAUUCUCAAUUAUUGAGGGCAGUAAUGCAUUAUAUUUUCCAACGUCUAAUCUGUACCUAAAAGUGUUACCAGCGGAUGGACACGGGAUCUUUGCUUCUUUCUUGAUACAUUAAUCCCAUCUGAUCAAUCAUGCCAACUUGGAUUUGCUUCAUAUACAUGGAUACAUAUGUAUGUUGGUACUCACGAAAUCACUCAGAUUUAGGUAUAAUCGAAAAUAAUAGACUAAUGAUAUCAAAGCUAUUUAUAUAAAUAUGUAGAAAUUUUUCAUACUUAACCAGAUUUAAGGCUUAAUUUUGGGCUAUAAUUUCUGUGAUAUGAGGUUCCGUUGACAUCUUUACAAUAAUAAAACCUGUGUAUCUUUUUCAAAUUUACCCUUAUUUCUAUUAUUCAUUAACUCUUACUUCUAUUAUCCAUUAAUCUUUUAUCUCUAUUAUCAACUGACACACAGACCUACUGAAGCAAAAUUAUCUCCCUCCCAUUCUCACGUAACGGUUCUUUUACUUCCAAUUGUACAUAUUUUCGGUACAAUACACUUGCACUAUUUUUGUGACUCUUUCAAUUAAAAAUAAUUUUUGACAAAUUGCACACGCAUAGAAUCGAAUGGUGUCUCAAUAGCUAGUUUCCUACAUACGGGGAAGAAUUUGUAAGACUGCUGCUAGGUGAAACUAUGGUAGUGGUUGGAAGGUCAUCAUCACAUUGGUCUGAAAUUAAGUUAGGACUUUGAGUGGAUAAAUGUUAAAAGGCCUUCAUUUUCAUGCCCGGUUUUGGUCGGUGACAAUCCCUAUCAAGAAAAUGACCUCAAGCAGCCGAAGACACGGCUCCAGCAAUAAAGACGAACAACUACACCAAAGCAAACAAACGUUCGAGGAAAAUUUGUAGGACCAAGAAAUCAACUUAAGGACUAAGGUUGUUAACCCAAUUUCCUUGCAUUAUUUGCAAUUUUCAAUCAUGCACAUCUUGUGGGGGUCAAGCACUACUAGUGGAUCUCGGACACCAAAGAAUUAGCAGUUCAUUAUUUUGUGCUUGUUUUUUUUAUUUUUUUUUAUGGUAGUUUUGAGUUUGAAUUUCGAUUCGAUUAGACUUAAAGAUGAAAAGGAAAACCUUUUUAAGCUCUCGGUUGCCAUUCUAAGCUGGACCUAGCUUGGUUGCCAGUUUUUCUAUCACUUCCAAGCAAAGCAAGGGCAAGAAGGCGAGGUUGGGAAUCGCAGAGAAGCUCACGAACCAAUCAAUGCUCUUUGUGAACUUACAUGUAGUUUAGAUUGAAUAAUGUUCCUAAGUAUUUGACAGUACAAAAGAUGAGUGAAUUUAAAAUAGGUUUCAUCCUCAAAUACCUCCCUCUAAUGUUAUUUUAGUGGUAAAUUACCCUCCGUGUUCACGAAUUACACAAAAUAUCCACUCUAAAUUAUGAAAAGAUAGCGAUGCCCUUAUACACUUUUUUUUUUUUUUGACAAUUUUAACCUUUUAACACACAAAAAAAAAACUAAAUUUCUAUAUCAAAUUUAACAUUUUGGCUCCAAAAAGGAUGUACUACUUUUUCAUUUACAGAAAAACUGUUAUAUCAACAGAGGUAAAGUUUCACGAAUGAUUAAGUUAAAUGUGAAAAAUAGCUUAUAGUUUUUUUGGUUAAAAAAAUAAAGCAUCUAGUUUUAAUCUUAACAAAAAUUGUCUAUUUCUUCCUCAUACUCGAAACUCAAGAAAAAGCAUGAAAAUUCAUUGAAAAAAAAUAAAACUCAAAAUUUACAAAAUAUUAAAAUUUUAACUGGAAAAUGUUUCUUUUAGUUUUUCCUUCUCUUUCCUUCUUUUUUUCCCUUUACGUCUCCAAAAAAAAAAAGAAUUAUAAGCUGUUUUUGGCAUCUAACUGUAUCGUUCAUAAGGUUCUAUCCCUAUUAAUACAAAAAUUCUUCGUAAAAAAUGAACAUAAUUUUGGAGCCAAAGGGUUGAAUUUGAUAUACGAAUUUCGUUUUUGGCUGCCUAAAGGUCAAAACUAUCAAAAGAAUAAGUGUUUAAAGUCAUGAAUAUCUUUUCAUAAUUUAGAGGGAACAAUUUAUAAGCUCAAAAAGAAUUGCAAUAAAGUGGCAAACCUAAAUUAACGGGUUCUGCAAGCCUCAUUUGUUUUUCAUCAUUAUAUAGAGAAUCAAUUUUAUGACCUAUUAUUGGUUAAAUUAAUUUUAAGAAAAAAGUGCUAAUAACUUUUUCAAAUAGAACAUUUGGAAAUUUUAGCUCUUCAAUGGAAUUUUGCUCUAGUUUUGCUCUUACUAACAAUAACAACAGAUCUUCUCCGGCCAAACAAAAUAUAAUUAGAACGAAAAUGGGCCUAGUGGCCCCGUUAUAUACUCUCGCUAAAACAAGUGGCCAUGGGCCUUCCCCUCGAAAAAGAAUAAAUAGCAGAAAGACAGGACAUGGCCCCAUAAUCCGCUAACAAACUGCAGAGGAUAAAAGCAACAGAAAUUUUGUCCCACCACAGGUCCGCAGGAGAAAGUAUCACUAGGCCCAGUUGAGCAAGGCCAUCUGAUCCCCUCUAAGGAGCUGGUAAUUCUCUGUUAACUGAGUUGGUCAGAUAUGAAGGCCUUAAUUUUAAGUUUUAAGGGCGUAAAGUCCCAAAUAGUUCAGAUUAGACACAUAAGAGUUAUACGCUUGGUAAGUAAGACCUUUGGUGAGGAAGUUCCAGCAGGUUUCUGUUUACGACGCCUAAGGUCCAUAAGUUUAUGAAUAUUGGUGAGCUACUUUUACCGCAGAGCCCAAGUCUAGUGCCCGAACAAGGCCCAAUUUCAUUCCCCUAUAGUGUCAUCCAUAUGAGUUGCAUGAAUAAUUAAUUUUACAUAUUAUUGAUUAUUAUCAACUUAUUUUUAAGCAUUAAGGAUCCACCAAUAAUGUGAGUUUAUUUUUUCGGACAUGCUAUCCCAGGAUCUACAGAGGUUACGUAGAGCCUUGAGGAGUUGAAUAUUAGUAUCGAUAAUGUAAGCUAAUUAGUAAUCUAAGCGUGAUUUGUUUUUAAUUAGUUUUAAAAAGACUCUAAAUCUUAUAGUGGAAAAAAGCAAAGUGGAUGGCAGAAUACUUUGAACUCCACAAGUUAGGUGGUUCUAAUGACUCUUGUGUGCAAUUACACCACUAUAGAGAAUUUCCCAUCUAAUUCCUAAUUGGGCAUAAACAGGACAUCUAACCAUUGGAUUACGGUUAGGGAGGGACUUAAGACUCUCCUGGUGUAAUUAAGCAGAGGGUCCUACAUCACUUGGGAUUCUCGAUGACAUGUUUUCUAUGCUAAUUCAAUGCCACUUAUAGUAUUACGCCAAGUGUCAUGUUAUUAUUUACACUUGUGUUAAACCAAACCAAGUUGAAUUAUUAGAAAAUUAAAGUGUAAAUAAUAAUAAGACACUUGGUGCAAUACUUUAGGUGACAUUGAAUUGACAUAGAAAACAUGUCACCGAAGUGGGAUCCUGAGUCUAGGAAAACAAAAACUACCAUUCCGCAUUGGAACAUGGCGAGCAGAGACGCAAGUGAACAUGUUAACAAAAUAAGAGCCGUCAGUCUGAUGCGAAUGAUUUGCUUUUGAUACGAAGAAUAUGAGCCAACUUUCCUUCCUUGCGUGAACAAUAACUCUUCUAAUACGUAUCUCAAAUACAAGUUCAACUUCCUCCAGUCCAUCUCAAGAAAAAAUAUACUGCAGAGAAAGGACACUAUGGCUAGCAGUAUUAAAUUAGGAUCCUAACAUCAUAUCUUAGACUAUGGCUUGGAAAAGUUAAUCCUUAUUCGUUUACAUUACUGUCAUAGAAUUUUCAGUAAGCACUUACACUAACCCUUUCACUCUCGUACUUAAAAAAAAACUUAGUUAAGCAUCAUAUCUUAGACACUCAUUGGACAAUUAUAUAUGGUUAGUAGUAUUAAAUUAGGAUCCUAACAUCAUAUCUUAGACUAUGGCGUUGAAAAGUUAAUCCUUAUCUUAAAGCCUAUAUUAUGGCUAGCAGUAUUAAAUUAGGAUCCUAGCAUCAAGUCUUAGACUAUGGAUAGAAUUUUCAGUAAGCACUUACACUAACCCUUUCACUCUUGUACUUAAAAAAAAAAGCUUAGUUAAGCAUCAUAAUUGUAGGUUCCUCCAAAUAAAUUUGGUGCGUAAUUUUUCUUUCUGUGCAUACAAUGGUAGGCACAAAUUAACUUAUAUUUAUAAUAAUAUAAAUUGUAGAUUCCUCCGGUUGCUAAUAAACAUGUUCCAACGCAAUAGGAUCGAUUAUUUCGUACGUUACUUCUUUACAAAUUUGGAUUCCCAUUUUUUCGCGCGGAGAAGUCCAAGAGUCUUACGCAACAAAAUUCCUUUUUUCUUUUUUUUUUUUUAACUAAUAAAGAUUCGUUCAUAUAUAGCUCUGUCUGGCAUUCGAUCACCGUUAAUUGGUCAAAUAGAUACUAACAGAUUCUGAAGAAAGAAGUGAAUCUUUUUUCCGUGUGUAUUCAAUUCCCUUUUCAUACUCAGCAGUCAAUACAAUAGAGAGAAGAAGAUAAAUAGUGUGCCAUCAUCAUUCUCCUCUCAAGUCUCAAAAGGCAGGCAAUCUCAGCUGACCAUCUUCUGGCUCUGUUCGUAAGCUUUCAGGUGACAAAACUUCAUGCAUUGUCAGUUCUUUCAUGGGUUUUGGUUACUAUUUUUGUCAGUUUUGUUUGCUGAUUGUUUUUGUCUGGUGUAAGGACACCGAUAUCCCUUUGUGGUGAAAGUGUCUUAAGAAAGCGAUUUCGUGUUUUAUGCGAUGGAUGUGUCUGUUUCCUUGAAUAUUUUAGAAUCCCAAUACUUCCAUGACAAUGGUUUUUAUUUAAUAUAAAAAUUGUCAGAAAAAAACACUGAAGUUAUCAAGUUACCGUCUGCAGUAGAGCAGCCAUAACAAUGGCGGAUAUGAACGGCUCUCCAACGCCUGCCAGGCUCGAGGUUUGUUCUCUUAUUCUACUUCUUCUUCGUCGGCAUUUUUUUUAACAGGCAUUGAGAUUUUAUUAUGUUUUCUCAGAGUGCCAAUUUUCUUGAAAUUUGGCUUUAAUUUCAGGGGAAGUUGACUGCAAUUGUGGUGUGUUGGGUUCUUGGAUUGGGAACCCUUGUUGCUUGGAAUACUAUGCUGACCGUUGGAGACUAUUAUUAUGCAUUAUUCCCGGUAAGUAGUAUCUCCGGCAUUGUUUUUUUUUCGAAUCAUUCUAUAUAAAUUCGUGGUUUGAUUAUGAGAUGAAUUCAUGGUUUCUUCCUUGAGCAAAUUGAUAUAUGUUUCUGCAAUUUCUCGGCCUUUUAAUUUUCAAAGCUGGCCUUGCCUUUCAGAGGACUGUGUUUAUGGGUAGAUCAGAUCGAACUUUCUUAAUGAACCAUUGAGCCCUAAAAGUUGCAGAGACCUUUCAACUUCUCCAAGGAACACAUGAAUACAAAAAUGGCCACUAUUAUCAUGAAACUUUCCCGUGUUUAUUUUCUAUGACUGAUUCUCCCGUGAACGGAAAAAUGGCCACUGGAGGCUGAAAAUUACUACUGCUAUCUGAUUUUCUUAUUUUACUAUUCUUUUCCCUUAUUUUCAGCGGUAUCAUCCUGCAAGGGUACUUACCCUUGUUUAUGAACCAUUUGCCCUUGGAACGAUUGCAAUACUUGCAUAUAAAGAAGCUAAGAUUGAUACAAGGAAGCGUAACUUGGCCGGGUUUACUCUUUUCUUCCUGAGCACAUUCGCCCUCCUUAUUGUAAGUUUGCCAUUUUGCAAAAAUUGCAGUUCUUAUUUCACGUUUCUUUUUCUCAGCUAUUUCUCUUUAAUCCUGGCUUUAAAUGUUUUCACUUUUGGCAGCUAAGAUUAGCCACCUCAGGAAAAGAGGAAUCGGAAAUUACAUUGGUAUAUGCAUCAUUGUUGCUGUUUUUGGCACAGCAGAUGCCCAUAUUGAAGGUGGAAUGGUUGGAGAUCUCUCCCUCAUGUGUCCCGAGUUCAUCCAAGUAAAAGAUUGCUGCAUACCAAGUUCCUUCUACCUUUCUACUAAACAUGUUCAUGAAGUUAACUAUCAUUCGUUGUUCUUGGAAUUACCUUGCAGUCAUUCUUUGCUGGUCUAGCUGCCUCAGGGGCUUUAACAUCCGCAUUAAGAAUGAUGACAAAAGCAGCCUUUGAUAAAACAAAUCAGGGUCUCCGCAAAGGCGUCAGUAUGUUCUCUUCUUUCCAACUACAUAGAUUUAGAAAAUGUUGUCAUGUGUUUUUGUAUUUUUGACCUCCUUACUUUUUCCACUAUCUGGAUUUAGACCUCCCUUUCUCGGAUUUGGGAGGGUGGGAGGGAGGGAGGGGACUGAGAAUACAGGGAUAUAUGUUCACAUUAAGUUGGUCCAAAUGGGAUAAUUCAUGCAAAUUCCAGUGAUAGAUAAUACCCAGAUAUGGUCACAUUAACUUAUCGAACACAGGAUGAUUCGUUUAAGUAUCAAUAUAGAUGGAGACUAUGUGGAUUUGGCAGUCUCUCUGCAGAGUUGGUCCUAGCAUAAUUAGGUACAGCAUCACAGGCCAAAUCAGAUUCCAAAGCUCUGCUGUUCCUAUAAUUGAAAAGACACUGCACAACUGUUGGCCUUCUGAAGUUGUAAAUGAUCAGCUUUAGUUAGCCUAGUUUUUCGAGUCUCUGAUUAUGCUUAUUUUUAUGAAACCUGCAUACUAAUCAUUAGUCCCUGUUUGUACACAAGAACUUCAAUUUGAUCAAGAUCUGUUGGACAAUUCUUCAAAUUUCUAAGAUAUAUAUCAGUGUGUGUGUGUGUGUGUGUGUGUGUGUGUGUGUAUGAUGUUUCUAAUAUUCUGGCUUUGAUGCUUGUGCAGUUCUAUUUCUGGCCAUCUCCACAUUCAUUGAGCUUCUGUGUAUUUUCCUCUAUGCAUUCGUCUUUCCUAAACUACCUAUUGUGAAGCAUUUCCGUGCAAAAGCUGCAUCGGAAGGAUCAAAAACAGUUACUGCUGAUCUUGCAGCUGCUGGAAUCCAGACACAGGCAAGUCAGGAGUACAAGUAAUUUUUGGAUCUAAUACUUGAACUUUUACUGUCUAGCUUGUAAUGCUGAGAAAAUCUUUUGUUGUCUGUGAAGGGUGAUAAUGAUGAUAAACAGUUGAACCGGCUGAGCAACAAACAGUUAUUUUUUCAAAACAUUGAUUACGCAUUGGGCGUGUUUCUUACAUAUGUCCUCACUUUGUCUAUCUUCCCUGGAUUUUUGUACGAAAACACUGGGAAUCACAAAUUGGGAUCAUGGUAAGUGCUCAUUUGUCAAUGAACUAUGAUUUAUGUUCUAUGAAGUUUUUGAACCAGCCAUGGAGUUAGAUUGCUGUGUACAAAUUUUGAAUAGGCAUUGCUGAUAGGUGUUCACGUCUCUGUAGUAGUUACUAUCAUUAUCAUUUUUGUUGGUCUUAGGAUUUUGUUGCUUGAUGCGUUGUUUUUCUGUAGAUAAGGAGUCUCUUUGCUAUACAAAAAACGUAUUUAUAUUGAAGUUGAACGCAUGAAGAUUCACCACAGUUCUUGAAAUACUCAUCUACAGCAGAUAAAGCCUGCAAAAUACUUAAGCUUAGGAAAAACAACAUCAGCAGAAGAUUUAUAUGCUCUUUCCUUUCCUAAAGAAAAUGAAAUUACCUACAGAGAAAAGAAACUGAAAUCAGUUUGGAAAAGGAAAAGAAAGGAAAAGUAACUUUUGGAUACUUUCUGAAAACAAAACCCUUAUGACAGAUUAAUCAUCUGCUAACAUCGAGUUCCACCAAAAUUAUUCUGCUGCAGGUAUGCUAUCGUUUUGAUUGCAAUGUACAAUGUGUGGGAUCUUAUCGCUAGAUAUAUUCCUCUAAUUGAAUGCCUCAAGAUAGAAUCAAGGAAAGGCCUUAUGGUGGCAAUAAUAUCUCGUUUGCUGUUCAUCCCUGCAUUCUACUUCACUGCAAAAUAUGGUGAUCAAGGAUGGAUGAUAAUGCUCACAUCCUUACUGGGAUUAACCAAUGGCUAUCUUACAGUCUGUGUCUUCACAGCAGCCCCUAAAGGUUACAAGGUUAGUGCAACUAUAACUGAAUUAAUUCAUUCGUUUUGAUACUGUUUAUCAUCUAACAUGCUUAAAAUGCAUAAACUUUGUUGUUUCAUAUAGGGUCCAGAGCAAAACGCAUUAGGGAACUUGCUAGUACUAUUCCUUCUUGGAGGUAUAUUUGCAGGUGUAGCCCUGGAUUGGUUGUGGCUUAUUGGCAAUGGAAGUUUCUGAAGGUGCAACACUUGUAUUCAUCCCUGCAUUCGAAGUGACACUUCCCAAUUUCGAAUAAUGAUGCAUACGUUGCUGAGAUAGGAAGUGGAAUGAAGAUAGUCGAUUGUUACCAAAUGUUAGAUGAUAGAUGUUUUAUUUAUAGAAUCUGUUGUUCAAGGUUUUGGAAAGGCAUCAUUUCUUUUCGUCACAUGGUUGAAUUCUUGAAAAAAAAAAAACCCGGAUAGUUAGUACUUUGAUAAAUAUAUUUUACCAAUGAAGAAUUGUACAUAGAAUUGAAGUACUAGUUCAUUCUGUUCUUUCAUUCGACUUGCUCCAAAAAUAUGAGAAUUUCUUUUUUAUGAUGAUUAGGUCUUCUCUCACUUGCUAAGCUUGAUGCUUUACAUUUGUACUACAAAGAUUAAAAGGAAGAGACCAAAAAAAAAAAAAAAAAAAAAAGAGGAUAGAGACAGAGAGAGAAUGAGGAAACAACUCGUAGAGCUGUUAAUCGAGCCGAGUAUUUGGCUGCCGAGCUCGACUCGAGUUUAAUUCGAGCCGAGUUCGACUCGAGCUCGUUAAGAAAACGAGUUUUAAAAUGUGUUCGAACUCGGCUCGUUAAAUAUACAUGUGGCUCGAGCUCGAGCUCGAGCUCGACUCGUUUGUGAUAAACGAGUCGAGCUUCACGAGCUCGAGCUCGAGCUCGUGCAAAUUAACAUUAAUAAAAAUUUAUAAUUUUUAAUUUAUAUAAUUUUGAUUUCUAAAAUGACAAAUAUGCCCUUCAUUAACGAGCUCUAACGAGCUACUCGAGUAUCAAACGAGCCGAGCUUACUCGGCUCGUUAACUAAACGAGCAUGUUUCGAGCUCGAGCUCGACUCGUUAACCAAAAUUAACGAGCCGAGCUCGAGCCUUAACGAGUCGAACUCGAGCCUUAACGAGCCGAGCUCUAACGAGCUUUCGAGUUACUUGAUUGGCUUAACAGCUCUAGAAACAAGGGAUGAGUAGAGAGUCGCAAAAAUUUUUCAAAUGAAUUUUGAUACAAGGCUAAAAAACAGAAUAAAAACAUCCAAAGUUCAUCCCUUUAUACAUUUUUAAUCAAAGGUCUACAUUGCUGCUGUCGAACUACGUUGCUUUCAUCUCUUUAUUUAUAAUCUUAAUAAGCAAGAUGGUCUAAUGCUACAAUGUUUAAAUAGAAAAUAAAAAAUGUAGAAAGUUAUCCUCUCCCUGUCAUUAUUGUCGUUUUUAUCCAUUUUGUGUCAGCAAUAGGACCCUCAACCCACUUGCUUGAUUUACACUAACCAAAGAUUUUCUCGACAAAUGAAAGAUUUUCUCGACAAAUGGUAGAUUAUCUAUUCCUACUUCAUUGCACACUUUGUAGUAAUAUGUCAUAAUUAUCUAUUCCUACAGUCCUUAAAUUUCGUGCAAUUAGUAAUCACACGCUACAAAGUCAUCGAACACCUUCAGUCAACCGAUACACGUCACAUUCCACACAAGAAAACUUCAACAAAUAAGUAGAGAUUCUUCCCUUCCUUUACGGAAAGGAAAAGAUUGAAGAUUCUUUCCAUGGGAACAGCACUCAAAAAAGAUUCUUAGCAUUUCGACUCCCCCGUGCCCUUCCAAGAACGCAGUCACAAAAGAUUCCUAAAAGUUCACAAAAUGCCACUCUUUUAAAAGUAUUCAACCUUUUAUCAGUCUACUUCAGUGUUUUCAGAUUUUGCAUUGGAGUCAACAAUAAACUUCCAACAAUCAUUUGCAACUUGCAAUACCAGAAAAGAACCAGACUAAGGAGUCACGUAGCUCCCGGCUUUUAAUCUUCAAACAAUUGAUAAGGUUUCUCUUUUUAUUUUUUUAUUUUUUCUGAUUUUUCAUAAUAUUUAGUGUAUAAAUGUUUGAGCUACAGUAGUGUUGCUUACAUGUGGAGCUGGGCCUGCUGUCUUCUUCACGGUCAUUUUUCCUCUGCCUGGUUUUUCUUCCUUUAGAUAUUAGUACUAAUGUUAGUUAUUGCUUUCUGAAGCUGCCAAUUCUACUGGACCAUCAUUUCCAACAAGAAAGGCUCCAAUAGUCUCUCUAAUAUAUCGAACCAAUAAACAGGUUUGAAGUACGAUUCAGUUUUCCAGUAUUAUCACUUGUCAAGGUUUUUCUCUCUGAAGCUUUUCUGUAAUAUGUCCUUUAAUGCAGUGCCAAAAUGUCUUGAUUUAGACACACAACUAUGAAUCUGAGAUUUCUUAUUCGGCCCUUUUCUUCAAAGGGAUUGAAGAUAAGGAGUCUUACUUUUAGUGUUAUGCUAGUUGCAGGCUGAAUUAAUUCUUCGAAAGUUAGCUGCCUGCUAAGAGACGAACAGCUAUGACUGAAGCUGGCUCAAGUGGGUCUCCCACUCCAGGCAGGCUUGAGGUUCAUCCCAACAUUGUGCAUUAGAAAUGGAAUGGUAUUAAUUGCCAAUUAAUUCUUGACUGGAAUUGUUUGAUGAUUGGCAUCAGGGAAAACGUGCUGCGAUGGUAGUGUGUUGGUUUCUUGGACUGGGAUCACUGGUCUCAUGGAAUAGUAUGCUGACUAUUGGAGACUACUAUUAUGCCUUGUUUCCUGUAAGUACUCCUAUGUGCUCUGUAAUCCUUUUUGAUACAAAACACCACUUUUUGGUCUGGCAUGUAUGUUAUUCUGCGCAGUCUUUAGUUCCAAAAUCAAUGAGCUAGGAAUUCUGUGUAGACUUUCAAUUUGAAUUUUCUGAGGUGACUUAAUUUAGAAGUUGCACAACUUGGCCUACUUUUGUUGAAAAAUGAUGAUGCAAUGAGACAUCAACAUGACGAAAUGCCUAAACUGUUGCGCUGAUGGAUUUUUCUGUACUGGAUGUUGGCCCUGCCAUGAAUAAUCUCUCUGCCAGCCUUGAGUUACUACUAGCUAGCAAAACUUGUGGCACAUAAACUGUUGCAGAUGGAUACAUAAUAAAAGAACAUUCAUGAUAAUCUAAUCUGUACUGGUAGGCAAACACUUUAAUUUCCCAUCAAUGAUAACCAAUUUCUAAUUCCCAAUUUUUUCUGGGCCUCAAGGCGAACUGAUCAUAUCUUCAAUAUUUUGCCAUCAAGUUAGUUCAUCUAGAAUGAGUUGCAUUUGGAAGAACUUAACAUUGGUUUUCUCCGUUUCUGUUUGAAGCACUAUCAUCCUUCAAGGGUACUCACCCUAGUUUAUCAACCAUUUGCCGUUGGAACAGUUGCAACACUUGCAUAUAAUGAGGCAAGAAUUGAUACCAGAAAAAGAAAUUUAGCAGGAUAUACUUUGUUCUUUCUGAGCACAUUAGCGCUCCUACUGGUAAGUUUUCAUUUCAGCAAUGUUUAGUAUUCAAUGUCUGAGUUAUUUAUUAUGCAUUUAUUUUGAUGUUAAACUCCGCAGCUAGAUUUAGGCACAUCAGGAAAAGGAGGACUAGGAAAUUAUAUUGGCAUAUGUAUACUUGUUGCUGCUUUUGGAGUUGCUGAUGCCCAUGUCCAAGGAGGAAUGGUUGGAGACCUAUCCUUGAUGUGCCCUGAGUUCAUCCAAGUCAGUCUUAAAAUCAGAUGUUCCAUUUACUCUCUAAGAUUGUAUUUCUUUCAUAUUGUUUAGAAGUACUAUUCAUAGCACACGCGUUUUCAUUUUAAUCUUAUCAUAUGUAACUAUGCAGUCCUUCUUAGCUGGUCUUGCUGCAUCAGGGGCACUCACAUCUGCUUUACGGCUAAUGACAAAAGCAGCCUUUGAAAAUUCUAAUAACGGCCUUCGCAAGGGAGUUAGUACGUAAUUUUCUCUUCGUGCUUUGUGAACUUCCAGGCACUUACAUGUCGUCUCGUUCCUGAAUGAUAUGGAAUUCUGUUUCUCCAAUUUGCAGUUCUAUUUCUUGCCAUCUCGAUAUUCUUCGAAUUCCUAUGCAUUCUGCUGUAUGCAUUCAUCUUUCCUAAACUGCCAAUUGUAAAGCAUUAUCGUGCAAAAGCAGCUUCAGAAGGAUCAAAAACUGUCUCAGCUGAUUUAGCCGCUGCUGGCAUCCAGACCGAGGCAAAUGAAACAGUACGAAAGUUUCUUUUGAUCUAUAUGUCCAAGUUUCUGAUGAACUGUUCAUUUGACACCUUAAGACAGCUUUUGCCAUCCAUGCAGGUCGAUGAUGAUAAAUAUCCUGAGCGCCUGAGCACCAAACAAUUACUCUUUCAGAACUUUGAUUAUGCUUUGGACCUCUAUCUGAUUUAUGUCCUAACUUUAUCUAUCUUUCCUGGCUUCUUAUAUGAAAAUACUGGACACCACAAGUUAGGCUCCUGGUAAGUGAUAAAAUUCUUUCGUGAUUCAACCUGUUAGGUGGUUACCUUUAUCUUAUGUCAAGUAGGAUGAACUGAUCAAUAGUUUUGGAGAAUCAAAUACAGCUAUCCUAUACAUUCAAACACUAAAAAAAAUGCUAUUUAUUCAUCGCUUUGAUAAGUUUUUCGACUUAGACACCUCCAUUUUUUGGUUAUCCAUUAUUACUACUAAAAGUUUAAUUGCUUUCAUUUUACUAUCACUUAGUCCCCUAUUUUUAGCAUGCUGCUCAUACAAAUCCAUGUACAGGCUGUCCAAUUAGCCAUUUCUUGAAUUAAGUUCCCAUCAACCUUAUUUAUUUGAAAGAUUUGAAUAGGGUGGCCCCGGCCCGAUGUAGUAACUAUAUUCACUUCAUUGAUGGUCAUCCCAUCCCAGGUAUGCUGUUGUUUUGAUCGCAAUGUACAAUGGGUGGGAUCUCGUAUCAAGAUACAUUCCACUCAUGGAAUGCCUCAAGUUAAAAUCAAGAAAGGGCCUCAUGCUGGCAACAUUAUCUCGUUUCUUUCUCAUCCCUUGUUUCUAUUUCACUGCAAAAUAUGGUGAUCAGGGAUGGAUGAUAUUUCUCACGUCCUUCUUGGGACUGACCAAUGGUUAUCUCACAGUAUGCGUCCUCACUGCAGCUCCAAAAGGGUACAAGGUUGGUGAAAUGUAGAUCAUCAUGAAUGAGUCUCAAUUUCGUCUUAAUUGCUUGGUUUUAUCAUUGAGUUAAUUGCUUUGGUUUUCCUCUGAGCAAGAAAAUUUUACCAUUUUCUGGUACUGCAGGGACCAGAACAGAAUGCACUUGGAAACUUGUUAGUAGUAUUUCUCCUUGGUGGCAUAUUUUCUGGCGUAGCCCUGGAUUGGUUAUGGCUUAUUGGCAAUGGGAAAUUCUGAGGAGGCAAUAUUUUGAUGAUAUUUUUCCACGAAGCAUCUGUAGGUGAGUGUUGAAUAUUGAUGCAUGGAUAGUCGCCAGGAUGUCUGUUAGGGGAUGUCAAAUUGUAUUUACAAAUUGCUAUAUAUGCUGAAUUCACAACUGAAAUUGUUACGUGUUUUGUAAAUCAAAAACCAAAACUCAAUUCUUCGUGCCUUUCAUACAUAUGUUUAUUUUGGGCUAGGAAAUUAAAUGUGCCUGCUCCAAAAGAUUAUAGUUGGAAUUAUGGUACGGUUAAUUGCACUGAACCAACUCAACUAUUACCUAAAUUGCACUUUACUCCCCUUGAUGAUUUUUAUUGGCACUUAAUUCCCUUUUUUUUAUAUAUUUUAAAGAUAAAACUAUCUGUGCUAUUCUAUUUCUUUCAGUUUUUCUUUUACUCUUUCAAUUUUUUUCAUUUUUUUCUUUUCUUAUUUUUCCCCUUCUUUUCAUGCCACUUGCCACCUCUUUCCCUCUACUACUAUUAGAGUGCUUACACUAGAAUUUUUAAUUUCUUUUACUCAUUCCUUUAUUAUGAUUGAAUAGAUUGUUUAUUUGUUAAACUUCAUUUGUUUUUAUUAUUUAAUAUAGGGGAGGGUUGGGUUGGGUUGGGUGGUAAGAUGGGAGGAAUUGUAAAUACAAGAUCUUGACUUCAAGAUUUCCCACUUACCAAACAAAAAAAGUCUUUAACUUACCAAACAAAAAAAGUCUUUACCAUAAGCUCUAUUCUACCGCACAAUAUAUGUUCAUAUCAUAAGCACAUUUAAUCAAGUUAUUCAAUAAUUUAUUUACACGUAAACUAAUUAGAGUAAACAAUUGCUCAAUCAUUAAUAGUAAAACCAACAUAUUAAUAGCGCAUGCAAGAAUUAAUUGUUAACAAAUUAUUAAUUUUGAAUGCAUUAAAAAUGAACAAAAACAGUACUAACUGAUUUGUGUGCUUACAAUUUUUAUUGUAAUUUAUUCAUCGUUUAUAAGCUGAACUUUCUAUCUGGGAGAGGGUUGGCUUGGUUGAUAAGGGAGGAAGUAUUGCAAGUAGGAGAUCUUGGAUUCAAACACUACCACUUACAGGAAAAAAAAAAAGGCUGUGCUUUGUAUUUAUUUGUUUAAAUAAUUCACUAUCUUAGACUACAUAGGCUUUGCAACGUAAGAAACAUAGAUAAUGUUAUGAUAUAGAUUUUGUUAUUAAUUGUUAAUAAUGAAAAAGGGAAAACUAAAAGACAAGAAAAAAAAGGAAGGAUGAGAAAACAAAAAACGAAUAGGUGAAUAAGAACGAGAAAAGCAAUUAAUGUAGCAAAGAUAAUUUUGUCUAAGAAUGUCAUAAAGGGGCUAAAUUGCCUAUAUAAAAACUUUAGGAGGGUAAAUUACAAUCCGAGGUAUAAUUGAGGAGGAUUUAGUGCAUUUUACCGCAAAUGGCCAGCAUCGUCUUGUUUAGAGCUUUAGACGUAGUUUUACAAAAAUUUAAAAUGUCAGCAAUGAGUUUAAAACUCAGAAAAUCGGAAAGUUAUUUUCUCUAACACAAUUAAGUCUUCACUGAACGUUGAAAUACGAAAUAUUCCUUUUUUCGGACUCCAAAUAUUGCAUCCUGAACAAAAAUGUAACAUCACAGCCCAAAUAUUUUUGCGUGAAACAGUGAAAGAAAAAAACUCAAAAUCUUUUUGGAUAGACAAAUUAAUUUCCAUUUUUUGUGCUAUACUACUAAUUAGUUAAUAAAGUAACUUAGUGGUCUUCUUUGAUCUAAGCUGAAAGACCGAAACAGGUACAAUUGAAGGUCAAUGGUCACCAUCAUGGCUAGCAAUAUCGGCCGAUACCGAUAUGUAUCAGCCUGAGUCGUAACCGGAACGGAGGGGAUCGGUACGAUACCGAGCUCUGACUCAACCGAUAUUGGCCGAUUUGAAUCCGUAAUGUAUGGUAUCAGCCGAUAUAUUGGAGUCACUCGAAUAUUUUUCAAAUUGUGUCUUUUUGGUAUUUUCUAAUUUUAGUAAUUUUUUUAGAUUUUUUGAAAACUUUCAUGUGCUAUAAUGUGCGUAUCAUCCGAUAUUCAACCGAUAUGCCGCGACGGAUAUAGAAUAACCGAGACCGCGACGAGACUGCAACCCGCGAUGGCAAACCGUGGUCACCAUUUGAUAAAAAACUAGUCCACUAAUAUUAUCCAUGCAUGCCCAUGCCCAAUUUUGGUACGUGGCUUUCACGCUUUUGCUACUUACAAAUUCAUAAUGCAGAUUAACGACUUCAAUAAAAUGUUAUAAGCUUUCCCCUACGAACAAAGAUUCUUGAAUUGGAUUUUGAGUUCCGUCAACUUCCUUGCUUUGUUAAUGGGAAUAUGCUUAAACUACCUUACUUUCCCCAUACUCCAACUUUUCUUUGCAAGAAUGCGUGAAUUGCUGGGCUAGUCUUCUCAGUUCCUACGGAAAUUUUUACUUCUGUUGCGUCCGAAAAUGUUCAAGUGUUGCUCACGUUGAAUUUUCAUAUAACUUAAUUAAACCGUUCAUGUCCUUCACCAUCUUUUGUACGUCUACUCGUGGGCAAGCAUCUCUUAAAGGUGUUCCUUGCAUUUUUGUAAUGUGGUUAAGGUCACAUAUUUCUUCCCUUCCUUUCAAGACCCUUUUUGCAUGUAAUGCAGAUUCUUCUUCAUAAAUGGUCUUCAAGCUUAGCCAUUUUCACAGUUUUAAGCGCUCAAGUUCUUUCUUCAUCAUUCUUUUGAAGUUAAUAAAGAAAUUACAAAUCGUUAAGCCAGAAAAAAAAAGAUAGAGGGUAGAAGAUGAAGCUUAUUUUUACUAAAUCAUUCGGAUGUGGAAGAGCAUUGCAGAGGCCGGUUGGGCUUAUAGUCAGAAAUUGGCACAAAGAACCAGUUCUCGUGGCAUGGAAGAAACCAGAGAUUGGCUGGACUAAGUUAAACUUUGAUGGUUCUUGCAAGUGCAGGACAGGGAAAGCAAGCAUUGGAGGCGUUCUCAGAAACCAUGAGGCUGAAUUCUUGCUUGGAUAUUCUGAAUUUAUUGGUCAAAAGAACAGCACGAUUGCAGAAUUGGUCGCCCUUGAGAGAGGCCUGGAGCUUGUCCUGGAGGAUGGUUGGAGCGAUGUUUGGGUUGAAGGAGACUCCAAGUUCUUAGUUGACAUCAUUGCUAAAAAGCGACGAGUUAGUUGUGCGGAAGUACAAAAAUACGUUGGCCAUAUAAACUCAAUUAUUCCAGCACUCAAUAAUUGCAUGUUGACACAUAUUUAUAGGGAAGGAAAUAGGGCUGCUGAUAAAUUUGCCCAGAUGGGCUAUCAUUUUGAAAAACCUCAAGUUUGGCGCCAUAGUCCUCCGAAGGAAGUGCUGCGCAUCGUACAGGAAGAUGCGCAAGGUAAGAAGUUUAUCAGAAGAAGAAGAAGAUGAAGUGGAUCUCACAUGCUAGAAUUUCUUUCUUUUCGUACAGAAGAUUAGUCAGUAAUAUUUAGAUUUAAGUGAUCUAAAUUUCUCUCCGUGGAAAGUGAUCACCACUGUAUGCAAAGGGAUACCACAAAAACAAAGGAAAUGUAAAGUCUUUCAAUUCAAAGGAAAUGUAACAUUGUUGCAUUUCUCACUACUGAAGAAAUUCUCUAUCAGCACACAGACAGCAAGUAACGGUGGUCCAAUCUCUCCCAAUCUUUUUCAUAGAAAACCUGAAUUUUUUAUUCCAGAUUUCAAAUCCUUCUCAUCCAAAUACAUAGACAAGCACAAGAAUAGAACAAAGAACUCCCUGAUGGCCUGACUGAAGCAUGUCAAGGUGAUGAUGCCUUCCCUCCCUCCCUCAGAUGUAGAAGCCAAAGAGUUUAAGUGACCACGUCCCUCUAACCAUCCAUCACACGCAACAUGCAAAAGAUAGCAUAUAACCAAUGGUUAACUGGGAAAAAUUAAUACUGCAACCAGUGUUAAAAGCUGAUCUUUGACAGUAUAAAUUAUCAGAACUGAUAAAUCUGACUUCCACAUGAUCGAAGACAUAAUUGCCAAUGUUGCUAAAUCACCUUUUCUUUUGACUCGCAAUUUUUUUUUUUUUCCACAGUUUCUUUCAAAGUCAUCUCUACAAGAUAGAUAAUUUUGCAAGUUGACAAGUUCGACACACAUUAUUUUCCCUUUUUCAGCAUUCUCGUUAAGAACCAACAAAUCAACAUAUCCAAAGAGCACAACUCUUACUACAUCUGAAAGCUCAGCCUUGCCGGAUGCAACACAAUGCUUACUGGCCUGUUAACUUACUCACUGCCUUUGAAAUACUACCAAAACCAAAAAUCACCAAUUAGGAAUCAUGUUAUGCAGAGGAUACAAACAAUAUCAAACUUCGAACACGUAUAGCAUGUCUAUGAGAAGCAGCAUGAAUAUGCAGAUAUCUGUUAUUAAUAGAUGAUGCAUUAGCUGCACUAGAUUUACGUAUAUUAUCUCUACAACCUGCACCAACAUGCAAAAUUGGCAGGCACUCACUUAUUUCAGUUUGAAAAUCUGUUCCAUUGAAAAUUAAAACAAGAAAAUAAAGGAAUAGUGCAUUAGCCCAGAACAUAACCGAGAAAAGCAGUGAACUGGUGACUGGAUAGAGGCAACACAAAGAAAAAGUGAAGGAAUAUCGAUUAACAUACUAAUCUAUGUCAGAAAAGAACAAACUAAUUCCAGCCAUAUAAGUCGAGCAAGAUGAAUAACCACAACAAGCACAAAGAAAGAACCACAGAAAAAACUACACAAGGACAUAGAUGUACCAUACACAUGGUGUCACAACCUGAACCGAAAAUACUCAUCCUGCAUUUAUUUCCAAGUCCACAAAAUCUCCUGCUAUGAUUACACUGAAAACAGUAAAAGAAUCAGAAAAUGCCAAAUACAGUGAAAAAUGAAGUGUGCAGUUAAAUAAUAAAAAAAAUAAAAAUAAAAACAUGCAUAGAGGGGCAGCAAUGCCGAGCAGCAGAGUCUCGUAACUAUUAAAUGAUAGCUGCAGUUGUGCAACUCAAGUGCAUAUUAUAUGGUUGAAAAGCCGCAAACUUUCAGAAUUGUUAGCAAGCAGGAGAAUACAAUUCUAGGAAAGAAGCAUCAGGUUACAUAUAUGAUGCGACAAUAAUCCAAGAUAAUAAACGCAUUAGGAGUCCGUUGUUACGGAUUAAAAAUGUUUCCAUAAAAAUAUUUCCUAAUUUUCCGGUUUUAUAUGGCACAAAAGUUACUGAACAAUUUCGCUAUAUAAAAUAUUCACUCAUCUUAUGGAAAACAACUUCCCUCCAAACUUACGAUUUCCGCAAAUCGCCCUCGUAGUAUGUUCCAAACUUAAGGAAAACAUCUUGUAGUAAUGUUUUUUUUUUUUAGUGUAAACAGGAGGACUCGAAUCCAAGACCUCUUCCUUACACUCCCUCCCCCGUACCACCCAACCCAACCCAACCCUCCCCCUAGUAUAUUCAAAAUAAAAAAAAAAACUCAUCCUGCUCAUCCUAUACUAGUAAUUAAUUAUGUAUAAUAGGGACAUUCUUUUCUAGAGAAACUUUCAACAGUGAGAGUGCAAGAUAUAUGUCACAAUAAGCAUUGCAUGUGAUUGAUAUUUGACACUAAGUGGCCAGCAAUUUAUUUAAUGCUUAAGGAGAUAUUUUUUAUUCAUAUAUACAUUUCUCCAAGAUUUUUUAAAGUUAAACAAUGAGAUAAAUUUUUUUAUUUUGCAUGGGAAGAAAUAUGUAGUUAUAAUUUGUAAAAAGUAAAUAUAGAGAUAAAAGUGAAAAUAUUUCAAAAGUUAAACAAACACCAGAAAAAUGAAGUAAGAAAAUAUUUUCAAUAAGCUAACCAAACACCUGAAAAUGAUGAAAGGGAAAUGAUUUUCAUGAAAAAUUACUUCCACGGAAAAUAUUUUUCCAAGGAAAACAUUUUACUUCCAACCAAACAGACCCUUAGUAUAACAUACAUCAUGAUAUGUCUGUAAACACACACCCAAACAACUUUGUGUGUGUGCUUUUAAAUGGAUAAGGCAAUACUUAAAUGGAACUUAUGCAUGUACACCUGCAUUGGAACUUAUAUGCAUGCAACUGUGAUGUACAAAGCACAAGCACAUUGCAAGUAAAAUAUCAUUUCAUAUUUGAUAACUAAACCCUUUUUUUAAAAACACUAGCAUUAGGAUAUACUCCAACAACUAACCUGGAAAUAAAUACAGUGGUGAAUGGUGCAGAUACCGUGGAGCGGAGGAGAAAGGCACCUCUAUUACAACCAAAAUUAGCUUUACUGGUUCCAGUCCAGCCAUAUGAAUCAAAGAAGAUUUAAUACCACUACAAGCACAAAGACGAACAAAGAAAACACCAUAUGUAAGGACAUUAGUGCUCCCUUAGAACUGGAGACACAACCAGGACUGAAAAAUCCUAGUAUUCAAGUUCAAGUUAUCAAAAGAAUAGCCCAUAACUGAAUGCUAAAUGUCUGUCCGCCUAUGUUUACAAGCAAAAAAUUGAGAAACAAAGGUGUGAAGCCUGAAAGCAGCAGCAAAUCAGCUUACUUGUUUCACCACAAAUAAUGAAGCAGCAUUUGAUAUAUGAAGAAAACUAACAUUCUGAAUAUGCAACAGAGAUACAAAAGAAUCAGAUCCAUAAAGAGUGAAACCUCACCAGUAUAAUCUCCAGCUCUCUCUCUUUAGCCAAGUAAAGAAUAAACUGUAAACAAGCACAGAAACAUCCAAAAACCUCACCAUUCAGAAAAGAAAGAAAAGACCAAUCAACAUCCCAUGAUACAAGUAAUAGCAUGAUCUUGACUUACUAUGCUGGACAUAUUUCACAAAGACUAGAGCAAAGAUGAACCCGCUUCUUCCACAACUAAGAGAACCACCAAAUGUAAACUGACAAAAACCUUGUUAAUUGGCACACAUAACAUUUCUUUUUCCCAAUAUUAAACCAAACUGUUGUCUAGCACCAAAGCAACUCAAACCAUAUAAUAUGCACAUAUUACUCGAAAGCUAAUCCCGGAAGCAGGAGAAAAAAAAAAUUGCAAGUCCACUUAAAUGAAAGAGAAAAAAGUUGCAAGUCACUUAAAUGAAAAACCAUUAAGAAAAAAUUCCAAAAUAUGCAGGCAAGAAAACCUCUAGGGUUUGUAAGUAGGCAUCAGUUUAUAUUGUAAAAGAAAUCAGGCUCACUAUUUAACAGCUCUUUAGUCCACAACUCUGCUUUCAUAGAGCAAAAAACAAACAAAGCCUCGAUGCAGGGGAAAAAUGUACAAGUGAACUUUUGAUAGUGCUUCUGAAUACAACAAAAAAAUCCACUUUACCAGGUACUGACUGGUGAAGCAAACCUAAAAUUUUGUUUAAUCUUCAUAGACAAGUCAAAUGCCAUAAACCAAACCAACAUUAAGCGUUUCGACUUCUUUUAAAUCUUGCAAGGGCUCCAAGGUGACCUUCAUCCUCAUCUUUUCCUGCUGCAGCAUCAUCACCAUUUUCAGGGUUAUCAGUCUCUUCUCUUUUCCGGAUCAGACCUCCAAAUACAGCAUUAGGAACAUCUUUUUGUGCUAUCUCAACCUUGUCAUCAUCUUCAGAGUCACUUUCCUCGGGUAGUUCAAUAUCCUCCUUAUUUUCUGUAUCCUUAGGUGCUCCAUCACCCACAGACUGUACACCAGCACUUACAAAGCCAAGCACGCGAUUGGAAUCUUUAGUUACAGCAUCAUUAGCAGAUGGCAACAACUUCUUUUCUAGAGCUGCCAUUUGAUCAUCAGCAACCCCAGCCUUCUUUAGCACAUCUUUUGCUUCCUCAAGAGUCUGCAUCUGAUCCUUUUGCAUCAAGUACUCAGGAAGAAUAAAGUGAGUCUGGAUAGAAGAACCAAAGUGGAUUAGCACCUAUGGAUUUUUUUUUUUUGGGGGGAGGGGGUUGUUGGGGUGCAGCAGUUUAUACUAGAGAAACCAUAAAGCUUUAAAUGUAACAUCACAACAUCUCAGAGGAUCCAAAAUUUUUGUACAAAAGAAUAGAACCAAAACUGACUUAGAAGAGGAAAAGAAAAACCAGAAUCUCCCUAGAAGCAUAAUAAGGAAGUAACUUCUCUUCCCAAGUCUUAUGGUUGCCAACCACAAAAACAGGAAAUAAGAAGUUCUUAUGUUGUAGUUGAUAUGAGUAAUUAUAGAAGCAAUAUUUUCCCAAUAGCAUCUAAAGAAAAGGAAAAUAACUCGAACAGGUUGCACUCCAUUGAGAUUCACCAGCAGGGACAGAAUGUUUCACCAAACUUUGAAAAAAAAAAUCAGUAAAGACAAAACACACCUGGCUAUAGCUUGCAGAAACGCUCCUUUUAACACGAAGCAUCUCACGGAAGGUGUCUUCGUUACCAUGCUGCACUUCAAACUCAUGCCACUUCGACCAGAAGUCAGGGUCAGAUCUUGGGUCAGCAAACUGCGAUGCAUGCUUGUAUAGUGCACGAGCACGAUCAACUUCUCCAAGGCUCUUCUCAAGCUCAGCAUACCUCAGGCACAUGACCUUCACAUCCUUGUCAGGUAGACCAGAUUCAAUUGCCUGUUCAUAUAUUUCCCUUGUUUUCGGAACACCAAAAAUUUCAGCUGCACGAGCUAUGUAGAUUUCAUACAUGCUUAAUUUCUCAGCUGCUGGAACAGCCUUUGUAGCUUGAUCGUAAACCCUCAUGGCUCUCUUUGCAAGACCACAGUCCUCUUCCAACUUGGCAUAUUGUAGAUAUAAUGGCUUUACAACCUCCGCAGGGGCCUAAAUAAAAAUAGUAUUAAUAUCUUCACUUGAUGCUUCAGCAGCAGUCCCAAGAUCAUCGAAACCACAAGAGACAAUAAAGCAAUCAUAUCAAAGAUAAACCAUAAACUAUUUAAAUGCAUACUCUACUGGUAUGAAAAGUCACAAAAAGUAGAAGUUCUUGCUGGUACAAUGUUCAUGGACAGCUGCUUAAUAUGGAUAGAUAUAAAGAAAGUUUCAGGUGGUCAGCACUGCAGAAAAUAUUAUGGUCUUCUAUAGGACAAUUUGCAGCAUCAUAUUUCCAGUAAGGAUCCCUACACUAAAUACUUCAAUGGAAGAAUCCUUAAAAUCAUACAAGUGACUUUUACUGACUGCUACUUGCGCAAUGACUUAGCAAUGGUAUAUGAGUACUGGAUUAAUCAAAUUAACUACAAAACAAAAACCAAUACCAACAAUGAAACCCAUGCAAACAAUAGAAAGAGACAACUGUUCUAGACUUUAUUUUACAGGAUGUCACUACUAAUAGACAAAAAAAAAGAACUGAAAAUUUAAAAACAAAUGUUGUGUGUUAGUUUUGGACAUAAUCUUCAUACACACUCUUUAAAUUUGCCUUCUGUUUUCUUCUAAAGCUUGUUUCUUUUAUAUUAGAAUGCCCCUAGAAGAAAGAAAAGUGAAUUAAGAUCAAUACAAGUAAUCACAGGCAUGAAGCAUACACCAGAAUGCAAGAUUCUGGAGAAUGAGACAAAUACUUCCAUACCACUUCAACCGCAUGCUCAAACAAUUCUCGAGCUCGUUCUAGUUUUGACUUUCCAUAUCUCUUCACAAAUUUGGAUAGGUAAGUAGCCCAUAUAUCCUUUGCAUGUGGAUAUUUGAAAAUCUUCACACCUCUUAUGGGUGUUAAUCUUGAAUUCGUGCUCUAAAGUUAUGAACAGAAAAGCAAAGUUUUAAGUGGGUUAAAAUGAAAAAAAAAAAGUAAGUUAAAACAUGUGUUUAUGACAUAGGUAGAAUAAUAUUUGAGAUAAUUUUCUAUCCAAGAAUUCAAUUGCAGCCAAGAAGGGACAGACACAUAUUUCUAAGCUUCCCUUCUCUAUUUACCGGUAAACAUUUUCUUGGUUGCCCCCUGUCUGAACUUUGAUGUUGUUCGAAGCUACAAGCCUACAACAAAUUAAUUGUCUGGUUGCUGGCCUAUUCCCAAUCAAAAUUACAUAGAGGCUGGUGCAUUCUUGGCAUCCCCCAUGCUUGAUAUCUCGUAGUAUAAAAAUGCUUCAACGGAUAACAAGAAGAUGAUUAGGGCAAAAUCUUUACAUGACGAAGUCAACUGCUGAGGCACCCACCAUCAUGUGGCAAAGUCAACUAUUGUUUUUAAAACCCUAUGUUCCAUUUUGACGGACCAUCCCCUGAUUAAACCCCAUAGCCUUCCGGAAACUUGGGCCGACCACAUGCCAUCAUCCUUUUUUGGUAGAAACCAUCAAGUACUCAAAUACUUUUCUUUAAAUUCCGGUGGCUGCUUUUUUUUUUUUUGUCUGACGUCAUAUAAAUACAGGCUCUCUCAUUGUAUAUUUUUUUUCUCAGUGAUUAGGGAUUUUCCUUCUUUUCUUCCCCACCUGAUUGCUUUAGUCCUCGGUUUUUGAACAACAUGUUCAGACUUCAUAAGCAUUCAGUCUGAUGCUCGGGACCAUUGCCAAAAAUUCAAGUCAUGUGCAUUAUUAGGUCCGGACCCGUUGCCAGCUGAGCUUUUUCUCAUUGCUCCUCCGUUCACAUAAUCCAAAUUCUUCACUGCCUAAUAAACCUUGCUGAUAACUAAUAAUAUAUGGUCUGAUUCAAGAUUCUUGAACCUUAGUGUCCUUAUUCAGUCAUUAGACAUCCCUAGUCUGUUAAAUAAGCUUUUUUCCGCCUUUAUGGCUAAAUGGUUUACAAAUAAAACACUACUGCUAAUUUCUAGCUAGUGACGUGCUAUAAUUUUGUAUCUGCAUCAAGAAUGGUCAGAAGAGUUGAAUAUAAGCUUGUAGCCAAUGAACAAAUGUGAAUGUUGUAGGCCUUAUCUUUUUUUCUAUUUUUGCAAGUCAAGGGUUUGCAACGAAAGAAGAUAAUUCUCAAAAUACCGUGACAUCACAUAUUUGAAAUGCGACUACUCUUUCAUAUUGGCCAUAAAAUUUUUCAAGUAUUUUUUAGUAAUAAGGUGGCAUUCCAAUAUUGGAUUUGUAAGAUCUUCCAAAUGCUUUUUUUAUCCAUAGUAUCUAUCCAUGUCUGUGUCAUUACCAAAAGAGGCGAAGAAAAAUUGGGAUUAUAACAAAAGAUUACCUGUCAAUAUUAGAGCUGAUUCAACAUUUGACAAAUUAAUCUAGGGUGAUUGAGCUUUACCAUUUAAUUUAGGAUAAUUGCAUAAACCUCCCCUAACAUGAACUUAGGCCUAUAAUUGACAUAAAAUAGGGUAAAUUUACUUCCAUACCCUAUGAGGUUAAGGUUGUUAGUAAACAAAUUUAGAGCAAAAAAUUUAGGUUAACUAAUUAAACAAGUUAAUGGUUAUUUCUUACCUGAUUAGGCAUUGUAAGUGCACUUACAAAAUGGCACCACAAAAUAGUGCUAAUUGAUGCUCCAACAUGGUGUUAUUUUGUGAUUGACAACACUUGAAAGGACAAUCCAAAUCAUAUACUAUAUGCAUAGAAGAGAAGCAGAAGCAAAGGGAAAGAAACCUCCAAGUAAAGCUCCAUAACAAAAUAAGUUCUGGUGGUUUUGGUUAAACUCACUUCGUCUUAAACAUUCAUGAAAACAAAAGGAGAAAGAAAGCAAAAAUCAAGGCGAAUUUUGAGAAUUUUUCUGUUAAAAAUUUGCGGUAAUUAGAAGAUAAUAUGUAAAUAAUCCUUUGUAGUUUCAACUUAAUACACAAAGUUUCCAUGCACACUAGUGAAGGCGAGUUUUUGAAGUUGGUUAUACACAUUCUAUGCUUUAGAAUCUUAGAUUUCUGAACAUAUGUUCAUUACUUCUUCCGGUUGUUACUGCUGCACUUGUUCUCUUUACAUUUAUGUGAUUUUCACUAAUUAUUUCCAACUUUUAAUUUUAUUUAUUCUUUUAGUAAUUCAACCUCACAAGAGGCAAAAGGGGUACAAAUGGAACAAAAUUAUUAUCUUUCUCCUAAAAAAACUUUUUUAAUGCAACUUUAUCUAACAUGGGCUGAAUAUGCUAUCAAAAUUUUAAAUUCAGAAGAGGUUAGUGCUAUUUUCGAAACCUCAAAAGAGGUGAGUGCAGCUAUUAGUAAUCUACAGGGAGGUUUCUACAAUUGUCCCUUUAAUAUAACAGCGAUUGUGGAAAAACCAGUAAUCGUGGUUAUGGAAAUUAUUAUGGUAUGCACUCAAAUAUUUUCGUUUAAGAGCAUAUGCCCGCUGGGAGAGAAACCAUGAGUACGCGCAACUAUUUGGGUCCCAAUGUUAUAUUAAAAAAAAGAAAAACAUAUUAUGUCCGAUGAAUUCAUGUCUAAUUUAUAAUUGAAGCAAAAUUUGUGAUGAAGCAAGAUUUUUAUUUUUAGUUAUCCACGGACGAUGUAUAUAUAAAAAUUUACGUGCCACAUAUCUCGUAAGCUUUAGGCAUUGGAAAGAAACUGCUCUGCUGCCAGUUCAUAGCCUGUCUCAUACUGAUAAGAAACUAAAAGUCCGUCCCUAUCAUAUUAAUUCCGUUCCGAUAAAGGACCACUUGGGACGGUGGGGAUAUUUUACCUCCAUGCUUGAUUACUGGAUCUAUAUAUAUGACCAGUGGACUUCAAAAGAUUCGUCAACUUGAAAGUUGCAUUUUGUUCUCGUCGACCACAAAAAUAAAUAAAUAAAUAAAUAAAAAACCUAGUUUGUUUUACCCAAGAUUAACAAGUGAUCAAAUUGAUAGUGAAAGGUAUUGAAGUAGCUAAACGUGACAGUUUAUUGUGUAAAAUGGUAGGUUGAGAGAUGCAUAAUAAUUGCAUAUCAAAAUUAACCCUAAUCUAUAGUAUUUUGUUAAGCUACAUUAUAAUCAUUAUUACAGUUCGGGCAAAUUCUUGAUUUUCUCUCAUCAAUCCUUUGCAAAUGCUUAAAUAAUUGAAUAAACACAAGCACACGCAAGCUGUGAAUGGGCACAAGUACGAGAGAGGACUAAUUCCUACCUAAUAGGAUGUUUCGAGUUUGACAAUUCAGAAAUCAGAAUAAGGAAAAUUGAUGCAACAUUGACCCCCUAACCAAUUAAGUGAUGGGAAAAGGAUGUGUCAUCAUAUGAAUACUACACCACAUUAAUUUGGUUGUUCCGAACAGGCAAGUCUAUAUUGUGAGGACAAUUUUUUAUAUUUGACCGUUCCUGUGUAACAUAGAGAUUCUUAGUUUCGCCAUUUUCCACAGUCUUUGGUAAUUCACCAGAAGUUAUUGAGUUGUAGCAAUCUUUUUUUACCAGAAGUUAUUGAGUUGUAGCAAUCACACCAGAAGUAUAUUCCACGAGAUGGAUUCAGGCAGCUGCUUCGUUCGUAUGAGCCUUUCUUUUUUUUUUUUUUGGGGCCAAAAGAUCGGGAUUAUAGCCCAGAAGCGCAUUUAAUAUUUUAGAUCACUAGUCGACAUCCAUGCUCAAUAGUAAAUUUACCAGUAUUUUUUUUUCUUUUCUUAAUAGUUCUCUCAAUUAUUUGGGAUAAACCAAGAAUGCAUUUGAGUAAACUUUUCACAGCAUUUUGUUGGGGCCUUGGAGGUAAACAAGUCACUUACAGAUCGCUCACUUACACAACUCUCGCAUCAGUAAUAGAAUUCGAAUGCAUAAUCUGUUGUGAGAAAACGACUUAUUUUUUAUCAACCGAAUCAAUUUGUGUUGACAUUUAUUCUCAUUCAUUAGAAGCAACCCAAAGUUAAAAUAUAACCUUUCUUGGGAUCUAUUCUUGGCUUAUCCAUACACUGUUGGUAUUGGUUUAAAAAGUGGUUUUGUGAGCACCUUUUUUCAGUUUUCUUUUGGUUUUGCUGGGGGUGAAGAAACAUUAAAUUGGGAUCGAUCAUAACCACGCUAUUUAACAUUGCAUUGGAUACAUGCAAAGAUUAAUUCUUAGAUGUCUAUUAGAGUAUUCAUUCAACUGACUAGUUUUCUAUAAUCAUUUUAGUGGUCUUAUAUAUAUGUGUCAAGUACAAUGGAUACAACAUGAGAUGAAUUCCCCUAAAAAAAUUAAAAAAGAAUUACAUGUGUGAAUAUUUUUCGGAAUAAAUUGCUAUUCUAUUCUAAAUACACAAUACACGCAUAAAUUUGCACUUACAAAUUAUAUAUACUAACAUAUUUCUAUUUAAGUGAACGUGUCCUACAUUAGCUCAUUACGUGCAAGAAAGCGUAAUACUUCACAUCAUGACAGAGUGGAAUUUCAGCAAUGAAUUUUUCUAGGAUUCGGAUGACGACAGAGCAGAAAGCAUGCAUCGUAUAAUUUCAGUUUCUGAAAAAAAAAAGAAAGUAUGCAUAGUACUUGGUACGUGAAGUAUAAUUUAAAGUAUCGGAAACAAAAAUUAUGCUGGAAAAGCAGGACUUCUUAACCAAUGGAUCUUGGUCAACGUGUAGUUUAAAUUAUCUUUUGCAGAAAUUGUUAAGGGAAAAUCAUUCAAAAUGCCCCUCACAUUUUACAAGAUGAUUUUUUUCGUUCCUCACUUUUAAAAGUAUAAUUUUACGUCCCUUACAAAUUUAAAUUGACCAAAUUUGGUUCCUACCUAGGUUUCCGAUUAGGUUUUUAUCGGAAUUCACGACGUGCCUUACACGUGAUCACAUUUCAAGGGCAAAAUUGUCAAAUCAAAUUUUAUAUAAUUCGAUUCAUAAUUCCUCACAUUUCAUAAAAUAAAUUUUUUCGUCCCUUACAUUUCACAAAAUAAAUUUUUUCAUCCUUCACAUUUUUCAAAAUGAAUUUUUUCAUCUUUUAUUGAUCAGUGUGAAUAAUUUUUUUUUAAAUCCAUGUAUAUAUCUAUUUAAUUUCACUUGAACAGUACGAAUAGCAUGUGAAAUCAAAUAGAUAUAUACAUGGGUUUAAAAAAAUUGUUAGUUUUUCACUUAUUUUAAUUUUCUUUUACUCAAAAUUUGAAAAUAAAGAAAACAUUUAAUCCUAAAUAUUAUCGAGUGUUUAUAUUGAAUUAAAUUUGGACAGAAAAAAUAAACAAAAGAAAAGUAUGACAAAAAGAAAUUAGUGAUUGGCAUUUUCAAAUUUUAAGACAAUCACGAGGCAAGUAAUUCAACUGUUGGUCUUAAAAGUGUCAAGUAGAAAUUUUGUAUUUAAAUUGAAAUUUGUUAGCACAAUUAUAGUAUUCGAGUUAGGACUCAUUAAUUAAAUUAACUUAUUAGACAAUUCAAUAAAUAAAUUAUUAUUAAAAUAGAAAUGUCACAAAUAUUGAAUACGUUUAAAUGGUGAAAUCAUAUAAAUAUAUACAUGGGUUUCAAACAAAAUUAUUAGUUUUAAACUCCUAUAUAUAUGUAUUGAAUAGCAUGUGUACAACUACAAUUAGCAUGUUUAGAUGAAAUUCAAUAGAGAUAAAUUACCUGUUAUUUGUAGUGUUCAGAUUAAAUCAAAUAUACAUAUACGUGGGUUUAUAGAAAAAAAGCUAUUCAUACACAUGAUCAAUGAGGAAUGAAAAAAUUCAUUUUGGAAAAUGUAAGGGAUGAAAAAAUUCAUUUUUUGAAAUGUGAGGAACGAAACAAUUCAUUUUGUAAAAUGUUAGGGAUCAAAAAAUUUAUUUUGUGAAAUAUGAGGGACUAUGAAUCAGAUUAUAUAAAAAUUGAUUUGACAAUUUUGUCCUUAAAAAAUGAUCACAUGCAAGUUACAUGGUGGAUUCCGAUAAAAAAUUAGUCAGAAACCUAGGUAGGGACCAAAUUUGGUCAAUUUGAAUUUGUAAGGGACGUAAAAUUACACUUUUAAAAGUGAGGAACGAAAAAAAUCAUCUUAUAAAAUAUGAGGGACGUUUUGAACGAUUUCCCAAAUGUUAACUUCAACAAAUAGUAUAUAGCAGAUACUGCGAUUCAAACAUCUUAUAGAACAAAGUUUAGUUUAUUCACCUUUCUUAACGGCUAAUUAGAUUCAAACCUCAAAGUUCAUACGUUAAUUUAGCAACGAUCAAGUCAGCAAUAGUCCUCCACAUUACUGCGUAAUACACCAUAAGUAGACAUUAUUGAAAACAUCAUUACUCUAAUCUCAAAGUCAAAUUGCUGUCUACAGUCGCCAAGGAUACAGCUAAAAUGGAACAACUAAUAACGUGCGGCUUCGGUCCAACGUCAUAAAAUUCUGAGUCCAGAGAAAGGUUGUACCAGUUGUAUAUUAAUUGAGAACGGGAAGAAAAUAACUCAUGAGCCGAUGCAGUAAAAUAUGAAACCAGGGCAGGAAAAUUCAAAACAUAUCUGUUUGUCAUAUCAUCCAAUUCAACUCUCUCGUAGAAUGUAAGCCUUAGGUGAUUCUAAUUUUGCAUGGUAAAUCGGGUUUGGACAAAAAAAAAAAAGAGAAGAAAUUAGCAUAGCCCUUCUAAUGGGUGAUAAAAUUUCAUAUCUGAAAAACUUGGAAGCAGACAGUUUAUAGGCCAAAAAGAAAGGAAAAAAAAGCACUUAAAAACAAUUCGUGAAUGCCAAAGACACAUUGAAAACAAUAACAAAGAAACUUCUUAGUCAAAUGCAGAAAUCAUCAUAACGCAUGUGCAAACUCAUGGGAAGCAAGUUUUGUCUGGAGAUUGUUGGGCCAUUUGGCAUAUCAGCACAAUUUGCUGUCAAGCCCACGUAUCCAGUUUAGUUUUUGUCUUCACUGACAUCAUGGACUCCUAAUGAGGCUAGGAAAAGGUCAGAGAGUCCUAAAAUAAUGGGCUGAUUCUAUCUGGCCACAGUGAGCCCAUUCCCAAGUAAUGUCCAAUAGUCUAUUGCACCCAUGGGUUAGGCCCACACUUUCAGUUUGCUUUGGGCACUUUUCCCAUGAAGACAGCCCAAAUAGUGAUCGUCCCUUGUUAGUAUCAAAAUUCUUAUGGAAAAUUAAUCAUGUUUUAUCUCUUCUAGGCGAUACUGUGCUUACCCUAGUCUGGUGAAAAUUAGAAUAAUGGUACCAUAUGUAUUUGAUAAUUUGCGAGCUAAUAUAUUUAUGUGAUUGAUUUCUAAAUUAUAUAUAUAAAAAAAAAUGAAAUAGCGGGUUAGGUGGAUUAGUGGAGUCAUAAGAAGUCAAAAGUGGUUAUCAUUUACUAGGAUAUUUUGCGAGUCGAAGAGCCCCUGCACCAAAGCAAUAGACAUUAUUCAUUCAUUUCUAUUAAUGGUUGGAUGAAUGACCAAAUAGGCUAUUGUAGACCACCUAAGCAAUUUUUCUGUCGGCUUAUUUGGACAUAUAAGCAUGGAAUCUCGUUAGUAUAACAUACAUCAUGAUAUGUCUGUAAACACACACCCAAACAACUUUAUGUGUGUGCUUUUAAAUGGAUAAGGCAAUACUUAAAUGGAACUUAUGCAUGUACAGCUGCAUUGGAACUUAUAUGCAUGCAACUGUGAUGUACAAAGCACAAGCACAUGGCAAGUAAAAUAUCAUUUCAUAUUUGAUAACUAAACCCUUUUUUUAAAAACACUAGCAUUAGGAUAUACUCCAACAACUAACCUGGAAAUAAAUACAGUGGUGAAUGGUGCAGAUACCGUGGAGCAGAGGAGAAAGGCACCUCUAUUACAACCAAAAUUAGCUUUACUGGUUCCAGUCCAGCCAUAUGAAUCAAAGAAGAUUUAAUACCACUACAAGCACAAAGACGAACAAAGAAAACACCAUAUGUAAGGACAUUAGUGCUCCCUUAGAACUGGAGACACAACCAGGACUGAAAAAUCCUAGUAUUCAAGUUCAAGUUAUCAAAAGAAUAGCCCAUAACUGAAUGCUAAAUGUCUGUCCGCCUAUGUUUACAAGCAAAAAAUUGAGAAACAAAGGUGUGAAGCCUGAAAGCAACAGCAAAUCAGCUUACUUGUUUCACCACAAAUAAUGAAGCAGCAUUUGAUAUAUGAAGAAAACUAACAUUCUGAAUAUGCAACAGAGAUACAAAAGAAUCAGAUCCAUAAAGAGUGAAACCUCACCAGUAUAAUCUCCAGCUCUCUCUCUUUAGCCAAGUAAAGAAUAAACUGUAAACAAGCACAGAAACAUCCAAAAACCUCACCAUUCAGAAAAGAAAGAAAAGACCAAUCAACAUCCCAUGAUACAAGAAAUAGCAUGAUCUUGACUUACUAUGUUGGACAUAUUUCACAAAGACUAGAGCAAAGAUGAACCCGCUUCUUCCACAACUAAGAGAACCACCAAAUGUAAACAGACAAAAACCUUGUUAAUUGGCACAUAUAACAUUUCUUUUUCCCAAUCUUAAACCAAACUGUUGUCUAGCACCAAAGCAACUCAAACCAUAUAAUAUGCACAUAUUACUCGAAAGCUAAUCCCGGAAGCAGGAGGAAAAAAAAAUUGCAAGUCCACUUAAAUGAAAGAGAAAAAAGUUGCAAGUCACUUAAAUGAAAAACCAUUAAGAAAAAAUUCCAAAAUAUGCAGGCAAGAAAACCUCUAGGGUUUGUAAGUAGGCAUCAGUUUAUAUUGUAAAAGAAAUCAGGCUCACUAUUUAACAGCUCUUUAGUCCACAACUCUGCUUUCAUAGAGCAAAAAACAAACAAAGCCUCGAUGCAGGGGAAAAAUGUACAAGUGAACUUUUGAUAGUGCUUCUGAAUACAACAAAAAAAUCCACUUUACCAGGUACUGACUGGUGAAGCAAACCUAAAAUUUUGUUUAAUCUUCAUAGACAAGUCAAAUGCCAUAAACCAAACCAACAUUAAGCGUUUCGACUUCUUUUAAAUCUUGCAAGGGCUCCAAGGUGACCUUCAUCCUCAUCUUUUCCUGCUGCAGCAUCAUCACCAUUUUCAGGGUUAUCAGUCUCUUCUCUUUUCCGGAUCAGACCUCCAAAUACAGCAUUAGGAACAUCUUUUUGUGCUAUCUCAACCUUGUCAUCAUCUUCAGAGUCACUUUCCUCGGGUAGUUCAACAUCCUCCUUAUUUUCUGUAUCCUUAGGUGCUCCAUCACCCACAGACUGUACACCAGCACUUACAAAGCCAAGCACGCGAUUGGAAUCUUUAGUUACAGCAUCAUUAGCAGAUGGCAACAACUUCUUUUCUAGAGCUGCCAUUUGAUCAUCAGCAACCCCAGCCUUCUUUAGCACAUCUUUUGCUUCCUCAAGAGUCUGCAUCUGAUCCUUUUGCAUCAAGUACUCAGGAAGAAUAAAGUGAGUCUGGAUAGAAGAACCAAAGUGGAUUAGCACCUAUGGAUUUUUUUUUUUUGGGGGGAGGGGGUUGUUGGGGUGCAGCAGUUUAUACUAGAGAAACCAUAAAGCUUUAAAUGUAACAUCACAACAUCUCAGAGGAUCCAAAAUUUUUGUACAAAAGAAUAGAACCAAAACUGACUUAGAAGAGGAAAAGAAAAACCAGAAUCUCCCUAGAAGCAUAAUAAGGAAGUAACUUCUCUUCCCAAGUCUUAUGGUUGCCAACCACAAAAACAGGAAAUAAGAAGUUCUUAUGUUGUAGUUGAUAUGAGUAAUUAUAGAAGCAAUAUUUUCCCAAUAGCAUCUAAAGAAAAGGAAAAUAACUCGAACAGGUUGCACUCCAUUGAGAUUCACCAGCAGGGACAGAAUGUUUCACCAAACUUUGAAAAAAAAAAUCAGUAAAGACAAAACACACCUGGCUAUAGCUUGCAGAAACGCUCCUUUUAACACGAAGCAUCUCACGGAAGGUGUCUUCGUUACCAUGCUGCACUUCAAACUCAUGCCACUUCGACCAGAAGUCAGGGUCAGAUCUUGGGUCAGCAAACUGCGAUGCAUGCUUGUAUAGUGCACGAGCACGAUCAACUUCUCCAAGGCUCUUCUCAAGCUCAGCAUACCUCAGGCACAUGACCUUCACAUCCUUGUCAGGUAGACCAGAUUCAAUUGCCUGUUCAUAUAUUUCCCUUGUUUUCGGAACACCAAAAAUUUCAGCUGCACGAGCUAUGUAGAUUUCAUACAUGCUUAAUUUCUCAGCUGCUGGAACAGCCUUUGUAGCUUGAUCGUAAACCCUCAUGGCUCUCUUUGCAAGACCACAGUCCUCUUCCAACUUGGCAUAUUGUAGAUAUAAUGGCUUUACAACCUCCGCAGGGGCCUAAAUAAAAAUAGUAUUAAUAUCUUCACUUGAUGCUUCAGCAGCAGUCCCAAGAUCAUCGAAACCACAAGAGACAAUAAAGCAAUCAUAUCAAAGAUAAACCAUAAACUAUUUAAAUGCAUACUCUACUGGUAUGAAAAGUCACAAAAAGUAGAAGUUCUUGCUGGUACAAUGUUCAUGGACAGCUGCUUAAUAUGGAUAGAUAUAAAGAAAGUUUCAGGUGGUCAGCACUGCAGAAAAUAUUAUGGUCUUCUAUAGGACAAUUUGCAGCAUCAUAUUUCCAGUAAGGAUCCCUACACUAAAUACUUCAAUGGAAGAAUCCUUAAAAUCAUACAAGUGACUUUUACUGACUGCUACUUGCGCAAUGACUUAGCAAUGGUAUAUGAGUACUGGAUUAAUCAAAUUAACUACAAAACAAAAACCAAUACCAACAAUGAAACCCAUGCAAACAAUAGAAAGAGACAACUGUUCUAGACUUUAUUUUACAGGAUGUCACUACUAAUAGACAAAAAAAAAGAACUGAAAAUUUAAAAACAAAUGUUGUGUGUUAGUUUUGGACAUAAUCUUCAUACACACUCUUUAAAUUUGCCUUCUGUUUUCUUCUAAAGCUUGUUUCUUUUAUAUUAGAAUGCCCCUAGAAGAAAGAAAAGUGAAUUAAGAUCAAUACAAGUAAUCACAGGCAUGAAGCAUACACCAGAAUGCAAGAUUCUGGAGAAUGAGACAAAUACUUCCAUACCACUUCAACCGCAUGCUCAAACAAUUCUCGAGCUCGUUCUAGUUUUGACUUUCCAUAUCUCUUCACAAAUUUGGAUAGGUAAGUAACCCAUAUAUCCUUUGCAUGUGGAUAUUUGAAAAUCUUCACACCUCUCUCGUAAACUUUGAAUGCAUCCUCAAAGUACUUAUGAUCCUGACAAUUCAAUAACAGAAAUUUAGAUCAACAAAAGCAAAUAGAAAUUAAGGCAAAGAUUACCUUUUCCAUUUAAAAGAAACAGACAAACAUGAAGGAGAAGAUGAUGAUGAUGAUGGAGAAAAAUAAACUUUUGGAAGAGAAGGUCUGACAAAGGUCUACCUCUAACAGCAUAGCAUAGUUUAUUAUGAUUUGGGGUGUGGCUAUCCUCAGAUCCAAUAUCCUCUCAUAAACUGCACGAGUGGACUCCAAGGUUCCCAGGCUUUCCUCCAAGUCAACAUAAAAUGUCCAAAGUCUUAGGGAUUUGUGAAUCUUCAUCUGCACUGGUUCAUUUCCAUCAGCUGCCACUGUAACAUGUAGCAAAUGUUUAGGCGCCAUUGUACUCUUAAUGCCCAAUUAUUAUUAGAAUAAAAUGCAUCCUAAUACAACCAGCAAAAGACACAAAGUAUUGCCCUUUGCUUUGCAGAGACCUUUUGCUCUUCCUUGUCUAUUUACAAUUUCCAAACUAGCACAUCUCAAAAUUAUAUAUCUGUUUUUGAGAACCCUCUUUUGACCAUAUCUUGUAAAUAAAUCAUCUUUAGAAAAUGGGGAUCAUUAAUCUACCGUAAGGAAUUUUAUACAACCCCUCAAGCUAGAAGCAUACAAACCAAAAUAACAUUAGACAUCUAGGAAAGCAAUACAAGAAGUGUUAGCUUUUAUUCCAAUCAGAUUCUUUUUAUUUUCUUACCUCCCAUUUUUAAAAAUUUUGUGAACCAUAAUAGUUCGUUUCCCAUGGAAAAAGAAGACAUAAUGUAUUUGCAACCACAAAGUUCAACAAAUCUCCAAAUUAUAACACAAAUCUGUGAAUUUUUUCCAAGAGGACAAAAGUACAGUGCAAGGUAAAUUGGGAUCUAAUGUUUGAAUCAGCAAAAACCACAAAAAUCAUAGAAAUAACUGGCUUCAUGCUUGAAACUACCAAAUCCUGAUAAAAUCAUACUGAUGCAUAAUGUGCACUAGGACGAGGAGCAAAGAAGAACUCACUAAAGUGGUAAAAAGAAGCUAUAAGACUAAAUUAAAUGCACACUUAAUGCAGCAUAUGAAUUGGUGCCCAUUAGAAUCAUUACUCUACUAGCAUCUAGAAGUUAUUUGCAAAAUAUUUUCUUGAAAUUUAUGGUAUGCUAGAGAAUAGAACUGGAUACAUUCUUUCAAAAAAAAAUAACUACUAGUUCACAUGACACAGUAUGCUAACUGACUUCAAAAUACAGUAUUGUCCUCUUGACACCUUUCUUGAAUUCACAGCAAGAGAAUAACACUAAGAUACUUUGAUUUCUGGUUACAUUUCUAACUCAAGUACCACUUCUUUUCUGCUUUUGAUAUUCAAUUAUGUCAGUCCACAGCCAAUUCUAUACAGAAGUCAACAUCAUAUGCACUCAGAAUACAAGAAGCCAUACAUUUUAUCAGGAAUUGAAUAUAUAAAAAAAGAGUAAGGAUGGAUUACCUCUUCGUUUGACUUCAACUGAUGGCUCUGCAGUUGCACGCCUCAUCAAGUCCAAAGCACCCUUAAAGUUUUUGUGUCUGAGUUCCAUCUCCGCCCAUUCACACCAGACGCUAGCCAAAUGAUCUACAUUCUUGUAAUUAACCUGCACCGCCUUGUCAAAAAUCACCCUGGCAUUUGCAAUAUCCUUGUGGGUCUCAUAAAGCUUCGCAAAUGCAACCCAUAAAGUAUGUGGCUUCCCUACAGCCUUCAUGGGGUCAACUGUCCUAACUGCUUCUGUGUAAGUCAAUAUCUGCUUCGUGGGAUUACCCUCAAAAAGCUUAACCCUCCUAUGCCACUGCUCCACAUUAUGUGGAUUCUGUCUAAGCAGCACACUGUUUGCCAGUUCUGGUCUUCUGUCCAUCAAGUGCUCCAACCUUGCCAACCUCAAAUCCACAUCCUUAUCAUCAUUCAACCAGAACAUUUUAAGUUUCCUCUCCAACUUUCUUAUAUCCAAACGAUCAUCCUCUUCUUCUUCCUCCUCCCCACCCAUAGUCUCAUUACUAUCUUCCUCAUCAUCCAGCUCACUGCCACUCAUCUCCUCCAUCUUUAAAGCAAGCAUACUCUCCUCAAACUGUGAAUAAGCAUCAAAAAUCACGCUAAAAUCCCUAACCGUCACCACUGUAGUCAUGCCUUCCUCAAAAAUAUCCCUCGCCUUCUCCACCAACUUCCUCCGAAUAUAAUAAUCAGCCAGAGAUGUCCACAACCUUCCAACCUCAUCCGUAAACUUCCUAAUCCCACCUCUAAUGAUUGCAUCCACAUUCAACCCAGAGAUAUCCAAAGCGUGCUGAGUCAACAAAUCACACAACUCCAACCACAGCCUGUGUUUUGUCUUGCCCUUUAUCGAAUAAAACUGAUCAUCAUUCAGAACCCCAGCCAACCUCUCUGCAGCCUCCUGCCACAGCUCAGAAUUCAACAAAAACUCUAUAAAAUCCUCAAUAUGGCCAGGAUCAUACUUCAAAUACCUACGAUAAACUCUAAGCGAUGUCUCAAUCGGAAUCCCCUUUUGGCUAACGAAAAAUAAAUAAGGAGCCCAUAUUCGAUCAUGCUGAGUAACGGGCAAUGCACAAAGCGCCCGAUCAAAAGCCCUACGAGUUUUGGUCACGAGCUUCUGAUUAGUUAAAGACUCUAAGUACAUAAUCCAAAUGCGAGGCAUUUUAUGCAUUGUAACAAGGGCCCGUUCGAAAGUAUUAUUCAGAGAUUGAUACUGAGAAUGAGUAAUUGGAAGGUUCCUAACCAGCUCAAGCCGUUCGCGAAGGUAGGCAUGCCAUAGCUUGUAGCUUCCGGGCAGGGCUUUUAGGGCUCGCUCAUAAAUUAUGGCCCGUUUUCGAAAUGGGGCUUCGGAUCUGGCUAUCAAGUAACGCCACCAAAGCUUCAAACUGAACGGGUUGCGGAGCAGCUCUUCUUCGUAGGCUAAAUCCUCAUCAGCCGGGUAGAGUUCCUGGGGUAUAAUCGCCGACGGCGCCGGCGCCGGCGCCACCACUGCCAUGGUAGGGAUUUAGGAAUUGGAGGUUUAGGGUUUGGAGAGAGAAGUGGAAUUGGGGGGGAAGGGUUUAAGAUUUUGGAAAGGAAGCUUGAAUAGGACAAAACUGAAAACUGGCGAGAAAAAGAGAUGAGGUUGGCGUUGGGGAUUUGGGGGGUGGCUUUGGGGUGGGAUAUUUUACCGCACCUCCACGCCAGACGUCUGAAUUAGGUGGGAGCGUUUUUCAGGUGAUAGUUGUUGUUGCAAUCCAGUAAACCCCAAAAGCGUUGCUACAACAUGAGAGAGAUGAUAAAGAGUAAAAACAAUUAUAUAUUGAAGUUGACACAAUAAAAAUAAGAGGACUUUUUUGGAGCACGGGACGAGGAUAAAUAGUCAUAUUAGUUUGUUAAUUGACACAAUUGAGUGGAUUUGAGAUUGGUGUGAAAAUUUGAUCUCAAAUUUGAUAGGGUGUAGUAAGUUGUUUUUUUUUUUUUUUUUGAUAAUUAGAGUGUAGUAAAUUGUUAAAAUUAAAAGUUUAAGGGGCAAUCUACGAUUUUGAAAAACUUUAGGAUUAUGAGCAGCAAGUUAUCCCUCGUUCUGGGAAAUGUUUUGUUGUACUGAUUAAUUAACACACAUGAUACAAUUGAGAAGGAAGGGUUAUCCAGUGUGACAAAGUUAUUAGAUUCUUUCGCUCUCUCUUGUAGUUCUUCGUCAAGUGAUGUCUUGAAAGGAAAUUAAUGAGUAAACAGCAUUAUUUCAAUUCAACAUUAGUUAAAAUUUGACUUUAAAAAACUUUGAAAAAAUUUGUGAUUAAAUUGAAAUUUUAAAAUCUUUAGCAUGCAAAACAUACUCUAUAUGAAGCGUUCACUUCCCAUACAACUCACUCUCUUGUAGUUCUUCAUCAAGUGGCGGUUUAAAAGAAAAUUAAUGAGUAAACAACAUUAUUUCAAUUCAACAUUUGUUCGAGUUUGAUUUUUAAAAACUCUAGUAAAAAUUGUGAUUAAGUUAAAAAUUCAAAAUCUUUAGCAUGCAAAAUCAUAUUCAAUAUGAAGCUUUCACUCCCUAUACAAAAAUUUAUAUCACAUUGAGUCAACUGUAAUGUACCUUACCUUAGUUUUCAUAUGUCAGUAUACAAAGUUUUGGCUCAAGUGGAACUGAACUGUGGAUACUCUAUUUUUGCUUAUUCGAGCCUUGUUGAACCAAACAAGUAACGUUGGAGCUGUGGAUGAUUGGAUUGAACUUGCACGGUUACCCUGAAGAAAAUAAAAAUCGUGUUUUUACCCUCUAAUAUUCUAAAAGUUCUAGUGAAGUCCUUUUAGAAAUUAAAAUUUGCCAAAUUGGUAAAAAAAAAAAAAAAAAAUAAAUCUUAUUACAACUUUUUGUUCUUGCAAAUGUAAACUGACCUAAGAAAAAAAAUUUUGACUUCGCCUAGGGUCUAAGCUAAGAUUGUUCAAGGUUUCUAUCGUACUCAAUCUCAAGUUUGAGUUUUUCUGCUUAGUUUGGAUGGCAUGCAAAAGAUGAUGUAAAUUACUAAUUAGUGUAAUAGUGAUACUUCAUUUAGAUAUUGAGAAGCUUUAAUAGUUGUGACCAACCUUUCUUCUUCUUCCCAAAAAAAAAAAAAAAAAAAAAAAAAGGUUCGACCAUAUCUAGGUUCUGAUCAAUAUUAGCCUGUACUCACCAAGUCACACAGAUAUUGACAUCUUGCUCUCAGGUUGACUGAUAACAUACCCUGCGUUAUACUUAUUGCAUCUUUUGUUUGUAAGAUUCGGUGGAUAAGGGCCGAGGAUAGUUUUUGUUGUCUGGUCUUCCAUUUCCUUCAUCAAUGUGAACUAAAAAAUGGAGUCUGCACCAAACAGAUCCAGAAAUUUCAGUAACUUCAGUCUAUGUAUGUUAAAGCUGCCUCUGAUGUUUUGGCUAAACAGCUAGUCCAGCGCAGCAGACCAUUUGAAGGCGCCCCCGCAGCACGUUACAUGCCUAUUCAAGACACGAGGAGUAGAAUUAACGGAAAACCCCGCCUUUGGUCAUUGACAAUUGAAGGCGUGGACUUUUUAUGAAAUCCAAAUUUCAUCCUUUAGAAGUUACUGUUGGGGUCAGACGUUGAAGACUUAAGUGCGUUCGAUAAAACUGAAAUUUGAAUCCAUUCAAUUUUGAUGAAACUGAAAUAUGAAGUUUGAAUCCAUUAAAUUAUUGAAUUGAUAAGUAUUAAACCAGAUACAUUUAAGUGUGUUUUACAUUCAGUGAUAAGUGAAUAACUUAUCACUUAUUUUUGGGAGUAAAUUUUGCCUAAAAAAUUCAGUACCACUUAAUUAAUUCAUAUGUUCAAUUUUUAGUUAUCAGACACGUCUAAACAUAUUAAGAUCUAAAUUCAUUAAAUUUAAGUGCUGAAUUGGAUUAUCAAACAGGACCUAAUUAGUGUCGAUUUCGACCUUUGAAAUUGGUAAGAAUAAAAGCCUUUAUAACAUUUGGCUGUAGAGUGUAAGGUGGUAUUCAUUAACUCAGUUUUGAAAUAUUAAUUGCUUGUUUAUGUAAAAUAAAUAAGAUAAAAUUUUAUAUGAUAUCAGUGUCUAUAUUUUUUUAAUAUUAGCAAGUUUAAAUCAUGCCACAUAACUCGAAUUCAAUUUUGAAAUUUAAAUCAUGCAUAUGUGUCAAACAUUCAAAGCUGUUAGUGUAAAAAAUUACUACACUGAUUGUUGAUUUAUAAAAAAUUAGUUCAAAUAAUUAAUACCCAUAUCCUUAAAUUACUUUACCAAUGACAUGGUAUAUAAUAUCGUUUCAAUUUCUUUUGUUAGCAAUUUAAGGAUUUAAAAAUUAUUAGUCUCAGAAAAAGUAACCACUUGUACUAUGAUAAAAUUUAUGUAAUUGAAAUUCGAAUAUAGUAGCAUUACAAAUGUUGUAAAUAGAUUUUGCAUAUUCGUAUGGAUGUUUAAAAUUCAGAGAAUGAAAUACCAAUAUUUUGAGGAUAAGGUGAUAGACUAACAAUGGGUUGAGAAAAUUAGCGAUUCACAAGAGUUUGUAACUUUCAAAAUCACAAUAAUCUUUCGACUUGCCUUUGAUAAUGUGCAUACCGGCUGGCAAAUAAACAAAGCAUGAGUUUUACAAGGUUUAACAAAAAAAAAAAUUUCCUUGAUCAUUCACGAGACGAAUAUAGACAUACUGUACUGGAGACCAAUGACACUAAAUUAUACUUGGUAAGGACUUUGCUUAUGAUGGAGAGAAGAGUCUUAUUUCCUGUUAGCCCCCAUGGAAUAAACGUGAGUUUACAAUUGUGCUUAGGGAUGUCUCUUCAAUUUACAUUUGUGCUUAUGAUAGAGUAUUUCUUUCUGUGUCUAUAUAUAUAUAUAUAUAUAUAUAUAUAUAUAUAUAUAUACACAUACAUGCAUGCAUACAUACACACACAUGCAUGCAGUGACGGAGCCGAGAUUUUUUUAGGAGGGGGGCCAAAAUUUUUUUCUAAUAAAAUUAUUUUAAUAUAUUAUGUUCAAAAUAAUUUUCUUCUAUUUAAAUAUAUGACAUCUAAAAAUAUCAAAUAUUAAAUUUAAUUAUAAAGGUAUGUCCAUUCAUAAAUAUGCGGUAUAGUCAUAACAAAAAUUAACAAAAAAGAUAACUUUUGAUUAAAUAUCUUAUAACAUUACAAACCAUCCAAUUUGCACAUUAUGAGAAGAUGCUCUCCAAUAUGUCACCUAUGCAAUAUAUAUAUAUAUAUAUAACUAUGUAAUAUAAAUGUAACUAUUUUCAAUUGAAAAAAGAUAAAAGUUAUGUUAACAUAAUUUGUAAUUUCAACAUCUUUUUUUAGAAGUAAAUUGAGCUCUACGCUCUUUCAUAGAAUUAAAUUCAUCUAUGAUUGAAUAACUGCUAAAUUUUUCAGCAACUUCAUUUUCUAUAUACACAAUUAGACAAUCAUUCAAGAAAUUAUCUUCCAUCUUGUUUCGGAGUUUUGUUUUGAUUAUUUUCAUAAUUGAAAAUGCCCGCUAUGUAGUUGCAGUUGAUAUAGGAAGAGUAAUAACAAGUCUAAUCAAUAUGUCAAUAAGAGGAUAUAUCACUGAUUUUCUUGUUUUCACCAAAUCUUGACAUAACUCAUGAAUACCAGAUAAUUCUUGCAAUUCUGGAUGAUUUGGAUUGUCAAGCUCAAAAUGUUGAAGUUCUAUUCUUAGACGUACUAGUUCUUGCUUUUAACAAUUAUAAAUUGGGUCUUUUUAUUCUAAUACAUCACAUUGGGUCAAUUUACUGUGGAACAUCAAAUGAUAUGUUUAAUUUUUGAAUAAUUAGUACAAUAAAAAUAAAUAACUUUUUUUGAAGAAAAAAAUUAAUUCAAAGAUGACUAAUUCAUAUAUAUAUAUAUAUAUAUAUAUAUAUAUAUAUAUCAACUCUGAUAAUAUAAACUAAAAUUGUAAAAAUUUAGGGGGGGCCAAUUUUAUUUUACACACAUAUUUACAUAUUAUGAAUUAAAAUUUUCAAAGCCCCCUGGCUCCAUCAUUGAUAGACUGUUAGGGUUUCUUGGUCAUCGACCUCGAUGUUAUCCUGUACUUUCCAGUUUCCGGGGUCCCUUUAGGCCUUUACUCAGAGUCUUUCCCGUGUAGUAUUCAUUUCGCAAUUAAUAGACCCUCCAUAUGAGCAUCCAUCGGUCGUAAGGGUUUCUGGUUUCCUUGCCUCAGUCUAUAAUAGUUGUAUACUACAAUUUUCUCAAAUCUGGCAUAAGAAAGUAAUUACUAGAGAAUAUAAUCCCUGUAUAGUUGAUGCUACCCUUUCAUGCUUUGAAGGAACGUACUGGAGGAAAUAAUGCUCGUUUUUAUUUCAGAACUGUUAUAUUCUAGUGAUUGUUUUCUUGAUAUUUAUUAUAUAUUCUACGGCUAAAUAUCCAAUAUGACAGUCACUGUACAGAUCGAUAACGAGCCUCACGUACGCAUACCUUCUUUUCUUUUUCUUUUUUUUUUUUUUAAAUUUACUGCAUAUAAAUAAUGCUUGCUUCCUCGGGGACCAAUUUAAUUUGUUCCAUCCUCAGGAAUUUUUCUGUUGCAAUCUGCAGGUGUUUGCUAUAACGCAAGCUUCAACAGCUCAUCACAUAUAUAAUAGUAGGUUAGCAAUGGUGCUGGUUUCCGUGUAGUACUCUAUAAUGGGAACAAGAUGUCCUACAAAGAUGGCCAUGCUAUAUAUAUAUAUAUAUAUAUAUAUAUAUAUAUAUAUAUAUAUAUGCCACGGAUUUCGAACAUUGAACAUUUUUUUAUAUUGGGUUUUACUUUGUUUAAUUUAAUGUGAUAUUAUUGCUUUUUUGGGUCCAUUUUUCGGUAAUUUGGACCUAGUUUUUCAUAAAUAGCGCGACACUGGAAAAUUGCUGACACAAGAGAUGAAAGAAAUUAAAGAAUGGAUUUUUCUGUCGAUUCAGUUUGUCAUCUCAGAUACAUAUAUUAACCUCGUCAUGCAACCAGCUUUAAAACAUCCACGAUCCUACUGAAGCUGUCGAAGCUUGCUUUUACGUUUUUUUUUGUGGGUGGAACACUUGUCUGUCUGGUUAUAUAACUGCAAGUUUUCAACCUAUCUUUUGCCUUUUGUCCAUUUUGUUUUCCCCUCGUAGAUUUCAGCUGAUGAUGAUGAUCAGUAAGCAAAACAUAGUAGUACAACUUAUCUUGAUACACGGGAUAUAUAAAAGCAAGUAGAAUGAACCCGAGCAUCUACUAUACACAUAAAAUUCUGAAUUCUAAUUUAUCAUCCAGGCAUCUUCUUCUUUUUUUUUUUUGGCUCAUAAUUCGGAUUGUCCUUCUUGCAUUUACAAGAUUAAUUAGCCUUAAAAGGGAAACACAAAAAAAAAAAAAAAGAAGAAGAUUGGCUAGCAUAAUUUUUUGUCUCUAGUACAAUAUAUAGGUGAUCGGAUUUGAAUCUUCAUGCAGGCCUAGGGUUAGCCAGACGGAAAUUUGCAUGUGUAAACCUGUUCAUGGCAACCCCCGUUUGUAGUUUCGGGGCAUUUAUGCAUGCAUGUGAAGAAAUUCAAAUAUGUAUGUAUAUAUUUGAUGAAUUAUCACUGGAGUUGAGAAGGAAAAGAGGCAUCAGGUGGGUGGGGUAUAUAGUCAAGACUAGAAGAUCCUGAUAGUCAAUACUCGUGCAUGCAUGGAUGGAUGGAAUGGAUUGUUCAAUUGUAUCUGUUCCUUUAUUCAAUAUUCAGUACAUGAUCAAUUUAACUGGUGGAGUAAUUGAUCUGUUUAGUACUGAUGAUAUAGUCCAUCAUAUCGCUGGCAAAUCUUUUACUGACAUUGUUAGAAUCAAAAGCUUAAAUGGAAGUGUUUUUGUAAUCUCAGACACGCACCUGGUCAUCAAACCAGCUUGGCCUAGUUACUGGCCGGUUUCCUCAGUAACCAAGCCAGCUUGGCCAAUGCUGAUUUCAGACAAGAAGGCAAGAGGAUCAGUUAUAUAAAAGCAUAAUGUAGGGGCACAGCUUGGACCAUUUCUCCUGUAAAAUUUGAAUCAUUCUUCUAGUGCUACUUAUAAUUUUGAUCUGACUCCAAUCUCUUGCACAAUCAGGUUGUGUAUUUAGGUUUCAGGGUCCGUGACAAUUCAAAAGCCAAAUGGGAUUUGCAUCAAAAAGCCUGUGCUGCCAAAUGGGAUCUCAUCACAUCAGUAGUUUCAGCUAGGACUUUACAUCCGCAUGCUUGAAGAUUCAUGUAUACCUGCUGAAUAGUUUUGCAAUUGAAAACCAAAGAGGCACUAAAUUACUGAAUAGUAUAACAGACAGCUCGGUACCCACCCACAAGAGGCCUCUUUUUAAAAUUAAAAAAAAGAAAAAAAGAAAAAAAGAUACUGCUCCAGCUCAAAAUGCAAUUUGAAGCGAAAUAGUGUAUUGGACAUUGAUGAUUCUGAUGUAUACUUCUAAUUUUCCCCAUCCGAUGGCACUAAUUUACUGCAAAACUGCGGCCAAGCUAACUAUUUCUACCAGCAAUAUAUUUGCUAGUUCUUGGGCAGUUUCUUUCUGAUCUUUGCAACGAAAAUCAUGAUUCAGUAAUCAACUGACACUUCACCAUAUUUGACAAGUAGUAGUAGUAGUAUUUUUUUCUACUUUCACAGGUGCAACGCCACCUUCGAAUUACCAUCCAAUCCAUCUUCAAGAACCUAAAUCACCUUUUCAGAAAUAGAACUGAUAUGAUAUGCCUCCUAGUAAACUCCGAGCAAGGAAUGCUUGUCUAAACACAAUCAUUUACCUCAAAAUCCUGUUUUUUUCCUAUUUUCACCAACUACUUUUCAAAGUUGCUCCCACAUUUCAUCAUCCCUUUUUCGAUCAAAUCCAAGCUUUUCACCAUCAAUCAUGAAAAGAACUACGAAAUCCUAAAAUCGACCAUCUUUCAUAUACUCUAUGCUUCUUCCCUUUUUAAUUUCAGAGCAUUCAGCAGAAAUAUCCAUUUUUUUUGCAUGCGUGAGGCCCUCCCUGUAAAUACUACUGUGUCUUGCAUUGGCAAGCCAUUACGAGUACCAGAGGCUUAUUUGGCUUUUGCGAUAGACAGACUCCUGCCUAGACAUUAAAAUUGGAAGCUGAUCGAAUGUAACAGAGGCAAAAAAUUAGGCUAAUUAAUUGUUUAUCCAUUGGGCGCAUGUCAUGGUCCAGAAGACUACAUAUCAUGUUGAUAAUGAGCAUCAUGCGUCAUAAUGCAGAGUACCAACCAUGCAAAUUUGACAGCAAAAUACACAUUAUCAGACACGUAUAGUAAGUGACAUUUCGAAAUCUUGCAGACUGGCCACAGCCCAAAAUGCACAAUUGCUGCAAAAUCCAGCCAACUACUACUAGCAAUCUACUACCUUUGCACAAUUACUGCAAAAUGCAGCAGACAUGCUACUAGCAAUCUACUAGCUUCUGUGCAGUUCCCUCAUCUGAUCCUGAAAAUCAUGACUGAGAAACCUGCCAAUUUGAAAGGACUUAGAAAUCUUCCCUCCCUUCAGAAAAGAAAAGCCCCCAAUUUUCUCAACAGAUUUCCACUCUCAGAAACAAUAUCCAUCUUUUUGACAAAAACCAAGCUAUGCCUAGAAAACAGGAACUCUUAUUGAAAAAAGAGAACCACAUUCUUUGCCACUUUUCAAGAUGUCAUAUCUGUUUCCAAUUCUUGAACUACUGGCCAGACUCACCCUUCACAUAUCAUCAGCCAUCAUCCCUCUUUUGAUCAUCCAACAAUUCCACCACCAAUCAUCAAAACAACUCCAAAAACCCAAAUUGAUCAUCAGCCAAAAAAAUUAGUGUCAAUCACAAUCUUGAAUAUCCUCUCUCAAUCACUGUACUGCAUUCAUUGUCUGAUAAGGAUCAAAAUUCAACAGACACAAAAUGACACAUGACAUUUCCAAGAAAAUGUCGUAUUAAAAACUCCCACAAUGGCCCCCACUCAUGCUUGUAUACCAGAUUAAAGAUACAGGAGGAUAAAGCUGGUGUAGAAAAAUACGGAUAAAAUGAUGAGAAUAAUAAAGAUUGACAGUCCAAUUAAUUGAUUGGUGGCAGCAGAGUCCAGUGUCCAGAGUCCAGAGCCGAGUCCCCCUUAGAUUCCCACCUCUGAAAAAGUUUUUUCCCAAACAGUCUCCAACCCACCGCAGGACUCUCUCUUCGUCACUUCGCCCCGCUAUUAAUUAGUUAAUUACCACUACCACACGCACUUCACGCACUGAUAACCACAGAAUCCACCUAAAACCCUAAUUCUGUGAAAGCUCUGCUUUUUUUUUUUCUGUGAAUGGCUAAAAAGGAGGAUAUUCCGCCGGACGAAAUCCGGUGCCGGAGAACGGACGGUCGGCAAUGGAGGUGUACUCGGAAAGUAGUAGAAGGGAAAAAGCUCUGUCAUAUUCACUAUCUCCAGGGCCGGAGAAGGCAGCUGAAGCAGAAAGUUCCGGAGUCGCUGAAAUUGGAGAGGAAAAGCAAGAAAAUUAGUAAGAAAGAUGGGGAGAAAAUCAGGGCUUGUUCGUCAAGAUCAUCGUCCAGGAGGAUAGUGAAAAUGGCGUUGGCGGCUGCCGUGAAGAAGAAGCAGAAGAAACGGUGCGUUUCUGAGGUUUUGGAUGAGGCGUUGAGGAGGAUGAAAUUGAAGAGAGGUGAUUUGCAUUUGGAGUUGAUCAGGGAGUUCUUGAAGAGGCAAGUAGAGAAGAAAAGGUUGAAGAAGAAGAAUGAGGAGGAGGAGGAGAAGGAGAAUGAGUGGAGUGGGGAGACUGAGUUGACUCGCGAGUUGCCAAAUGGCAUAAUGGCGAUUUCGCAGAAGAAUUCCGACAAUGCUGGUGGCCAUGAUGCUGUUGAUGUGAAAAUUGGAGAAAAUUCGUGCUCGGGAUGGAACACACAGAGGAGUUUUCGGUCCAAGAAUAUUGAACCCGUACCAUUGAGUACAAUGCAGGUUGUUGCAGUUGACAUUCAGGAUCUUAAAUCGCUUAUCUUGUUUAGUCAUUUGUUUUUGGUUCAUUUUCAGUUGAAUUGGUGUACUUUUAUUCUUCUUUUAUGGCUAUUGAUUUUCUUGUGGAACUUUUUGGCUCCGUGGAAAAAGGUUGUACCAUCUGUGAAUGAUUUGAGGAGAGUGAAGAAAUGCCAUUGGUGUAGGAGGAGUAUUGGUUGUAAUUUGAUCAAGUGUUUGAAAUGUAGGAAGCAACUCUUUUGUUGGGAUUGUGUUAAGGAAAGGUACUUAUUUUCUCUCUUGCCUUAUUUGCAUACUGCAGUUGUUUAUGUUGAUAUAUUUACGUAAUUGUUAUUUUGUUUUCUCUUGCAUUUUUGUUGAUCAGCAUGCAUGUUCUUGAAAUAGAAGUUCUAUGGACAAAAGUCAGAGUGACUUGGAGUUGGAUGUGUAAUUAAUGGAUUACCUUAUUUAACUGGUUAAGCUACUUUAGAAAAUGCAAAAAUUAUAGCCCAUUCAAAAAAAAAAAAGUGUCUAUUUGGAUGCAAGUAAUGUUUAAUUGGUAGAUUUGCUAGGAUUAAAAUGGACGAAUAAUUGGAUAGAGUGUAAGAAGGUGAUCAGAUUUAGAUAUUACGAACCAGUAUAUUAAAAGAAUUAGAACCUUGUUUAUCCUAAAUCUAAACCUGUCUGGGUUCUCUUUCCCAAGUAUGCGAUGAUCGCUAAACUAACAAAUUCACAAUAAGAUGAGGGGCUGUUUGGUCCCUACAUUUUUUAUUGUUAACUCAAUCUCAAUUGUAAACAGCAUUUAGGAAAAAGAAAUAUGGAGCAAUUAAUAGUUUUAGUUUUCAAAAUUGGAACUGUGUGGUUAGAAAUGGACUUCUGUUUCUGACAGAAAGAGUAACUGAUGUCUGGUCUAGUGAGAAGUUUGCUGAUGGUUAAACUGUGUCAUUCUUUUAGAGUUGCAAUAUAUUCUGUUCCAGAAGCAUACAUGAGAAUGUGUAUUAUUCUAGAUUUGAACAGCUGUGUAAUAAUCACAUUUGAACCGGACAGGUAAUGCUGGUCUGGAUUUUAUUUCUCACAUUAAAUGGUGUACAUUUUUCAUUCUUAAAUUAGUCUACAUGUUUCUAAUUAAAACCGGAGCCAAACUGAAAGCUAUGGCAUCUGACUGUGAUCAGAUACUUGGAGAAGAAAGAGAUUAAGGUGGCGUGCCCUGUUUGUCGUGAAACUUGUAGCUGUAUGAUCUGCCUAAAACGUCGAUCGAAGGAAAUGAGUCAUAAGGUUUGGUAUAUGAGAUUUUAAAGUAUGAAUUAGCACAUCCAUAUAUGUACUUUUUGACUACUCAAGCUUCUACCUUUCUGCAAUCUAUUUGCAGGAGUUUUAUAGGGAUAAAAGGAAAAUUGCGAAAAUCCAACUACUUCAUUAUCUCAUUUCCUUGCUUCUUCCUGUUCUCAAACAAAUUAACCGAGAACAGAACAUGGAGCUUGAGAUGGAGGCCAUGAUUACAGGUACAUACAGUAAUUGGUAGAAAUCAAGUUGUAAUUGAGGCAUCGAGCACCCUGUUUCAAGUUUCACGUGUAACAGGAGAAGUACCAUCCAAUAUCCAGAUUCAGCAGUCAGAGAUGGGAAACAAGAAGUUAUGUCGCUGGUGAGUUCUGAAAUGCUGAAAUGUUUUAAUGCUGUUGAAGAAUGUAUACAACUGUCCUGCUGCGUGUUUUUUAUGUGGUGUUUUCAAUCCUGGAUCAGCAACAAUUGCAGAACUUCAAUUGUGGAUUACCAUAGAAGCUGUGCGAACUGCUCGUAUAAUCUCUGCUUAAGUUGUUGCUGGGAAUUUUGUCGAGGAAAUUUAUAUGAGAAAUUUUGUUCCAAAGGUUGCAAUGGUAGGGAAAUUCAUCGGUCUGCUGGUGAGCUGCGAUUGAAGAUAAAUCACAUUAGCACUUCUUGCAUAAGUUCUUGCAAGGCGCCCCUUUUGUCUCCGAUGUCACUGAAGAGCUUGAAAGCUUGUUCUGAUGGUAGCGUAUUUUGUCCUCCAGUGGAUUUUGGUGGAUGUGGUGAGAGAAACCUUGAUUUAAGAUGCAUUUUUCCCUUAAGGUGGAUGAAAGAGCUGGAAGCAGGAGCAGAAGAGGUGCUUCAGUGCCAUGACUUUCCAGAAACUGCAGUUGUGUGUUCUUGUGACUCAUUGUGCAAGGGAACUGAGGACAAAGUUGAAAUUCAGCCACUGCAAAAGUUGGCUAAGAGAGUAGAAUCCAAUGAUAAUUUCAUCUAUUAUCCCACUUUAAGUGAUUUAAACAAAGAGAAACUUGGACAUUUCCAGCUGCACUGGGCUAAAGGUCAUCCUGUUAUAGUGCGAAAUGUUAUUCGAAGAACAUCAGUUCUGAACUGGGAUCCAGUUGUGAUGUUCUCCACUUACCUUGAAAGAACAAUUUCUAAGUCUCAAAAUAAGAAGGAAGUGAUUGAUGGAGCUACUUGCUUGGACUGGUGUGAGGUCAGUGUUUGAGUUUCUCCCUCUUUACAUAACAGACAUCUAGUGAACUUCAUUACAACUGUUGUUGCAGCUUAACAAUAAUUUACAUUUCAGUUUUACCAUUGAAAGUUAAGUAUGCUGUGAAGAUGUUAUUGAUUGUCAGCAGGUGGAACAACUAGUUAUGUGACGCCCAAAUAAAUUAUAAAUAAAUUGUGGCUGCAUGAUUUUGAAAAGAUAUAAGAUCUGAUUACCAGCAUGGCAAAGUCAAUUUUGUAUGUUAGACAAUUUGCCAUUGUCCUUAGAUCUAGUGAGGCAUUUCACAUAGGAUAAACAAUCCUCAUAUCAUAAAUUACUGCAUAUGUCACAAUCACAUUUGUCUAUGUUAUUAGGUGAGGACUGCUGUUGUUCUUUCUUCUAAUUUCUUUGUUUUUUCUUUUCGUUGUCUUUUCCACUUCUGGUUUCUGUGCAAAAUUGGGCUUGCAAGGGUAGGUUUUCUAAUGCUGCUUUGAUGUUUGUAAAGCAAGCUGCUGGACAAGUAGAAAUGAGAAAUGUUCAAGUUUGUUGCCAAAGUAUUCUGUCAAACUAUGUAGGAGAAAGACCUAUUGCAUGCAUUUGGAUCUUCUUAUGUCUGUCUCAUGCAUCCCACUUUCUUCUGGUGCUAGUUGAAUCUCUUCUGUUACUGUAUCUUUGUAGUUGAAUCUUUUUCUAUCUCUGUCUCAGUCAUAUUUUCUUUUCCAGGUAGAAACUUCUGCCAAACAGAUAUUCAUGGGGUCAAUGGUGGAUGGCACACAUUUAAAUGUGCAGCAUCAGACCCUGAAAAUUAAAGCCUGGCUUUCUUCUAGCGUAUUUCAAGAGCAAUUCCCUUCUCAUUAUGCUGAGAUCUUGCAUGUUUUACCGCUUCAGGAGUAUCUAAAUCCAAUUUCUGGCCAUCUGAAUAUAGCACUCAAGUUGCCAGAAGAAGCGGCGAAACCUGAAAUUGGUCCUUGUAUUCAUAUUUCAUGUGGUGGUCUGGAGGACUUCAUGAAUGCUGAUUUUUUGACAAAACUCUGCUUUGACUCAAAUGAUGUGGUAAAUUAAUAUUUUUGUGCACGUUCAAAGUUCUUUUACAUUUGAAUUUAUUUGCCUUCACGGUCAGUACAAUUCUUGUGAGUAUGCAAUUUAACUUGCUGCAAUUAGGUUUCAUUGUGGGAACCUCUUUUCUUUUGUGGAGCAUUUUAAUUGAGCUUACUGCUUGACAGGUCGUUUAAAGUUGUGACCAGCUAGGUAGGUGCAUGUCAUAAUUUUCUGCUCAAGAAAACUUGUCAUGGCAGUUCUGUCACUUUUUGAUAUGUUGCAAUAAGGUGACCUAAUAUUUAUUGGUUUAUUACAUGUUCAUGUUUUCUUCAGUUACAAGCAUCUUAUUAUCUAAUUGUGAAAUCAGACUGACCUUCCAUAUUUGCAUAUUAAGUGUAACAAUAACCAUUAUUGCAAACACUAGAAUACCCAUGAAUACAAUUUCUUUCAGUUGAAAUGACCUUUGCAUCUGCUUCUCUCUUUCAUUCUAUAUACUCUCGGUGACUGAGCAUACUUGAGUGCACGCACUUAUUGGCUGAUACAGCGGAAGGCAGUCGUUGCUGGAAGCAGAACAUUCCCUGGUGCUGAAUACUUGGGGUUCAAAAUAAAUUGCAAUUGAUAGUGUGCUGUGCAUGUUAAAGUGGAUUUCGACCGUGUUAUGUAGUUGCACAACAUGCGGAAAUACUCGUGCAUGCCUUGUCUAAUAUGAUUCUUCCCAUCUCAAAUUUCAUUGCUUUGUUAUAGUGUUUAAGAAGCAAUGUGUGAUUAACAUUGUUCUUACGGUGGAUAUGUUGAGAAAAUAUUCUACUAGGAGGAUCUGGGCUUCUUUGAACUUCAUUAUUGGAAGAGUUCAUUUCACUUGGAUAAAGGAAAUGUGUACAAUGUCUUUUUAUGCUUUGCUGCCUUACUAGCUCUCUGUCUGAACAUAUAAAGGAUUAAAGGAGGGCUGUCCUGCAACUGCAAUAAAGAGAUCAUCAUUGCUCCAUCUGUUGCAUGUGCACAUAGACGAAAGCAUAUACAUCGACCCACCUUUUGCAAUAAUAUCUUGGCUAUAGCAGCUGUACUUGUUGCUAAAUCGUGGAUACAUGAUUUUUUUCUGUUAUCCUGCACUUCUUUUGUGCAUCAUCAUUACUUUCAAAUCCAGAAUAUUGGUUACUUCCUUGAUUGAUGUCUAUGUUUUGGCUAUCACUGCAAUUUUUUGUUGAUUUUUCUGUUGCUACUGACUAUUUGUGUUUGACCUCUUGAGACUUAAUUUCAGUUUUCUUAUUUUAUUAAGCAGUAAAAUGAGUAGACUGAACAUUCUACGGUCACUUUUAGUUUACAGUCACCAGGAACCAUACACUGUUUUGGAUAAAAGGUGGUCUUCAUGUACUUGCAUGUGAUAUCUGGUGUGGAUAGCCAUAGGAAAAGAUCCUGUUUCAGUAGGCUUUUUGUUAAUUAAAGAUUUAAAGCAACACAUCUACUGAUAUAUGGAGGUGCUUGUAUUUAAUUUUCUCAUCUAAUCUUUUGAGAGAGAGAGAGAGAGGGGGGGGAACAAAUAAAUGAUGUAUGAGAUUGUGCCCCUCAAUUUUGCAGCUGUGUACUGGUAUCGUCAGAACAAAUUCUAGGUCAGUCCACAAUAAAUUGGCAGGAGGAUGUGAAACUAAUUAAGAUAUGACUUAUAAUUGCUCCUUGACUCAUCAACUUUCAGUCUAGCUUGCAUAUCAAGUUAGGAUUCUUCUGAAGUUGUAAAAUUAUUUGCAGCUAACUCUAUCUGCAUUUCAGGUUAAUGUUCUUGCAUGUGUUACGGAUGUUCCAAUCACCAGAGAACAGUUCAAAAAUAUUCAAACAUUGAUGAAGAAGUACAAGGGUCAAGACCAUUCGCAAUCAAGCAGAAAGAACAAUAAUCGAGGUCAUUUGCCUUCCAGCAGUAAUUCUACCGAAGUAAAAGGAAAAUCAUCUUUACACAGCGAAGAAAGUCAAGAAUCAGGCUUGCAAGAUAUGAUGGAAGAAAGGUUAAGCUUACCUAAUGGAAUUGCGAAAGUGCCUCUUUUCACUGGCAAUUCAAUUAAAGGACAAAUAUCAUGCUUUGAAAAUGGGAAUAUACCCUUUGAUUCUGAAAAUGAGUCUGAAUUUGAUUCUGAGUCCUCAAUGCUUUGUUCUGGAAACAUUCAAGGAUUGGAAGAUUCAGAUGAUGAGACUUUCUUUAGGGAUAUCGAGAGCUCAAGUUCUUCCUGCGAGAAACAAACAGCCAAUCCAUCUGGUGCUCAAUGGGACAUUUUCCGUAGACAAGACGUCCCAAAACUUCUAGAAUACCUCAGACAGCAUUCUGAUGAAUUAAGUUCUGCAUACUGCUAUGGUGGACAUGUAAUAUAUUCUGAGACUCAAGCUUCUCAAAUAAGAUGAGGAUGUAAGAGCAUCUUGAUUAAGUUGUUUGUGUCUAUUGCAGGUGGUUCAUCCAAUUCUGGAUCAAAGUUUCUUCCUCGAUGCAUAUCACAAGAUGAAGCUUAAGGAGGAAUUUGGUAAGCAUAGUUUCUUCUCCGUUAGCUACUCUCUAUCCAUACGAAGAAGAAAUAUUGUAACCGAGGCAGUUCUUAUUCGUACUAAUGGUACUUCAAACAUGGAACAUUCCUUAUCAUGGAGCUGCUUUUCACUGUUGCCAGGUGUUCAGCCAUGGACCUUUGAGCAACACCUAGGAGAAGCUAUCAUGAUUCCAGCAGGAUGUCCAUAUCAAAUUAGAAAACUAAAGGUGACGUAAACCAUUCAGUCUAGUGUUGCAGAUAUGAUUGAGUGUGAAACUUUUAUGGUUGCUCAUAAUUCCUUUGUGAUUUAAUUGCUUUUACCAGCAUGGAAGGUUGUCUCCUGUAGAACAUUCUCUAGAAGUAGCGAAAAUUGAAUAUCAGUAUUAAGCUCAAAACUGUCACAAAACUUCUAUAUUCUACAUUUAGGGUUGUCCUUUGUUAUAAAAAUGUUUGCUUGACUUCAUUGAAGGACAGUCUCUGUUACUCCAUUGUGAAAUCUUCAACCAAAUUGCAUUAUUACUGAGAGUUUUGCUUCUUGAAAUUUGUAUUUAAGCAUUGUACUUCUCGAGUAAUAGUUUUUGGACCUGGAUGUUUAAGGGUUCGCUAUCAUAGUUGCUAACUGAAUGGUUUUCUAUAUCCUCUAAACUGCAGCCAUGUGUCAAUGUAGUCCUAGACUUCAUCUCACCGGAAAAUACAACUGAAUGCAUUCGUUUAACUGAUGAAAUCCGUCUUCUCCCACUGCGCCAUAGAGCCAGAGGAAAAGUGUUGGAGGUGACUUUGGAUCAAACUCACUACUAAUUUACUUCUGCAGAAUUUGAGCUGCAUUUAACAGAAAAAGAAAAUAACGUGGAAUCACAUCUACAGGUUAGGAAGAUGACAGCAUAUGGAAUCAGCAGUGCAAUUGAAGAAAUCCAAAAGCUAAUGUGCACAGAGUAAGUUUUCUUGGAAAUAUCAAAACGUGACAAGUAGUUUGUCAUGCUUUUAUUGUUUUACCUCUAUCUCUUAGCUAUUGAGCAUUCAUUUGACAUGCAAAAAAAAAAAAAAAAACGACUGGAUAGCAACUCAGUGUCCGAUUAAGACAAUUGUAGGGGUCCAUCUCAAGUUCUUAAAUUCAGUUGGGUGAGUGGUGAAUACACAUUCUUCACCCUUCUCUUCCUCCCAACCCCCCCCCCCCACCCCCCAAAAAAUAAAAUAAAAUAAAAAGAGAAAAGAAUUGAAUGUAAAGGGCUGGUGGCUGUGGUUAUGAGGUGUGAAAGGAAAUAUUAGCUUCUUGUUUACUGGAAAAUUCUUGUCUGAAUUUAUGUAAUGAGUAUUUGGACAAAGAGAAAAAUUAUUAAUUUACUUCCAUUAGUAGUAGAUCGAUCUACAUUAUGGUCUAAUUGUAGAUUAUGGUCCUCUUAAAGUAGUUCAAUGUAGUGGAUUACAAGUGCAUCUUCUCUGACCAAAUUGGUCGAAGUCUAGUAUUUAGUCAAUAUCUGUCAUCCUUACUGUGACGUAUCAUUCAUUGAGGUUACUGGCUGUGAUUCUUCUUGACUAGUAAGGCUUUUGGGUCCAAAGCAAGAACUCUGAGAAUAAUUAUGAGAUAUCUUCAUUGCUGUAGUUACUGGUUGUUAGAUGGACAACAUGGCAUUAAUUCAUGUAAAUGGCUAAUGGAGUUAGAUAAGAACAGUUUUUCUUCUCCAGUUGUUUGCUGACCCUGUUGAGUCCAGGACCGGUGGCAAGCUUGCUGAGUGAUGAUGUACAAAGGGUAGCAACUAUACUUUAAGCAGCUUCUUGUCCGAAGAUAGGAGCUUUCUUUUUGAUAACUAAUGGCCUUGUCUUGCUACAAAGCUUGUAACGCUGAAGGUCACCACAUCAGUUAAUUGAUGGCCUACAGUUAAGCAAGGGUCUUAUGCCACCAAACUUUCAGAUUGUAAAGUGGUAGUAGUCCUUUGCUGAACGAAACACUUCGUAUCUGAGUCUUUGCCUUACAUUUCUUACUUCUUUUCAUCUGUUUUGAGUUGGCAUAUACGUCAUAAUUUUUCUUUAUUACUUGCAGUUAUGUGUAACCUUUUGGGGUGCUUCGCUAGCUUGAUAAGGCAAAGGUUGAUUGCAUAUCAACUGGGAGGUAUUUGACAUUCAAUUAGAGCUAGAGCUUUGAGCUUCACAGAGACAUUUGGCUGCCCCGUUUCUCUAAAGGAGGCUGUGAUUUGAUUCCCUGAUGGUUCAGGAUAAUUGUGCCUGUGUUCUUAGUAUGGGUGCAGAUGGGGGGAUAUAAGCAAAACUCGAGAGAGAGCUUAAUCGGUGAUAAAGGAGGUUUUGAUUGAGAGAAGACUAAUUUGUUCUGCGCUCUUUCCCAAAAUCUCCUUUUGAGUGAGAUAAAUGAUCCGCAUCUUCAAUUAAUAUACCGCGAGUUGAUGCCCGAUAUUGAAUUGUACAUAAUCCACGAUUAUUUUCUUUAUUUUUUCGAAAUAUGUAAUUUUGGAAGUAUAAAUGAAAACUCAGUCAAAAUGAAAUUUAGCUUAUUUUCCGACGCAAUUUUAUAAAGCUUGUAAAUCGUAUUUGAGGUACAGCAGGUAGUUUCAACUUUCAAGUCAUUCUGCAGGUACUCAAGAGCAAAUCCUUGCAUAAAAACUAGAGGAAAAAAAAAAAAAGGGCAUGGAAAUUAUAAGAACACGAGUAAGUUCAAGAUCAUCUUUGCCGAAUGUAAAAAGAUGAAGAGAUAAGCUGAGAGAUAUGAAAAAAAUAAAGGAAUUCAAUUUAUUUCUUCACAUCUUGUGUCUCUCGCGAGGCAGUAUCUUUGAAAACAAAAAUUUAUGAAUACAAAGACAAAAUUUCCAAUUGCAAAAUUUGUGACGCAGCACCCCAAAAGGAUUGAGUCUGUCUAGUUGGAACAGGUCUAAGUAGAUACACGCAAGAAGAAUACUAGUACGCUGUGAGAUGGUAUACAUUACUGAAGUUCUAUGCGAUCAAAAGAAUUGCUAUGUAACCAUAGCAGCGGUUAGAGAUUUCCUUAAGGAGCCAUGAGUCCUUCAAUCGUGUGAGAGAGUGACUUUGCCCAGUCCGCUUUGAGUAGCAGCGUCUGAAGUGUAUGCAUUACAUCAUAAUCAGGAUCUAGCUUUCGCUGCCAACCCUAUAAACAGAAAAUCAAAGGCAUAAAAGAAAAAUAAAAAGUCAAAACUACAAGGCUCAUACUAACACCAAAACAGUGGCAAGAAACAUACCGCAAGAAUAACCUACCUUAACAAUAAUAAAAAUGAUAAACGAAUGAAAAAGGGACAUGAGAAAAACCAGAACCAAUAUCAGCCAGUGAAUAAUUAUUGGGAAGUUCUGCAUUAUCAUUUGAAUGCCGCAAUAUGACAAAAGCUUCAAAAGAGAGACAAAUUUAAUGCUAACAUUUUUCAAAUGUGUUGUCUGAAUGCUGAACGCCAUGUCAGCACCCGAUAUUACAUCAAAAGCCCAUAAUCAUAUGAAUGGACUAGUUAUGGGGCCGUGGUGAAAGUUUAAAACUAAAAUACAGGCUCUCACAGGUUACUAGGGUUAUUGAAAGUCAACUUUACCAUAAUAUAAUUUUUUUUAUUGGCCCAAACUGGAUCAUCAAAAUGCCCACUACAGUGCUUGCAACAAUGAGCAUGGGAUAAAUGGUUAGGCCUAAAGCACAUUAUCCUUUUCCCCAAUACCCAGGGCGGUUCUAGUUAUCCAUUCUAACUCUUAGUUUAACGAGCAGCAGAACUUCUUCGAAGCCUCAAAACAUGAAAGUACAAAUUGAUGAAAUAAUUCUUCCAGAAAUAAUAUAUCUUUACAAGGGGAUUUCAAACGCUUAAGAGCAUAGGAGCAUUAGUGGUCUUAUUGAAAGCAAUUAUUCUCUAAGACCUUAAACUUUAAAGUCUCUAAGCAUUUAUUAAUUAUUUUCAUUUUCUUUUCGGGCAGAGGGUGUUUUUGGAGUGGAGGAAAGGACAGCAAAUUUGCUCAAGCAACUAGUCACAUUUCAGUAAAAAAGCAGCAUGAGUACUUCCAACACCUGAGGGCAUGGGCAUGACAUGCAUACAACUGUCAGACGCCAAUCAACAAGAACAAGCAUGCACUCCAUCAAGCAUCUUUUCACAAAAUGUGUCAUAAAUCACACCAACAUGAAGGGAAUCUAUACCUCAAGAACCAAAGUUGUAACCAUGACUGUGCACACAUUGCCAUCGAUGUUUACUCUAUGACGCCGAACUUGCUCAAGUAAAUGCUGCAUGCAAUCAGCCGGAUGAACCAAAUCACCUUCUGGAGUACCCCAAAAAUCAAACGACUCUUUCACUUCCUAAUAAAAAGCAGAUGAUUAGAAUGAUAACUAUGCUAAAAUUAGGAGGAUCACUAAUCACAAGCUUUACGCAAUAAAAGUCUAUUCUUUGACCCAAAAAUACAGAAUCUUUUCCUUGAUUUUCUAUUUGAUGAACCAGUAGGAAAUUGAAAGUUACAGAAGAUAAUCCUACACAAACCAGAUAAAGGUGUAAAGGAUAAGAAUUCCAGAACCCCAAGAUUAUGUCUGUUUCCAAUGCAAAUGGAAACACAAAAGCAGGACUAGGAACUAUCCUUUAAGGAGGUUCGCUAAUAUCAAACAUCAUAUGUAAGAUGCUGACGGAAAAAUGUGGAAGGGUCCUUUAGUCCAUAACCCUCCUUGGUUCUCCAUAAUAGUUUAGAUGCUGGCACAAUUUUAAACGGUAUCAAAAGCUAUAUAUAGUAGAAAACACUAAAAGAAAUAAUAUAGCAGUGUUGAGUGUGAUGAUUGACGUGCCAGGUCAGCCUCCUACUUCCUAUGGCACAUAAUAAGAGAAUUACCUGGAUAAAGUCCUGUGGGCUGGGACAAUUCUGUUUUUUUGAUAAUCUUAGUGCGCACUCUGCUGCUGUUUGACCAUCCCGACGAGCAACAGCCUUGAAAAACUCUAAUAGAUUACUUCGAUCACUUUUAGAAAGCUCAGCAGUCAUUCCUACAUCAACGAAAAUAACAUGAGGCUUUGACUUGAAAAGGCGCUUCCGAGAAGGCUUGGUCUGAGCCUCCCUAACAAGGAUGUUUCCAGGAUGCAUGUCAGCAUGAAUGAAGUUGUCUACCUGUUAAAUACAUGGGAAAAAAUUCUCAGCCAUGAGAACUAACACUUAAUGUUAAAGACUAAGUAAAUGUUCGUAUCUUCCCCCAAAUGUGUGACCAGACAAUCUCAGCAUUGUUUUAGGAAGGUAGGUGUUAUUUACUAAAAUUCAACUUAAGAGGGUGUUUUUGGAAGUGACAUAGGAUUCAAAAUUUGUAACAAAUUUAAACAAAUAGAUCAAAUACCACGUUGCCCACUAUAUCAACAUGGUUAAACUUUACUUGCAACAAAGUCAACAAAAUAUUGAAGCCUGCUUUGCUUCCCUUUCCCCCCUCCCCCCAAAAGGGGGGCACAGGAACCCAAAGAAAAAGGUAACAACAUACAUGGAUUGGACAAUAUUAAAAAAAAAAAAAUUACCAGAAGCAUUUUCAGUAGUGCAUGAGUUCCAAUGUGAGCAAGUGAACUUUUAAGUCGUUCAUGCCCCACAAUCUCGUCAACAUAGUGUGAAACACAUUCCCCUUGCUCAAAGGUUUCCACCAACACAGCAGGAUGCACCAGUGGAUACACAGGCUUUGGGAAAGAGACAUCCUUCCAUCUGCGAAAAUUAUAAAUGAAGCGGCUGAGAUGGGCAGCUUCUCUUGCAAGAUCAACUUGAGACAUCAUAAAAACUGCAAAUUGCUGAACACUCUCAUCCAAUCUCAACCAAUUUAGUGCCGGAAUGAAUUUUGAUAAUUUUGCCACUUUGUUGAUUAUCUCAAAAUCUCUUUUAAUUGAUUCACCAACUCCAGGAUGUCUCACCUUCACAGCUACCAUCAUAGGCUUGGUGUGACGACCACGAUACCGAUACUUCAAAGAAGCUCGGUGCACCUGAGCAAUACUUCCAGAUGCUACAGGUACUUCCUCAAAGUCAUCAAAGAUUUCAGUUAGCUUUCGGCCAAAAGCCCUUUCAAUAGUCUUUUUAGUGUAUGCAAAGCUAUGUUCGGGUGCUUUGGUGUGAAGCUUGGAAAGCUCAGCACAUAAAUCUCUCGGAAAAAGAUCUGGCCGUGAAGCAGCCCACUGACCCCAUUUUAUGAAAGCAGGACCUGCCCUUUCCAGCGUUUGAUGGACAAGCUGAAGCCACACUUUCCUGUACCGAGGUCCAAAAUAAUCCACAAACGGAGCCAUGGAAAUGCUUGGUGAAAACAAAAUCGCCAGAUACAGGGCGCGAAGCAACAAAACAAUCCCUUGUAAUACAGCAAGGACCACUUUGACAACAAAAAUAUGCCCAUCCUGAGCCCGCAUGUAUAUUGUAUUCCUUGGCUGAAAGAAAUUCACGUCUACAGGGGCUUGUGCCCAUGCUAAAUUUCUUCCAAAAGCCAAGGCGAACAUUCCAGGCAUAACCACAUAAGAGCGGCUCAAUGCUAAGCUAACUGCCUGAGCAAUCCGACUGAUUGGCUGUGGAGUUCCUGUAUUGCAGGAAGGUCUCCGGACAAAACUUUUCCAAGCAAGUUGGGCACGCUGUGCUAGUGUCCUACCAGGUGACACUGCUGAAAACUUCUUGACAAACCCGCUAUGGGUCUGAUUUCUAGCUCCCCACAAUGAAGAUGAAACUGGUCUCCUAGCAGGAAGCCCAUACUGUGAAUAUAGUCUAUAAUUCUGUGAAUAUAAUCCUGGUCUAAAAAGUGGUCCAUAUUGCAACCCAUCAGAGUAUAUAAUGGUCGACUGAUUCUGACGUACAGAUUGCACACCUCUCUUAACACUUCUAACCGUCAAGAAUCUGCAUUCCCACAAACAGAGCUUAAAAAGGCGGUAAUAUAUCCAGAUUCCUCUCAUUUUGCUCUAUAACAUAAUAAAAAGCAUGAGAAACAAUUACUGGGUUGAAUGGUUUGCUAACCUUGUCCCAAAGAGUAGGAACAAAAAAAGAAUGAUACGUAGUGAAUCAAAUCCAUAUUCUAAGCUAGAGAACUACAAACACUAAUAAUUUAAACCCUGAAGGCCUAUCUCAUCAGAAGGUCCAUAUUCUAAUGGCCAGAAACCAACCAGAGCACCUCACCAUACAAUGCUAGAACCCCUCUUACUUUCCACAUGGGCAAAGCAUAAAUUUGAAGUAAUUUGGGGGCCCAAUAGCAAUAUCCACAACAAAAUUCAGAAAUAAUAGAAACUAAUGAUUUUGCCCAUCACAUCCGAUUAGUUAUAAUCAACGAAUAAUCAAAUACGAAACCAGAAAGUGGGGGAAAGGGAAGACAAUUGGAAGGCGGAGGCGAAAGAGGAGGGGCGAACCUUGACAUGGCGAAGAGACGGUAAACGAAUGAAGACAUGAGAGGUCUAGGGAGCGGCUACAGCUACGGCGGCAGAGGAGGCUAAGAUCGGCGACGAGCAUUUUCUACGGAGGAUUAUCGGCGGCGGACGAUAUAUUUGAACCAUGCGGUUCAUAAACAAAAACUAAACCCUCCCAGAAUUAAGGAAAAACAUAUUGCCCAAUAAUAUUCCACUUCUGUAUUACUUCUAUUAUUAGGUGUCUGGAUUUAUUUAUUUAGUUUUGAUAUCUUCUUGUCUACGUUGAUACUUGAAAGAAAGUUUCUUUUUGACUCGGACAACUCAGCUAUGGUUCUUUCUUCUUUUUGGGCGUAAGACCUAGGCCGAGAAUAGUAUUCAAGCUGGGCGGCGGCGAAACAACGCCAUUGGAAAUUAGAAGGAAAGAAACCCAAAUGUAAAUCUAGAAACAGAAUCGAUUGUUUUUUUGUGAAAUUAAAAAUAAAAAAUGAAAUAUUAGUUGGGUCAGGGUUGGACCAAAGACCGAGGGUUCGAGCCCAUGGUCGGUGCUGGUCUAAUUGACUUCGCCGACGCGGCUCAGUUAAAGCUAGAAUUGGGGACAAACAAGGACACGUAUCCUUAGGUACGGCUGAUUGCGAGCCGACAGCUUGGUCAACGCUCGGUUCAAACUCGAUUUUCGAGCCUCAGCUUGAAUAGCUUGAGCGGGCAUGUAAGUGGUGUAUUUUUUAAUUUAAAUAAUAUAUAUCUUUUUAAAUAUGAAAUUACCACUAAAGAUUUAUGCUUGCAAAUAAUUUACAAGAUGAUUUGUAUACUUAAUAAAAUUUUUUGAUGGCAAAAAGGUAAUAGAAUUUGAAAUAAAUAUAAUCUAAUUCCAUUUUCCAUGUCUUGAGCUUAAAUGCUCAAAAAUGGGAUCUAAUCGAACUUUUAUACUUAAAAGCAGCAUCAAGUACUCGAGCUCGAUAUGACUCGUUUUUUACUCGAGUCAUAUUGAGUUGAGUUCGGGUUUUUUUUAUCAUUUCAUUGAGUCGAGUUCAAUUUCCAAUUUUUGAAUUCGAUCAACCUCGAACUCGAGUCAAGUAAGGUGAGCUCGAGUCAAAUAUGAUGCUAAUAGUGUUCGAGUCGAACUUGAAUAUAACAUUAUUCAAACUCGACUCGUAUACACCCUACCCUCAGGGACCUAGGAAUGAGGUAGGAGUUAGAUUUUUCUCCCCCUGUAUUAAAUAGGGUAGGAGGCAAGGCUGCAUACCCCCACCUUAUCCUCCAUCCCGCUACUGCCUAUACUUUAAUGCUAUAAUAUUAUUAUUAUAUAAAUAUAUUGUAUGAAAUAAAUAACAUGUUAUGUUAUUAUGAUAAAAUGAUGUAAUUUUUUUUGCUAAAAUUUCAAAAUAGUGAUUAAUAAAACUAUUAAUAGAUCUAUAUAAAUUGAAAAAAUUAAAUUAAGUAAAAAAUAAUAAUAAUGAUAGUGAGAAGGCAAAGGUACACCCACAAGAAUAUUGGAGCCCGGUAAGGGCGGGGCAGGACAGCGAGCGUGGGGGCCGGGGCGGUGGAGAGGAGUAUUGUAAAGAGUUUAUUGCCAAAAUAACACUCUUGUUAAAAAAUAUUCUCAAUGUGAUUUACUUUCAAAAUUUAUUCCCAUAAUGAUGUUAUAGUUGCCAUCUAGUUAUCCUGAUUACCAUGCACGAUAACAAGAAAAGAAAGUUCAAAUCUAAUUUAAAGUAUCCAACAUGAAUUAAAAUUUUAAAUUUUUUUAUUACAGAGGCACAAGAAGAUUGCAUAACUUUUAUAAUUUCUUUAUAAAUAUUUAAAAUAAAUUCUACCAUUAUUGACCUUGCUAUUAUUGGACUCUAAUUUUUUAAAAAUGUAUCAAACCUAUUGCAUAUAUAUUUUUUAAAAAAUAAAUUUUAAAAAUACAAAAGUUGCAACAAAAAUUUCAACAAAAAUUGUAAGCAAUUAAAAAACUUCAAGACUAUCAUAUUUAUUUAUGUUAUCAUUCCUACUCCUUAAAAAGACACGAGAAUAAUUUUCAUUUGCCUUGAGAUUAUCAACUCAAGAAGCAUAUUUUUUAGAUGCUGUUAAUAUAAAUAUUGAUUUCUUAGAAUUACGAGUGUGUUUGGAUUGAAGAUUAUUUCACUUUAUUUACACACACUAACUUGCUUAUAUCAUCAACACAUUUUUCAAUCACAUUUUUAUCUCACAUACAUCAUAUCAAAAAAAGUGCUACCGUAAAAAUAUCUCAAAUAUAGGUUUGACAAGGGAAAGAUAAUGAAACAAAAAAAUGCGGGAAGAUUUAGAAAGAAAAUUGGAGAAGAUAUUAGAUGAAAAAGAGAAAUGGAAUGUGCUUUUAUCUCCAUCCUGACACAUAUACUGCCUAAGUGGCAAAAAAAAGGAUUAUAAAGGUAAUAUAUUAUAAAAAUAGAUUACUUUGGGUAUAUGUUUUGGAAUAAGAGUUAUUUUGGCAAUAAACUCGUAUUGUAGAACGGGGGCAAUUUUGGAGUCGGGCGUUGCAUCCCUUGCUAGGACUUCAGUUGAUUGGAUCUGGGACAGGAGUUUGGACUUCGAUUAGGUCGGUUGACCAAGUAUGUGCUUCGGUAAGAGAUUAUUUGAAAAUUAUUUUUAAAUAAUAUUUUAAUAUUUUCGUGAUGUGAUAUAUAUAAAAUUUAAAAAUUUUAAAAAUGAUAAAAAAUGUAUUGUGAUAAAUCUCUUUUUUUUUUGGUCAAAUGAUGAGCUAUCCUAACAAAUACUUGUCUCGAUAAAACAAAAUGAAAAAGGAUUUUUUUUCUGUCUACAUAAUAGGGGUGCAAUCACUAUAUUAAUCACUUUAUUAUUUGGGCUUGGCUCCCAUUGUAACUUCUUGUCCUUCAUUGGGCUAGAUGAGUGCAGUUACAAAUUUUUGAAUUCGUACUUGAGUUGAUGUGAAUGAUGCACUAUAUUUAUUUAUUUAUUUAUAUAAGUAUAAUUAAUCUCGAAGAGCAUUUUGAUAUUCAAGAUGUGCUUGGUCGUAGCCGAGUUAACUUGAAUUUUAGAGUUUAAUAUCACUAUCUAUUUAUGCUUUUCAUGGAUUAUAUUUUACGGUUGCAAUAUAUUUUUAUUUUUUGAAAAAAAGUUUCCUGUUUAGAUGACUAUUUUUAUAACUUUUUGUAGGAAAAUGUAUUGUAACAAUUUAAUGCAUAUGGGGUAAAAUGGAUAUUGAAAAGUGCAUUCACGAAAAAUGUAAAUUUUUUUUAAAAAAAAAAAAAAUCACAAUCCAAACUAUGAAAUCCAUUUUUAUUUUUCCUUCUUUUGGUUAGAGAAAAUGACGGUCAUGUGGCCAUUUCGGAAACUACAAAAAGUGGGAGUACCAUGUAAAUUGAUAGUUCAAUAUUGGAGUUUUUUUUUAUUUUUAUUUCCCCCCCUAACAUUAAUUAUAUGGAGUUAUGGACUGUUCGAGUUGAAUCAUAGAAAAGUGAAACAUUAUCUGUAACAUUAAAAGUUUUUGGACUAGAAAACGGGAAUUCAAGUCAAAUCAAGCACUCCCAAUACAGUUAAACCACUAAAGAUUAGUAUCUGCAAAUCUUUCAACACUUCCUCCUUUUCUUUUUCUCGUAAUCUUUUGACAAGACUACGGUCUAGUUAUAUUCUUAGCACUUUUCUUAUAGAUGCUAAAAGUUUUUAAAUCAUAUUAGUUUGAAAAUAUGACCUUGUCAAUAGGUUAAAGGAAAAAAAGGAAAUAAUAGGAAUUAAUGAAGAAAUAGUAGCUAUUGCCACUGACAAAUAAAUCCCUUUUUGUUUUUAAUAAAUAAAAGAUUUUAAACUCAGAACGUCUUGCUACUAAUUCCUCCUAACUUAGGAUCCAAUUCAAUCCGCUUGAAUUUCUUACUUAUAAUCCCUCCCUCCUAACGUACAAUCAAGCCUUAUUUCUCAAUUCUUCCACUGACAAGUAAGCCUUAUUCCUGGAAGAAUUGAGAGUCUUUCACCUGCUGCGACUGCAAAUGAGUCAAGAAUUCUCAAAACAUUAAUCAUGUGUCAAAAGACUCGAAACUCGCAUCCCUUGAUUUGCUAAGCAUCAAGGGAAAAAACACCGGGCCCCCGGGUGGGGUGGGGUUUAGGAAUUAGGAUUAGAUAUGCUUUGUGUUCAAAUCAACAUGUGAGAUCCCAGCUGCACUGUGGGAUAGCUACCCGUCAAAACGUGAAGGAUGAUAUUUUGGAGCUUUUGAUAAUUUCAGUACCCGAACUUAUAAUUGUGAUUAUCUCAAGGUAAUGAGUCAACCGAGCAUGCAUAUUUUCAGUGUAAUUUUCUAACAUUUCAGGGACCAUAAUGACAAGUUUUGAUGAGCUAAUUCUGCUAUUUUUUUUCUAGCUACUAAGCAUUUAAUUGGACUGUACUAGUUAGCUAGGUAAAACUAUAAAAGUGAUAUAAAUAAGCACGUCAAUGUUACAAUACAUGUUCAUAUCUCGGAUUGUCCUGGAGCGAAUCUUCUACACACGUACAUAAAAAAGAUUCUGAAUUCAAGACCUCUCAAUCCACUUAAAAAAGUAAAAGGCUAUUUUUAAAUAGCGCUUCGAAUUAUAUUAUACGUACUACCCAAUUUAGAUACUACAAUGACACGUACGUACAAGAAGAUAAACUAAAAAUAAAAACUUGACUGCGGUUGCACAUCCCUUAAGAAGCUCUUAAUGACCAAAACGAACACAAACAGCACACAGAUUAUACAACCACCUAUACAUUCCCAGUUCUAUACCAUGCAUGCUGGAGGAUAAAACAGGAACUAGCACGCUUUCAGACAAGGCAUCAACGUUUCCUAUUUCCAGCUGGUUCCUUCUGUGAGUUGAAAUAUACGGCAGCAACAGGAAGUCCGAGUUCAUUAUGGCUUGCAAAUUGUCGAGUGGUGAAGUUGUGACGGGGUUCUGGUAGCGUUUUUGGCUUUUCCAUUCUUCCUCUCUGCUUAAAAAGCGCAAACACGUAGCGGUGGAUACCCGCUGGUGGCUGAGGCCCUUGGUAUGCUACCAAUUCUUUGCCUUCCAUUAGAGAAAUCAAUAGUAUAACAUUACUUGAUCAAACUAAAAAAUAUACCACAAAAUACUUCGAAUGAAGAUUAUUAAAGCUAGGGAAUGAUUGAUCAUAAAGUGAAAUUUUUUUUUUUUUUUAAAAAAAAUAACCUUCGGAGGCAUCCCCACCCUCUGGGAUGUUCACCACAAUCCUGCAACGGCGCCAAAACAAAACAAAAAAAAAAAAAAUUGCCAAAACGAUUCCAAGUUAAAAUUCAGGUAACCGUAUCCGAGGCCAGACAAUUUUACAUGUAUAAGUUGAUAUACAAAGAAGAAGAAAAAGUGUACCAAUGAAGCCACUCUCUGAAAGUCGGAUCACUUGGACUUGGCGCAUCAGGAUCGACCAUAACCUGCAACAGAACAAGAACCGACCCUUCAAUGACUAAAUGCAUGCUACUGAAAAUUUCAACCUAAAAGAUAAAAAAAGUGAGAGAGAGAGAGAGAGAGAACAUUUGAAUCCUCAUAAACUUUUCGUAAAUUGUACUUGAUCAUUGAACUCAUGCAAAAGUUUGCAGGGUUUUUUUUCCUUUUUCUUUUUCUUUCUUUCAAUUUAUGUACUUGUAUGUGAGUAUAUACUAAUGAGCAUGUAUGAGAUGGCACACUUACAAGGGUAAAGAGACUGGCGGCACGGCCACGAGAGCCAUUUACGCGAACCGCAGGCUUGUGAGCAGAAUGGGAUGGCUUUAUCUCACAACCAUUUCCGACCUGUUUUGACCCAUAUUGUACUAUCAAUUCAGCAGCUGGUACAAACAUGUCGAGCACAUCUCCGAUCACCCUCCCCACCACCAGCGGUUCAACUGGCCUAGCCAUUGUUGAAGCUUGAAACAAACAAGUAAUAUGAUUUGAUAUGACCUCUAGUCUGAUUUUAUAUCCUAUUCCUUUGUCGCCUGGCCCUUUUGGGCCUAAUUAAUUAGGAGGAAUAUCUUCUUCUUCUUUUUUUUGUGUGUAAAGUGAUAGCAGGAUCAAUUCAGAUCAAUUAAGUGUUGUAGUGUUAGUAGCAGGCGAGAGACUAUAUAAUUGAGUUGGAUGCGUGGCAAAAUGUUUCAAAUGAUUGACACGUGGGCUCGCCAUCUGUAUUAAUCCAACGUGAUGGACACGUGUUGACCAUGUAAGUGUUCCUCGGCUUGAAAUCCACAAAACAGUCUGAAAACGAAAAUUCGAUGAGCUGUAAACGGGUCCAAAAAGAAAAAAGGUAAACGGAUCAAAUCGAAUCAAUCUUUUGGCUGGUUGAAUUCGAUUCAAGGUUUUGGGCUUGAUGCGACUGCCAAAAAUAAGAUCUGAGCUGAGCUGCGACGGGCUGAGCGAGCUGGCGAGCUGGUCAGGUGAACGAGCCGACCUGCAAAUGGACAGACGGUGGAGCUAACAGAGAGUGGCCGAGCUGAUAGGCCGAAUUGACGGGGAGAGAACGGACGACCUGUCCUGCAGAGAGGGAAAUAAACGGAGGGACUAGAGUCCCCGGAAUAACUCCGACGGCCAAGUCAGUAGAGCUCAAGAGUAGAGCAACAGUAGAGAGAACUGUGGAUGGCAUACCUUGUGUCGUCUUGUGGUGCUGUAUAUAUAGGCUUAACGGGUGGUAGUUUCCAUAUAGGAGUCAAAGUCCCCUUAGGGUUCGGAGUCUUCUUAGGGUUUCGUGCGGCGGCUCCUACAAGUUCGGAGACGGCGGCCCAUAGGCCCAUCUCAAGGAUCGAUAAGUAAGGCCGAGCUGGCCUCCAUAUGCCGAGUUAGCGCCUGCGAGUUGCGAGGUCUCACAGCCGACCUGACGAGCAAGACCUGCCGAGCUGACACGUGGCACGCGCAGGUUCACCCCACUACACUAGCCCCCUUGAGUCUAGAGUCACUGAUGAGCCAUGUGGGUCUGGACCAAACUUCGAAGCGUCACGUCGGCUUCGUGCGGGACCCACAAUCCCACGAUCACGUAUCUCCUCCGAAAAACUGCCACGUCCGCCGUCGUAACCGUCACUUCAAGGGUCACGUCCUUCAUGAUGGCGGUUUGUCAGCUCACGCGUCUUCCAAGGUAACUGCCCCCUAGCCAUAAAUUCGAACUUCUUCCUCGGGACUCUUCGGCUUCCCGCCCAGGGAGCCUAUAAAUAGGCCCCACCAAACGUCACUCUCAAGCCUUCCUUCUCAUUUUCUCUUCUCUUCCAACCUUUUCCAGCUUGCUCCGCAUUCAGUGAGGUCGUCCGAGAGUAGGAUUACCCUCUAAGCACACCUCAGUUCUUCCCCCUCAUUCAUCAGUAAGUUCUCCUUUCCUUUUAUGUCGUCUUCCUCCACACACUCAGACCUUACCAGCUCAGCACCUAGGCGUAGGAUUACCCGACCUGUAUUCAUAGAAAUACCCGACUCCAGUCCUUCUCCUUCCAGCUCGUCUGGGUCUGAAUAUCUUCCUCCCCCAAUCCCAAGCCUUGCUAUAGCCAUGAACCGACCUGGUCCAUCCGCUCAGCCCGAAGCUGGCGCUGCUGACCCAGAGAUUCCUCUGGGGGUGGCUCCAGCUCGCGCCAGAGCAGGUCCCGUUAGGGGACCAGACAUCGACUUUGGGGAAGUCGAGAUUAUCCCCCCCCUCCUCGACCAAGGGGAUGUGGAUGAACUGGUGGGGAGGUACGACAUUCUCCCCCAGUUCGAGGCUCGGGCCGCCCAGCCAGGGGAGUACGCUUGCCGACCUCCCCCUGGGUUUGUGGCUAUCUACAGAGAUCAGCUCGUGGCUGGUCUUCGCCUCCCCAUUCCCCAAUUUCUUUACGACAUCCUAACCUUCUGGGGCAUUCGAAUUACCCAGGUCGUUCCCAACGCCAUUCGGUCCAUCCUCGGCUUCUUUAUUUUGUGCCGAGCUCUUGAAAUCCCCUAUUCUCUGGACCUAUUCAGGUCUUUCUUUCAGAUGAAGGUAAGUGGCCCAGUUCACGGUUGGUUCUACUUUGCUCGCAGGAGCGGAGGGGAACUUCCUACCCGCGAACUGUUCACUCAUAUGCCUUCUUCCAUCAAGGGCUGGAAAGCCUACUUCUUUUUUGUGAAGAAUACUGGGUUUCCUCCCCUAACCUGGAGAGAGGAUACCCAAGUAAUCGAUCCAAUCCCUUCUCCUCUGCCCGAGGCCGAGCUAGACCGGUUGGUCAGUUCGGAAGCUCAACUGAAGGUAAAGGAAUUUAACAAUGCCCAGCUCUGGUCGGCGGGGCUAAUCCGAGCAGAGGUGAACGACCCUGCCCCCGAUCUCCGACCUAUCACCCCCGAGGAGCUAACAGCUCGUAAUUUUCUCGACCUGCUCCUAUCCAUGAGUCCCCAUCAUCCUGACUGACCAAGUGUUUUUGUCCUGCAGUGAAGAGGUUUUCCCAGCUGCUGAACAUCGGCGGAAUUGGCAGUGCGAGCACGCCAACUCCUGCGCCUUCCACAGCGCCGAGCAGCACUGUGCCUCUACCUCCACCUGUGUCCACUCCCCAAAUUGCCGCUCAGUCUUCACUGGGGGAGGGAUCAAAGAAGAAAAGAAAGAAGUCCACGGCCAAAAAGGCCAGGACAGAGGCGGCUUCCCCCCAGUCCCAGGAGGAGCCCUCUACGGCUAUCGCUUCUCAUUAUGGGGUGAGCUCCGCCGAGCAGCAGGCUUCGUCACAAUCUCCCCCCGCUAUGUGGCGCAUGAGGAAUGUGAUUCCCCUGAAGCCCCCUACCGAGCUGGGCUCACACCCGCACCCCCACCAUUUCUGCCCGAAGUGGGGGUUGUCGGUGAACGACCGAGCUCAAUUCCCCGAAAUGGCGAAAGAGCUCGUCAAAGGCGCGGUACUCCCCCGCGAUCACCACUUCAUCCAACUUGCCUCCAACGCUGAGCUGUUAGAGCACUUUUACCUCAGCACCACCCAGGUAACUUCUUAACCAGCACUUUCCCUGACAUCCUUUCGAGCUUUGCCGACUACUUAUCCUGUACCUAAUAUGCAGCUCAACGUUGCGGGGGCCGAGCUGGCUCAGCGGUAUGAGAACAUGGGGGUCAACCUGUCCCAGGUUGAUGCUGCCAAAGAGAAGUUGUCGAGUCAGCUCGAAGCUGCAGAGUCCGAGCUGGAGACCCUGAAGAAGCAACUUGCAGAUGCCAACUCCUCCUGCGAACUGGAAAAGAAGAGAACGGCCGAACUGGCUGCGACCCUGGAGGCAGAGCAGAAAAAAUCUGCCGAGCUGGUGGAGGCGGCAAGGGAAGAAGGGCGCCAGCUAGGCGUCAAAGAGUUCAAGAAGUCUGAAGUCUUUAUGAACGACCUGGCCCUCCUCAACGGCCCUGUCCUGCAACUCGGCUACACGAAGGCCUUGAUGGAUGUGGAGUCCCUGAAGUUGCCAGGCUUUGACCUGAGCAAAUGGCCUGACUUCAACCCCCAAUCUACCAACCAAAUUGACAGGCUCGUCACAGGUUACUCCAAUGGGCGCGACCUGGCUGCCCUGAUUGCCGAUCCUAAUCUUCCUGCCCUCUCCCCAGAGCCAGAGCAAGAGCAACAAGGGGAGAGCUAAGCUGAUAGGACUUAGACUAGCCUUGUAGGAUGUUAGGCUAGAGUAGGGUCCGAGCUGGCCAGCUCGGUUUUGUAUGGCCCCCUACCUGUACAUGCUUUUUGAUUUUGAAUAUAUGCGGCCUUUUCCUUUCCCAACACUUAUAAAAAUUUCUAUUUCAUUUCAAAGCUUUGAAUACAUUCAUAAUUCCCAAUGCCGAACUACUAAAAUAAAAGCAGACCUGUCCAGCCGACCAUUUUCAGCUCGGGCAGGAUUCUUAAAGAAAAAGCCUUAAAUUCGAGUUGUGCCACGUGCGUGGUACUUCGCUUCCAUCCAGACGAGCUAGUUUGCAAUAGCCUGCUUGGCCAACUUCCUUUACUUCGUACGGGCCUUCCCAGUUCGGGUCUAACUUGCCUGUGCCUACAGCUCGGCUGACUGAAUUUCUGCGUACUACCAGGUCCCCUGGUUUAAAAGAAAGAUGCCUUACCCUGGCAUUGUAGUAGCAUGCAACCUGGCCCUUAUACUUUGCCAUCCUUAUAGCCGCUUCUUCUCUUCGAUGCUCGAGCAAGUCUAGAUCGAGUCGCAUCUCUUCCUCAUUGCUUUGGGCCACGAAGUGCUGUACCCUGGCCGAAGGCAUCCCAAUUUCCGCAGGGAUUACUGCUUCCACCCCAUAUGUUAGGACAAACGGAGUUUCCUGUGUGGCCGUCCGAGACGUAGUCCGGUAAGCCCAUAGUAUGGUGGGCAGCUCGUCCAGCCAACCCGUCCGGGCUGAUUCGAUCCUUGUCUUUAAGCCGUGCAGGAUGGUCCGGUUCACAUUCUCGACCUGCCCAUUGGCCUGGGGGUGCCCUACUGAGGUGAAGUGCUGCUGGAUACCGAGCUCAGUGCACCACUCCUGAAGCGAAUGAUCUGCGAACUGCCGGCCAUUAUCCGAAACGAGAACCCUGGGAAUGCCAAAUCGGCAGACUACGUUCCUCCAGAGGAACUUAUGUAUCGACCUACAACUGAUCGUGCUAAGUGGCUCAGCCUCUAUCCACUUGGUGAAGUAAUCAAUCGCCACCACCAAGUACUCAUGGCCACCGGGAGCUCGGGGAAAAGGUCCUAACAAGUCGAUUCCCCACUGGAAGAACGGCCACGGGCUAUGAAGAGGGAUCAUUUCCCGAGUUGGGGCAUGAUGAACUGGAGCAUGUAGCUGACAAGACUUACAUCGAGCUACCAGCUCGAUCGAGUCCCUGAAGAUGGUGGGCCAAUAGUACCCGGCCAGCAUUCCCUUCUUGGCCAAUACCCUGGAGCCAACGUGAUUGCCACAGAUGCCCUCAUGCAACUCGCGCAAGACAUAGCUCCCCUCCUCAGGUGUCAUACACCUCAGCCAGGGCUGCAAGUAGGACUUCCUAUACAGGACUCCCUGCACAAGCGUGUACCUCUGCGACUUAAGGAGGAUUUUGCGGGCCUCUGUCCUGCUCGGGGGGAGUUCCCCCUGCGCCAAGUAUCGAACAAUAGGGUCCAUCCAGGAGCUCACCACCUGGAUGACCGCAGUACUGACCUGGUCAUAUGCCCGAUUCCUGACGACCUCCACAACUAUCUCCCGACCUAGGGUGCCAACCGAGGUGGAGGCCAGUUUGGACAGGGCAUCAGCUCUCUUGUUCAGACUCCGCGGGAUCUGCUCUAGCACAAACUGCUCAAACAGGCCCUUCAGCUCAUGUGUCUUGGCCACGUAUUUUCUCAGCGUCCCCUCUUUGACCUCGUAGCUUCCCCCUACCUGGUUAACUAUCAGCUGCGAGUCGCUAUAGACUUUCAACGAACUGGCCCCUAACUUCCGAGCCAUCUUCAUUCCUGCAAUUAGAGCUUCGUACUCAAAUUCAUUAUUAGAUGCUCUGAAAUCAAACCUUAACGCGUAAGGCAGCUCCUCUCCCGUAGGGCUGAUUAGGAGAAGCCCUGCUCCGCAUCCUUCUUUGCUGGACGCGCCAUCCACAUACAGCGUCCACGUGGGCUUUGUUUGCUCCGCUGUUUUCCUAGCCUCCCCGUCUUGGGCUGCUGUCCCGACCAGUUCGGCCUUGGCAGUUUCUUCGUGAUAUGCGACCUCAGCUGCGUCUCCGACCUGUUGGACCUCCGCUGCGUCUACGGCCUGCCUGGCCUCUGCAGCCUCUCGGGUCGGUCUGGUCUCCCCAGCUUCUCUGGCCGAUCCGCCCUCUGCUACCUGACUGGCCUGUGCGACCUCAGCAGCGUCUCUGGUCCGUAGGACCUCGGCUGCCUCUCUGAUCUGUACGGCCUUGGCAGUCUCCGGGGUCUGUAUGGCUCUGGCGGCGCGCGCGUCCUCAACCUCCUUAUUCGGUCUGGCCUGGUCUGUCUCCCCUCCAGUCGACCCAAAAGAGAUGCCAUCUGCUAUGAAAUCUGCUAGUGCUUGAGCUUUGAUGGCCGUCCUGGGCUGAUAUCCCAGGUCAUACUCAGACAAUUCCACCGCCCAUUUUACCAUUCGACCUGAAGACUCUGGUUUGGACAAGAUCUGCUUCAGGGGCUGGUCCGUUAUGAUUACCACGGGAUGAGCUUGGAAAUAAGUUCUCAGCUUCCGAGCUGCGUGAACUAGCGCCAAGACAUAUCGCUCUAUCGCCGAGUACCGGGAUUCGGCCCCCUGCAGGGCGCGACUGACAUAAUACACUGGCUUCUGUAACUUGUCCUCCUCUCGCACCAGCACUGCGCUUACAGCCCCCUCUCCCGCAGCUAGGUAGAUGAACAGGGUCUCCCCCACCUCAGGAGAGGUCAGAGCUGGCAACCUAAUGAGAUGUUCCUUAAGCUCGUCAAACGCCUUCUGGCACUCCGGGUUCCACUCGAACUGCCGACCUCCUUUCAGGGCCUUAAAGAAAGGUGACCCCCGAACUGCCGAUUUGGACAAGAACCUGUUCAAGGCAGCCAUCCUUCCUGUCAGACGCUGCACCUCUUUAAUAUUCCGGGGUGGAGCCAUAUCCAUGAUGGCCUUAACCUUGUCCGGGUUGGCUCUCACCCCCUCUUUGGAAAUCAUGUACCCCAGAAAUUUUCCCGACCUGACCCCAAAAGUGCACUUCUUUGGGUUUAGUCGCAUGCGUGAGUGUCGAAGGAUCUCGAAAAUCUCCCUCAGGUCGGAGACGAACUGCUCCUGGGUUCGGCUUUUCACCAACAUAUCGUCCACAUAAACCUCCAGGUUUCGACCGAUCUGAUUCCUGAACAACUUGUUUACCAGCCUUUGAUAGGUUGCGCCUGCAUUUUUUAAACCAAACGGCAUGGUGACGUAACAAUAUGUGCCAUCCUCCGUGAUAAACGAAGUCUUCUCCUGGUCCUCCUCGUCCAAGGCUAUCUGAUGGUACCCUUUGAAAGCAUCCAAGAAGCAGAAAAUCUCAUAACCUGCGGUUGAGUCCACGAGCUGGUCAAUCCGGGGAAGUGGGUAACAAUCUUUAGGGCAAGGCUUAUUCAAAUCUGUGAAAUCCACACACAUCCUCCAGGCUUUCUCCUCCUUUUUGACCAGCACAGGAUUAGCCAACCAGGUCGGGUAGUAGACCUCCUUAACGAUCCUGGCCUCCAGCAGCUUACCCACCUCGCUUUUGACGACCUCCUUUCGUUCAGGAGCAAAGUUCCUUUUUUUCUGUUUCACGGGUCGGACGCUGGGAUCCACCUGUAGCCUAUGAACCGCCAGCUCGGUGGGGAUUCCUGGCAUGUCAUCAGCACUCCAAGCGAAGAUCUCAGCAUAUUCCUCCAGGAGAGCUUCAAAUGAGCUCUUGACCAGCUCGGCUAGGCCCGUGCCGACCUUCACGGUGUGCUCAGGUCGGCCCUUCUGGACGGGCAGAUCGGCUAAUCCCUCGUCAGUUUCCAAUCUCUCUCCCUUCUCCAUGGGCUCCCAGGGCUCCAAGCAAACUGUCUGGGCUACUAACUUCUCUUUACCCUUGAGGGUAGCAAUGUAGCAUGCCCUGGCCACUUCCGGAUCCCCGAGCACCUCAGCCACCCCCUCGGGGGUGGGAAACUUCAUGCUGAGGUGCAACGUAGAACAAACAGCUCGGAGGGCAUUCAGUGUGGGCCGUCCCAAAAUCAUGUUGUAUGACGACGGCUCCUUAACCACCGCGAAGUUUACCGGCACAGUUCGGCACUUCGGGGAUACCCCGACAGUAACCAUGAGGGUGAUCAUUCCUUCUGGCCUCACGGGAGGGCCUGCGAACCCGAUCAAUGGAGUCCGAACCGGUACCAGCUGCCUAUCCUCCAGCUGCAGCUCUUUAAAAGUCUUGUAAUACAGCACGUCUAUUGCACUCCCAUUGUCUAUGUAUACCUUCUUCACCUUGUAAUUGCAGGUGAUGACCUCAAUUACAAUAGCUUCGUGGUUGUUGGAGGCCAAAGGGACUGCGUCCUCUUGUCCGUAGAUAAUUUCCUCAUACAUCUUCAGACGCUUGGCCGAGCUCUCCCCCGCGGGGGGAGGCCGAUUGUGCCGCCGAGCUGUAUGACUAUCCCCGCCAGCCGGUCCUCCUGCAAUGGUAUUAAUCACCCCGGCCAGAUUCUGCGUUUCCCGUUCAGGAGCUCGCCCAUGAGGCCCCUGAGGCCGAUCCCGGAGGUAACCGGGUCGUUCUGACCGGGACCUCCCUCGUUGCUGGUCAGCUCGGUCCUCUCGUAUGAACUGCCCGAGGUGACCUCGUUUGAUUAGUUUCUCAAUGUCCUUCUUGAGAUGACGGCAAUCCUCCGUGUCAUGCCCCACAUCUCGGUGAUAGGCGCAGAACAACCCUUGGUCCCGUCUGCUUUUGUCCCCUCCCAAAGGUCGAGGAGGUCGGGAGAGCCCCUCCUGUUCCAUGACCGCCAGCACCCGAGCUCGAGGUGCAGUGAGAUUAGUCCAGGGCUUAUCUCCCCCAUUUGGACGGCUCCUGGGGAGGCGAUCGUAAGUGCUCUUUCUUCCCUGGUUGGAACGAGCCUCCACCUGGUCGGCUCCUCUCCUACGUUUGUCAUCCCUCAGCCUUUCUUGCGCGCUCUUAAGGCGAUUAGCCUCCUCCGCAUUGGCUUUCUCAUGAGCUCGGUCCAGCAUUUCCCGUACCGAUUUGGGAGGUCUCUCCACGAGCUCAGUGUAGAGCUUCUGCUUGCGCAGCCCGUUAAUGAAGGCUGCCAUAACCACCUUGUCAUCACGAUCCCUGACCUGAAGGGACUCGUUAUUGAAACGCACCAUGUAUUCGCGUAGGGAUUCCUCAGGCCUUUGCUGAAUGGUCAUCAGGUGCGCCGUGCUCUUGGAGAAGGCUCGUGAUGAGACAAACUGGGCCGCGAACAGCCGAGCAAGCUGAGCAAAGGACCUAAUGGACCUGGGGGGGAGCCCCUGGAACCACUGACGUGCCUUCCCCUCCAGAAACAUGGGAAAAGUCUUGCACCUGACUGCAUCUGCGGCAGUUUGCAGACGCAUUUGGGUCAGGAACGCAAACAAAUGAUCCUCCGGAUCCGAGGUCGCAUCGUAAGGCUUCAUGUUGGGUAUCUUGAACUUCGCGGGCAAUGGAUAGUUCUCUAUAUCAGGCACGAAAGGGGACGCGAUGUACCUGUCCGCCUCGGCAUCCAAGAGCAGGUCCAGCUCGUCUUGCACCUGAAGCUGCUCUUUCCGAGGUGAGGGUUCAUCCCUAGAAUACCUCCGGACAGGCUCCGGGUGCUCAGUUCGGGAGUGCUUGUGAGUGGGCUCCCCCAUGUCGGUGUGCUCACUUGCGGGCUCCUGGCGCACGCGUUUGAGCUGGGGGUUGGGGCUCCCCGCCCUGGACUCGGUUGGGCCUUCCGAGUUCUCCGGCUCCUGGCCCAGGGGCCCUCCUGUCUGCCCCCUAAGAUAAUCCACAAUGGCCUCGAAAGUGGGCAAGUUUCCUGCUACCGCCUGGACCAGUUGCUCCGGUGGAAUCCGCGAGAGUCCCGUCCCCUCACCUCCAGGGGUCGGACUCCGGGCAGACUGUUGGGGGCCGCUUCCUCCGUUCCCCUUAGAGCCACCAGCAUUCCUUUGAGACCUCGUUUUUGGCAUGAUUCGCAAGAGAAGAAGAACGUGUUCCCACAGACGGCGCCAAUUGAUGCGACUGCCAAAAAUAAGAUCUGAGCUGAGGUGCGACGGGCUGAGCGAGCUGGCGAGCUGGUCAGGUGAACGAGCCGACCUGCAAAUGGACAGACGGUGGAGCUAACAGAGAGUGGCCGAGCUGAUAGGCCGAAUUGACGGGGAGAGAACAGACGACCUGUCCUGCAGAGAGGGAAAUAAACGGAGGGACUAGAGUCCCCGGAAUAACUCCGACGGCCAAGUCAGUAGAGCUCAAGAGUAGAGCAACAGUAGAGAGAACUGUGGAUGGCAUACCUUGUGUCGUCUUGUGGUGCUGUAUAUAUAGGCUUAACGGGUGGUAGUUUCCAUAUAGGAGUCAAAGUCCCCUUAGGGUUCGGAGUCUUCUUAGGGUUUCGUGCGGCGGCUCCUACAAGUUCGGAGACGGCGGCCCAUAGGCCCAUCUCAAGGAUCGAUAAGUAAGGCCGAGCUGGCCUCCAUAUGCCGAGCUAGCGCCUGCGAGUUGCGAGGUCUCACAGCCGACCUGACGAGCAAGACCUGCCGAGCUGACACGUGGCACGCGCAGGUUCACCCCACUACAGGGCUCAAAAUAGAAUCUCACAUGGUUUAAAAUUAGAGCUCAAGUUCAAUUCAAUAUUGUUUUUUUUUUUGAGGAAAUUCGAUAUUGUAUUCAAUAAUGAUGCAACAAACCAACAACAUAUAUAUAUAUAUAUAUAUAUAUAUAUAUAUAUACACGUGCGCACGCGCGGAUGCAUGCGUGCAUAAAAUACUGACCAUAUACUUGUAUAAAAGUAUAAUUCGAACUUUUCUAAGGUUAAAUGAGACGAAUACUGAAACUCAAUUCAUUUACGGUCCUAUAUGAAAGUGAUGCUUUGAGGUACCAAAAUACAUAAAUUCAUCUAAUUAUGUAGCUGUUAGACAACAUAAUCCCAUGUUAAUUAGUCAAUACCAAAUAAAACUAACUAAUAAGAUAUCGAGCCAUUCUACUCUCUUUUUUUUUUUUUUUUUAGAGACAAUAACUGUUGUAUAAUCUAAUCUAUUCGAUAUUAGGGGAGGGGGCGGGCCUAAGAAAGGAAGGUUAGGAGUCACUCAAAAAGAACUGAACCAUCACCAGAUCAAACGAAAACACUAUAUAUCCGUCUAAAUUUUUUAAAUAAAAUCAUUUUUAAUGUGACAAUUGAUGGAAGGCAAGAUUUUCCACCUCACCAAACUUUAAUAUUUUGAUGGUGGUCAUCCGCCUUCUUUGGACCGAUGGUGGUUAAGCCAUUCUACUCAUUAUUGUUAGUUUUGAGACGUAACUUCAGGUUAUUUUGGAGUACUAUUAAAGCUGGGCCUUUCUUUUCCUUCGAAAAAAGCUACGCCUCAGGCCUUCAUCAUCAUUGCUCACUGUUGGUAUUUCAAUCGAGUGAAAAAAGAAGAUAGUAAUGGAUGUCUUGAGGGGCUCCCAUCCGAUCCGACCUGGUGCCUUUUAACUUUUGUGACCACGUCAGAUUCGCACCAAAAUGAAAAAUGUUAGUGCUUCUAACUUUUGUGACCGUAUCAGAUUCGCACCAAAAAGAAAAAACCAAAUCAGAUAUGCUGGAUAGUUGAUGGAAGAAGAUCCGUUUAGUUUGAUUAAAAUAAAAUUGGACGAAUAGCUGGAAAGUUGAUAUUAUAUUCCAUAAAGGAUUGAUUGAAUGACAAAUUAAUGAAUUGUAGAGGGCUUUUUAGUACAAUGCACUCAUUUGAAAAAGUGCAAGUAUUUUGUUUUCACGCCGUUUGCUUACCCACUUCCGAUAAAAAAUUUUUUGAUGGGUUCCUCUCUUGGAAUUUGGAAGCCUCUCCACCACUAAAAAGAGGGAUGUCUGGUAAGCUCCCACGUCAAUUGAAGACAGCAGUUUGUCAAAGGAAACACCAACUUUUUUGUUUAAAGACAAAAGCAAUUUCUUUUUUAAUGGGAGAUGAAUGGGAUUUAAGAAAGAAGGGAAAUUACAAACUCAAGACAUCUAAGCCUUGGAACCUGAAAAUGGUAACUGACGAGGGAGUCAAGAAAGCAUUAUUAAACUCGGCUCAGCUCAGCCUAGCAGUUAAACCGCUCAAUUCAGUGAGUCAGCCAUGAAACAGACUGGGUAAUAUUUAUAAGUAAUUUACUUGUAAACUCUACAUAUAUUAAAAUAAUUAAUACAUUACAUGUAUUUAUAAAAGAUUAUUUUAGUUACUCACUACUGAUUGAACUAGUGACUCGUCCAUGGACUUUUUCAUUGGGUUCCUUCCCAUGUUGGAUUUAAUAACUAUGCACAAAAGCAUUAAAAAAUAAAAUAAUGACAUCAAAUAAAACAAAAGGCACCAACGGUUAUUGAAUCAAAUAGCAAGAGACGUGUUGCCCUUUAAGCAGGGUCUCGAAUUUGAGUCUUGUGAAUGUAAAAAAAAUGUUAGGAGAGUCAUCUCUUGAAAUGGUUUCGACAGUGCUCGAUUUUAGACUAAUCGGAGUCCAAUACAGUCACUAGACAUUGGGAGUGCGCACCAAGAAAAUAAAAAAUAAAAGGAAAGGCUUUCUAUAGCAAUUUAAAUUGGGACUCCGAAUGGCUUAAAAAAAUUUUUUAGGCUUUCUAAACUAAUAUCCAAAUACACCCAGAUCCAUUGGGUGAAUAUAUGGACCUUGGCCUGUCGUCCUAUAACCUUUCUCAGUCUUGGGCAUGGCAGCCGAAAUAUGUGUAGCAGCUACGGGAAUGGUCUUGAGGCCCACCAGUGACCUUGAAAAACUCUUAAGAAAAAUGGGAAAAAAAGAAAGAAAAAACUUCAUAAAUUGUUUGUUUGCAAGAGAAAGUGAGGGAAAAUUCUUUUUUUUUUAAGUUUAAGUGGGAGGUCUCGUAUUCUGAAUCUUUCAUUUAUAUGCCCUUUUUUGUACCGUCCAACCCAUCACUCAUCUAGAGGAAAAGCUAGUCAUUUCUUCUUCUUCUUCUUGUGUUUGUCUAGUAGAAAAAGUAGUGUUUGUUAUUCCUGUACUUUUCCUUAAUUUUCGCCAAGAUUUUGGAGGAAAAUUAUUGGUUACUAACAGUAUUUCCAUUAACGAUUCUAACUACUCAUUUUCUCUUAGAAUUUUCUGAUUAAAUAAACAUACACGGAAAAGUGAUUUUUUCUUUCUUUUUACUUUACGGCACUUUACUUCAAUUUUCCUCAUAAGAGAUGUCUUUUGGUUAACGUAGAUGCACAAUGAUUUCCACCCACCGUCCAGCAGCACCGAUUGCCCAGUUCUUCAUAUACGUCUUAAAUAAUAGGGUAAAAAACAAAAAAAAUCCUGUAAUAAAUCAAAUAUACAGAAAUGUCCCCGUGAUUUUAAAAUAUACAAUACGAUAAUUCAUUCUUUGAAUUAAAUUAUAAAGGUGAUGGAAUUCGUUAAACUUAAUGGAAAUGAUUUAUCGGAACCUAAAAACAAAAUUUAUACCUAAUUUUUAACAAAUAUACCUAUUUUACCCCUUAACCCUCAAUUUUCUCUCUUUAGAGAAUAAACCAAAUGAUUUUAUUGAACUGUCUUUUGCUAAUUAUAUCAGGAUACUUUUAUCAUUUCGUCCAUUUCCUUUAAGUUUAACGGAUUCCGUCAUCUUUACAAUUUAGUUCAAAAUAUGAGGUGUCAUGCUGUACAUUUUGAAAACAUAGAAUUUUUUUUUUUUUUUUGUAUAUUAGAUUUACCAUAGGGGACUUUUUUAUGUUUUACCCUAAAUAAUAUGUUCGAGUGUAAAUAUCAUAAACUUGACGGAUAUGACGGGAAUUUUCUGAAUUUUACCGUAUUAACUAUGUUGUCGGUUUCCUCCAAUUAACCUUGAGGUACUACUAUUAUUAAUAUGGUUCUGGCACACUUCAGGUCUAUUUAACUCAAAAAAGAAAAAAAUGAUGGAUAUUCUUCGAGCUAUUUUGAAAUAUUAAAAGGGGCUACUGCUUUUGUUAAUAAGUUGUUUGAGAAAUUUAUAUAAUUUUGUUCUUCAUUAUGGGGUAAUAGUCGUGUCUCAAAAAAAAAAAAAAAGAAAGAAAAUUUUAGCAUCGAAGAAGUUGUUGCUUGGCUUCAUAUAGUUAGAUAACGAGUAAAAAGAACGCAUGUCAAUUUGGCCCAUCGACACAUUUAUUUUUACCAAAAGUUUCUUGUAAUAAAUCACCUAAUCACCUUUCUUUGUUUACGAAAAAAAGACGUACUUGUGCGCUUUUAUUUAAGUUUAUUUCUAUGAAAAUGUCUUCAACAUAUUUUGACAUAUCAGGUUGAAUUCUUCUUCUUUUUUUUUUUUUUUUGCCUUACGCAAUUAGCUAGAUUGGAUUCUUGAAUUGGAUUUGAUUGAAAAUAAGUCCAAAGUAUACUGUUAUACGCAAUCAACAUGCAUGAUAACCCAUUUGAUAAAUCAGAACAAGCCAUUUCUGUCGGAAUCAGUCACCCAUACUUCUGGCUCGUGCUAAUUCCUAUUUCUUUUAUUCAAAGUGGAAGAUGAAAAAUUUUGAAGCACUUUUACCUUUGCAUGACUGAGUUCAAAAAUAUUUUGGCCAAAGGUCGGUGGUGUAGAUGCAUGGUGGCAAUCCUGAGUCAAUUCCCAAUUUUCGUGUCCACGAUGGAUUUUGCCUUUCAACUUUGUCAUUGCGUCUUUCACCAAUCUAUCCUUCCCACAAAAGCACCAAAUAGUAAUUGGGCAGCCUCGAUCAUGUAUCCACAUGAUAAAUAUGGUGUCUUUCACACUGGGUGAACCAGUCCUACACGGGAAAAAUACAAAGAACAUCUUUUUUAGUGCGUUCAUUCCUGUCUCAGUACACCACGCAUGCUUACUGUUAGCGUUAUCUCUUUAGGGUUACUCGCAAUCUGCUCGCCCCCCUGGGUGCAGGCACUAAAAGUACGCGUAAUUAAAGGUCCAAAAAUGCCUUUAUGGUCCAAAUGCGCUGGUUUUGCUAAGAAGAAAUGUAGUUAGUAAUUAUCUUCAACUUAAAACUAAAGGUAACAACCCUAUAACAUAAAGCUUGGAGCAUCCUUUAACUGCACCUAUAUCCCUGUAUCCCCGUAACUUGAAUUUCGACUCUAAAUUUUACACAUGACAUACAUUUAGCUAGUCUGAUUGGUAUACAUACGUCGUUACUGUAAAAAUAAAUUUGUCGUUUCUUCCGUUGAUGGCCCGGAAUUUGAUACCAAUCCCCAGGGGAAUAGGCCAAAUUAUUACAUGGACGGAGCACUACAGUAGUUGUCUUUUUCUUUUCUUUUCUCUUCUCAGUUGUCAAUUUUCAAGAAAUGAAGAACCAUGUUUUUAAAACCGGAGAAUGUCUACUUAUGUACGUAUGCACUGUACCUUUCCACUAGGCACGAGAAUUGUUAUCUAUUUGUGCACGUAUGCACUAUUUCUUUCGAUCGACUAGGCACGAUUGAUCACGAAAUUCCUCAAGAUUGAUCACGAAAUUGUCCUUCGAUGAUAAAAUCUUGGCCAAUUCUGAUUCUGUAUGGAAAAGCUAUCUCGUUGCUGAUGUAUAGUAGAGCAUUAAUAAAGUCCACACUGAUGCCUUCUCCCUUUCGAGUUUCUUUGCUUUCAAUGAAUUUAACCAUUUAUUUCAUCGCCUGUGCAGGGAAACUAAAAUAACAAUAUGGCUCCAUGAAUUGCUGGAAAUCUCUUGCUGAUGUAUUGUAUUGACAACUUCACACAUUAGCAAGCACAAUGAAUUAAAAAGGAAUUAAAGAUACGAUCUAAUACUGUGGUGUUUAUCACGAUCCACCACCAAGUCAAAUUUGUAUUUCGGCUAUGACAUAAUUACAGAGAGUGAUUCAAUACACAUGCAUCUACAUCUCUUUCUUAACGUGCUUUGUUUGAUCCUGGGCGGAUCUUGCUAGAUUUUCUGUGGUGGCAUAAACGUUUUUCUUUGUCAUCACACAAGAAUGCUGUAUAUUCUCGGAAUGAAGAGGUAAUUAUGCUCAAAAAGGACCUUUAAAUCCGACAUCCUUGACUAUAGAGUUGGUGAUAACCGAUAAGGUCAUUAGCUCUUGGGCCACAUGUAUACCGACAAGUGUACCCUUUUUUGGAGUUUGAAGAUGUUAAAUUCGGACCCUCAAUUUAUCUUCAAGGAUAAGUGAUACUUAUUAGCCCCUUGGGAUUGGCUCGGAUGGUUUCAAGAUAGUUUAAUUAGGUUUCGAAAUCGUGUGUUCGAGUCACCUUUCUAUCGCUUGUGUAUCCUUGGAGGCGGGGUGUACAGGUACAGAGAGAUUAAUCCGAUAAAAUUGAGAUAGUCCCUGUGUUGAAAAAAAAAAAAGAAGUGAUACUUAUUAUAUAUGUAAAGGAAAUUCCUGCAAAAUUCAUAGGCAUGUGAAAACACGACAAGUUUAGUUUCAAAGAAGUCAAAACAUUGCUCAAAAUCGAGGAUGGUAAAAAGAUGUCAAGAAUUUGAAGGGCACCGAGGAAUUACUAGGGCCGGAAAGCUGGAAAAUCGCGUAUGGCUCUAAGCAUUUAACAUAGUGUUAGGAAGCAGCUUUCGCUUCGGCCUGAAAUUAUGCCACUAGAAAGUCAACAAGAUUUUUUUUUUGGGGCAUUAUUUCGUUCCAGUUAAGAUCGAGUUUACUAUGCAUCGAGGAAACUUGAAGGAGCUGAUCCAUACUUCAUACAUUUGCCAUUGACUAAGCUGCUCAAUAAUAGGCCUGAAAGUUCAGCUAAUGUCGAAAUGUGUGGGAUCCACGUUCUGAUUUCAACACAGCUUGUCUGAGAACGACAAGAUUAGUUCAUUUUAAAUAUAAUAAAAUAUAUAUAUAUACACUUAUUAUUAUCAACGACAUUGUUGAUAGAUUGUAUAAAAUGCAGUAAUAUCAGGCUCUGGAGAUUUGUAUGACAAAUUUGCACUGAUGUUUUUCUUCAGUAUUGGACCACUUUGGACUGACAUUGCAAGGAUAAACUUGUUUAUCAAUGUCCAACUUUAAUAAUGUAAGAUGUAAAUAUAAAAUUGGCCAAUAAUCCAACAAAAGUCACGCCCUCAAGCCUUGCCUAACUUUAACCCCACAGUCUCAACAUUGGCAACAAACGAAUAUUUAAUCAAUAAUCAAAUGCUGCUCCUCUUUUGAGCCAAAAAAGGGAUCAACUUGAACAUGUACGUCUGUCUAAUCACCCAAAAGCUUCUACAAAAUGUAAUGAUACGAUCUGUAUUUAGUACAUACACUUCUUGGCACUAGGAAACGAACGUGAAUCACAGUCAUGGUCAUACAUUACCAAGAUCAAUUUACCCCAAAACAACCAAACAAAAAAAAAAAAGAAACCAUAUGUCUCGUUUCCCAGUUUCUUUUGAACACCAACUUCCUUGAUCUGAACACAGUUUUCGUCUAGUGAUGUACUGUCAAAGGAGCCCAAACUUUCAAGAAAGUCGAGAAAUCAUGAAGGGGGGAUAUUUUUUUUAAAAAAAAAAAAAAAAAAAAAAAAACCAUGAGAAAGGGAAAAGACACAGACCAGCUUUUGAAGUCUAGGAUUUCAAAACAUUUGACGGGCUUUUUCUUUGGGCGGUCGAGGAGAGAGGGACUGAAAAAGAGGGUGCGUAUCUGAUUGCCCCUUUGCCCUCAUUUGCGUGCCCCGGUGCCCGUGGUCGGUUGAUGGUCAAACAUACACCAGCCGUAUCACCUUAACAUUAAAACCUGAGAUGCUUCGACACGUUAAUACCUUAGAGAUACACAUCAUUUUCGGUUUUUCUUCGAUGAAAACAGCAGCAUUUGUUCUUUCUAAGAAGAAAGUUGCAUGAUUGUGUAUUUAUCUUCACCGCAUAUAUUUGACGCACAAAUGACGUGCAGCUGACGGACGUGCAUGGAGACUUUGAUCCCCAAGAAGGGUUUGACUUAGAGUGUAGCACUUACCAUUUGCAGCUCCCGAUCGUACGACUAGAAGAUGAUUGAUUGGGAUUGUGGGAUUUCCAAUUUUGUGGUUGUUCUUCAAUCUCUUUAUAACUCAUCAACUAGGCCACUUCUUUGUGGCAAGCAACUGUGUGUUGUGUGUGUGGACUUGACUACAAUGUGUACGCACAUUUCAUGCAAAAAUAUUGGGGCCACAAUGUUUCGGAUCCUCGCGUAGAAACUAGCUGGAUUGGUUAUUUUUGGAAAAGUAAUUAGGUUCAUUAAAUUGGCGGAAGAAACCCGGCCUUAGGGUCCAUUCUACAGUAUGGUACAAUAAUUGGCUUCACUCCAAUCAUUUGGAUGAUCGGGUUCUCUUCUCUGGUGUACCAAUCUCACCAUUGUUUUCAUCUUUGUCCAUUUUCUCAACAGCUCCUUGCCCGAGAGUCGCACAAGAAAAGAAACGUCUAGAAUCAGAUUGGAAACCAUACAUGCCUUAUAUUACUAGUCAUGAGAGGCUGGGUGAUUAGAUAGCCUUGCUGGUCACGAUUGGUUAGUGCAAUUAUACGACAUUUUCCCAACUGAUAAGUGUCGCUAUACCCUAAACCACAAAAAAGAAACUUAAGCAGAUAAAAGUAGCUUGUAAACACACAUGUCACGAAAAUAAUUGAUUGUCCUGCUACUGCAUAAUAUGCUUGUGGCCGAUGUGAGGCCAUACUGUCUGUCAUGGUAUCUGAUUAAUAACAUGGCACGAAAUGAACUAUGAUUCAAAGCUUCAGGGCAUGCAUAUAAAUUAAUUAGCCUUGAACAUACAUGCGAUCGGGGGAUAUUUCGAUAUGAAUGAACUAUAGAUAUCUUUUACUAUCUACCUAGGGUCGAUAUUUCUUUUUCUAUGGUAGCAAUUUUACACAGAAGAAGGGAUCAUCUACGUAUUUGAUCUCUCAUUUUAUCGAAACUCAAGCACUUAUACGAGACAUCGGCCAAUUGUUUAGAUUGCCAUGUUUUCUCAAAAUAUUUACGUUUUUUAUGAAUACGUUUUUUUAAUCGUCUCUUUAUUUUACAUGCAUAAAAUCGUUAUAAUUUAUUUUUUACAAAAAAUUCAGAAAAUAACAAUCAAAACGGAUUGACCAUAACCUAUACUAACUUUUAGUAAUUGAAGUUGCACGCAAGCACGAUGAUGGCCGGAUAUGCUAGGGGGGGAAAAAAAGGCAUAAACAGUUGAAUUUGGAACUUAACAAAAUGAACUUUCCCUACGUACCACGAGAAGUUUCCAGAUGUACUACCAAUUAAUGAACUUCGGUGGAAAGUUAAAACUGCAUUGUGGGACUCGAUUUCUAAAUUAGGAAGCCAACCAACGAGCUUAUAUUCAAAUCCUUGCUCCUCAAUCAAAUGUAAAUUCAAACCAAAUAAGAUGUUGAAGAUAAAUGUGUAAAACUUCUUCUUCCUUUGGCUUGGCAUAUCUUAACAGGGAUGCUUUCGUUUUAGAGGGCGUGGAAAAAAUUACAUGGACGACGAUGCUGAACAAAAGUAGAUAAGGGCCCAUCUAGAUUUCGUGUAAAUGAGUUUCCACGUGUCUAGGAUGAUGACGUCACCAAUAGUUUGACACAGCCGCAUUAAUUACAUGGAAGGACAAAAAGGACAAAAAACACCACAAGCGGCACGCCAUGAUUUGCAAUAAAGCCAUCUGCAAUAAUUAAAAAUCCUUUUCCCGAGUGGUCCCCACUACAUUAUCCACCGCUGGCACUUUGACACGUGCAGUAUUUAGUCAACGCUUUACAUAGCCCAGCCAAGCAAGAAAAUGAAAAUCUUUAGUUUAUUACUACGUGAACUGACAGUUAUCGUACAGGUGGCGCCAAGCCCUGCGACGCUCCCAUUCUCAGGCCGAAUUCGGCGGCGGUGUCGCCGGAAUCUGACUGCUGGGAUCUGUGAAACACCCUCCGCUAGAUUUUAUCUUUCUACUUUUAGUUUUAGAUCAUGAUUGGCCUUUUUGCUUAACUUCAGCAAAAGGAAAGGUCUGCAUGGGAGCUUUUACUUAAAUGUAUUGCUGAACAGAACUAUCGGUUUUAAUAUGUUGUCGGAUCAUUGUUGGAAAGCUUCUGGUAUGAUGAUGGCAUACGUUUCAAUGUUUUUUUAAUCCAUGCAAUUAUUUUUUUUUCUUACUUAUGUCAACUGAACAACCUUAUUUUACGUGAAUAUGUGUCGUACUAACACGUAUGCAAAUAAAGUAACACGCUUUUUUUUUUAUGUUAAUCCUAUAGGAUACAUAAUUACGUACCAGUAACGUAUAAUUUCGGUAACGGACCGAAGAGUUCUUGAUUUGGAUUACUCGUGUUUGUCCAUCAAUAAGGGAAAGACAACCAUACGAUAAUGUUAUCAACGAUGAAAAAAAACCACGAAAGGACAUUAUACGAGAAAAUUGAUCAGUUAACUUGAUCGGACAAUUUCAACAAAUUCUUAGUAGUAGGAAAUUAUACAAGAAAGAACAAGCUGUAUGACAAACCCCCCAGAGCACUUAAAAAGGCCUCUCUAAUUAAUCUCUGAUCCUUACAAUUUUACAUGAAUUGAUCAACAUCCAAAAGCUCUGGGAUUUCGUACUUCAAGAUGUUGCUGCAAUAGCUUUCCCUUUCGUCUUCAGUAGUGGUAGUACUGCAGCUGUUGAUGUAAGUUGAAUUUGAUUGCAAUGGUGUAGGGCUUGACGAAGGCGUCGAUAAAGUUGACAAAACGGAUUGGAAGCUGAAACUGUUGCUGUUGUUGGAUUGGAAAGUUGAAGUAGUCUCAGAUGGAGCUGUGUCCAAAACGGAUUGGUUGUCGGAGCCAUAGCAACCGUAAUGCUGUAGAGGUACAUAAUAAUCUUCUGAGAAAUUGGGAGGCAAGAAUUCGCUGUUUUGCCACUCGUUAAGUUCGCAACUUUGUUGUGAAUUAAUGAAGUCGGAGAGAUUUGCUGAUGAGAAUUGCUCCGCAUUGGGUUGCAUGAGUUGUGCUUGAUCACAAGAAAAUGGAACGCAGGAAGUACUUGUCCUCAAGCUUGUGCCCAGGUUGUCGGAUGUAGGGAUAUCUUGAACUGAGGUCUGAAAUUCGCUGGGCUGUAUUAAUGGGGGCAAUUGGUUUUGCACUUGGGGGGCAGUGUAGACUACUUGAUUUUCUUGAACAUCAUUUUGGGUCGGGAUAUCUUGAUGAUUUUUCUUUUGGGAGGAGAAAAGAGAGGUGGCUAGCCUUAGGAGUUCUGGAUUAACCAUGGGUUGCACCCCUAAUAACCUGGAAAGGUUGAUUUGCUGAGAUGAAGAGUAGUAGAUUGACGAGUUUAGAAUUGAGGAAAGAUCAAGAAGAUCAAGUCGAGGACUAUGAGUAACCGGAUCAAUUCCCAUUCGAAGAAGCCUUUUCCUAAUGUGUGUGUUCCAAUAGUUCUUGAUUUCAUUGUCAGUUCUUCCUGGCAACCGAGCAGCAAUUGCAGACCACCUAAGGCACAAGAAAUCAGUUCAAUAUGAACCACAAAAGGCACAGGCCAUAGAGAAAAAGAGAAAGAAACGAAAUAAACAACUUCUUACUUGUUUCCUAGUAUGCUGUGCAGUUGAAUGAUUGUCUCUUCUUCUUCAAAUGAGAAUCGUCCUCUCUUGAUGUCAGGCCUCAAGUAAUUUGUCCAACGAAGUCGGCAACUUUUUCCACAUCUUUGAAGCCCUGUACACAAAAGUCAAGAAAAUUGGCCGCAUAGGCGCCCAUAAGCUUUAAUUCUCGCAAGAAUUCCUACUACUACUAUUUAUCUAAUUCAAAUACAUAUGUUUAAACGAGAUGCAUGCUACGAAGAACAACGGAAUUAGCUAGCUUACCAGCAUUCUUUGGAAGUGUUCUCCAGUUUCCAUAGCCAUGCUUCUGAAUAUAAUCAAUAAGUUUCUGGUCUUCUUCAGGUGUCCAUGGCCCCUUUUUGAGUCCAUUUUUGUCACAACAUGGUGAUCUUCCCAUGAUAAUAUAGUUGUACAAUGGAGAGAUGAUCGACACUGAAGUGAACCUUGUUUGAUUUGGGUGGAGUAGUCCGGUCGCUGAGAAACUUUUGGGAGCAGAAGAAAAUGAACAGAGAGACAGAAGAGAUGCAAGGUCCGUAAGGAAAAUACCAAGGUAUAUAUAUAGCUGGGAUGAAGGGUUAACGACAAGUCAAAGGGAUUCGGUGCCGUCCUCUUUUUAUCGCGAACGCGACGUGUCCCCUCUUUUUGAAGAAAGUGUGAAUUCAACUCCCUCCCCCCCUCCCCUCCUUUCUUUCUCCUUCCUCUUUUUUGUGUGUGUGUGUGUGUGUGUGUAAUGUCCCUCUCUUUUCUCUUUAGACGAUUAAAUCAUGAUGCUGAAUUACUAGAAUCAGUUAAAAAGCCAUGAAGGAAGAUGGACCAGCAGACAACAAACUCUGAUGUUUUAGUAAAGGUAAGCAAUUGAACAAAGAAGGAUUGUUCUUUAAAUUUUAGAUUGGAGGAGGAAGGAGCAAAGAAAAAGCAUCGAGGUAAAGCGAUAUUUUGACAGUAAAUGAUACACUUGUUUUAUGGAUUGUUUGAUAUCUCAAUUCUAAACUUAAAUUAUUUAAUGGAUUCACAUUUUAACAUAUUUAGAUGCAUUUAAUAGCAAAAAAUAAGACAUCUGAAUUAAUUACAUGACACUAAAUUUUUUGAGUAAAACUUGCUCUAAAAAUAGGUGCUAAACUAUUCACUUGUCACUUAAUAUGAUAUACGCUUACUUAAAUAUAUCAGAUUUAGUGCUUCAUAAUUCAAUAUAUUUUAACGGAUUCAAAUUUCAGACUUCAAUUUUAUCAAACAUAUCAUUAAUAUUAAGGAAAAAAAAAACUUUGAAAAGUGACUUGUCGUCAUAGUAGUAGGAAAGAGUUCUCAUGCACUUGUUUAGUUUACCACUAAUCCACAUUCAUCAUAUAAAAAAUGCAAAUAAACAUUAAACUAAUCAAUCAUAAAAUCUCGUGGUAAUUCUUAAAUAGUUUCCUCUCACAUGUAAUUAUCUGUUUGUAAAAUGUAAAGUACAACUCAGGCAUUUCCAUUUUCCAAGAAAAAAAAAAUAAAGGAACUACAACCUAAGGUCAUUUUCCAGUUGGGGCGUGAGCAAUCUUGCUUCCUGGAAUCAGAUUAGCUGUCAUCGACAUGAAAUAGGGACACGUAUAACCCAGGGAUCUCCUUACCUGGACCUUCGUGUCGCAAAAGCGUGACUAAAGUCCUGCUACUUCACGGCGUUUCGUCUUUGUGCAUGGCUUGAAUUCAAGCCGACUUGAGCCAUGUGGAAUGCGGAGCCGAGCUGGUCAGGCAAGUAGGGUUUCUAUAUAGCGGACAUUACGUAUUAAUCUAGGUGUUUCAUACGUAAUUAUUACUGUAUGUUAAUAUAUCUCAACCAUUUUUACAAUUAGUGGCAAAAGUUUUUUUUUUUUUUUUUUGCAAAGCAUUAUUUAGCCAAAUGGAAAGGCUUCGUUAGUUCAAUCAUACAGGGGGAUUGUUUAUUAUAUAAAAUAGUGUAGUUAAUAAAACGCUCCACCUAUGAUCGAUAAAUUACGAGUUCGAAUCAUCAAAGGAUAAGUAAGGAACUAUCAUUAAAAAAAAGAGAAAAAAAUACAGGGGAUGGUUAGCAUUCCUAUUUUAAUUGGAUAAAACAAAAGAUGGUAAUCCAAAAUAUUAGAGGUGUUGACAUCAAAAAAUUUCUUGUUCAAAAAAAAAAAAAUCAAGAAUAUAUGAUUUGGAAUGAUGCGGCCGUCUAGCGUUUAGUUGGACUCAUAAAUGCUCAUUUCAUCAUUUUGGACUGAGACAAAACGAAAAGGGAAAUAAUAAUUGGAUAGGGGUUUGAACGUUGAAGGGAGAGCAUUCAAUUCAAGGCGACAAUAAUAGAGUUUGGGAAGUGCCGAAAUAUAAGCAGGAGCAUUUAUUGAACAUGAGAUUAAUUACGGGAGUUGAGACCAAACAAGUUCAUAAAAACUCAUGGGAGGGCAAGGCUUUUUCUAACCACCGAAUCUUCUUCUCCACCGCUGUCCCCCCCCCCCCCCCCCCCCCCCCCCCAAAAAAAAAAAAAAAAAAAGUGGUACAGGGGAAGAAUUUCACCUUUGCCUUCUGUAAGAAAUCAAGAAUCCUUGGUUAACCCUAAAAAGAAGGGAAAAAAAUAAAAAUACAUUUUUGUGGUUUUGCGGCCCCGGAACCGCUUAAAUUAAAUAAGGAAAUGAUGAUUAUAUUUAAGCCUUGGUCAAAUAUGAAAAGAAAUCAAGAAGUGAAAAUGACAUUUGAUGGAAAUUGUGGACGGGAGGUGAUAAAUAUAUAUGGAACAAAUGCAAGCAGAGUUAGGCGUAUUACCCACUAAUUCAACUUAUGUCUUUGUCUGUUUUCAGAGAUGAACAGCUUCUUGCAAGGGCCUUGUAUUUCCACAUGGAGAAUUGACCAAAGCAAAUGAAUUGCCGUCAUAUCUGGCAUCAUCCGUGAAGAAAUAAGAUCAAUUAAACAUGUAGUCAACAUUUCUAAUUAGUAAAUUAAAAUGCUGAAAAUUUCACAGGCUCCGUACAUAUAUAGGGAGAAAAAACUGCAAUUUCUUAUCAUAUAUGAGUACUUUUUUCUUGCAGUACUAUAGUCUACGGCUCUAUAUAUAUAUAUAUAUAUGUGUGUGUGAAGAUCAAAUCUUCAGCAGCAUGGUCUUGAAAGAUGAAUGUAGAACUUAUUAGUGAUGACCAAUUGGAUGCUUGGUAUUAGUGAUUUAUAAUGUCAAACAUUUUCAAAUUCGAUUAUUGACUUUAUAUAGCAAUCAGCAUCCAAAGUAUGAGUAGACUGCCAAUGAUUAACGAACUCCUCCGCAUGCUAGCUAGAUCCCAUAAAUCACCUCCGCAAAUUUUUGUACCCUAUGACCUUCUCUGCAUUCGUGUUGAUCGAUCUCCCACCCUCUCCCGUCUCAUUUCAGAGGCGAAAUUAAGCACUGGCCGGCGGUUUGAACAAGCUGGAAAUUCAAGAUCAUUUCUUGAAUGUAUGCGUACAGACACCUAUACAUAUAUAAUACAUGCACUAUUGCAAUUUUCGUAUGUGGAGCCUUUUCCAUUUUAUUAAAAUUAUAUAUAUAUAUAGAGGAUAUGGUAGGUGAAACAUCCCACACCUAGAAUUGAAGCAUGCAGAGAUAUCAGUACUCUUCAAAGGGUUCACUUCAUAAUCAAAAAAAGUGCAAGAAUUUUACAUUCUUGAUAUCUUGGGACGUGACAUGGAAACAGGAAAAAAAAAAAAAAAUGGGGCAUGAUUAGAGUUGAUGAUUAUAUCGGCUACUUGGCUGAAACAGUAGCUUUGUUGUGCCAUGUUAGGAGGACAUCUUUUAGCCUAGCCUAGCCAAAUUCAACACUAGUAUUAUGAGUAUUGCAUUAACCUUCUGACGACAGUCAAUCUGACUACCAUCAACUCUUCCAAAUUUAUCUGUGAUUGUUCCUAUUAAUUUAAUGAAUGCUUAAGAUGGAAUGGAAACAUUAUUAUUGUCAUUAAGGAGAAUGCUUAUGGCGGGUAUGACAAAAACCUAAAACACCUGGUACGUGGCUCUAUGCAAUACCCUAACAAUCCCCUUCUUGGAGGGACCGCACCAUGAAAAACUGGGACUCUCCGGCCCAUCAAGAAUGGGACACGUCUACACCAAGUGAUGUAACAUCAAUGCCGUACUUUUUGAGGUCUGAUUAAGAGUUAUUUAGACCAAAUUAGGAGCAUCAUUCUACUGCAUUGACGAACGCAGUUGUCACGUACUUAUCAGUGUGCUAAUAUUUGAUUAGUGGACAUCGUGUCAUAGCCUUUACUUUUUCUUUUCUAGCUUGAUUUCUUAAUUUCAGUAAAAGAAUCAAACUCUUAAUUUUAUCUUCUUUUUUUUUUUUGACCAAAUUGAUUUGGAAUUAAUUUAUAACCAAUAUAUACUUUUGAAUUGUUACUGUCAAGUUGCAGACACAAAAAUCCCGGAUGCACCGCACCAUACGUAGAAUGAAAGUUUGAUCCCAUAUACCUUGGAUAUUGAUUCCAUUAGUGAUCUUGAGAAAAUAAAGUCUGGAUCAGCGGAAUUGUGACAUUGAUCCUUUUUCUUUAAAAAAAAUGAAAGCGUAAUCCUAGGGUACAAAUCUACGGUUGUUAGGUCAAGUGAUAAAGAAGCUAAUGUCCCUUAAACAAGAUUUUGGUUCAAUUCUUAUGAACGGAGAAAAUAAAAUCGGGAGAAUCAGCCGUGAAAAGUGUUUAACAGUGCUUAAUUCUGAAUUAAUUAUUUAGGGUCCAAUACUCUAUAAAGUUUACACACAGACAAAAAAAAAAAAAAAAGGAGCCCUAAGGUACGAAAAGAGGCAAGAGUCGUUUAUCCUUUAUUAUUGAAACCUGGAAAAUUAGGAUGGAAAGAGAGCAUUUGCAAGAGAAAGUCAAACGCCUUCGCAGUUAACUGGUUACGUUUGGACGCGUAUACGGAUUCUACAUUUUAUUUCUUUUCCUUUUUCCUGUGCAAAAGUAAAUUCAUGUGAAGCUGAGUUUGCAGAAACAGUGAAAAUCAUGUGCAAAAGUGUCUGAUUAUCGUCCCACUUUAUUGCUUUGCUCAGAUGGUCAAAUAUUAUUUUAUUUGUCUACUUGCUGCAUAUGCUUUAGGUUCUUUUCUUAUGUACAACUUUGACCAAACCCCAUACAGCUUGCUUGCUUCCGUGCCCUUCCUCUUCUUUCUCUGAUUGAGAAAGCUGACAUGAAAUCUAGAAAAUUUUCGCUCCCUUCUAUGUUUUUUUUUUUCAUGGAAGAUUGACCUCAACGAAUCAAACUAUGGCAGCUAGCUCUAUCGCACAUAUUACAAUUUCAUAAACUUGGGUUAAUUAAUGUCUCCGUGCUUGCUGUCAUGACUAAGGCACUCACAGCAUAAAAAGAGUCGCAAAUGCUUACAACUUUUUCUAUAACAGAAGAAGAGACAACAAUUUGUCCAAAUCCGGGAUUUUCUUCCGCGAUGUUAUGCGUAAGUUUCCAAAUCGACCGGCCUACGCAUAGCAUAGAUAUUAGGUGGAAAUACAUCAUCGAAAAAUGCAAUGAGUUUCUGUUUUGAGCUGCUCAAUUGCUCCCAACAAACCCUCCUGAAUUCUAAAUCAAGCUCAUGUAAUUUUCUAUUUGUUGCCAUAUCUCCAGUUGUGGGCGAGACUUCAUGAUUUGUUUAGAACUAUUUUGAGGUGUAUGGAGUUUAAGGAUACUAUUUCAAGAAAUCCCGUGCAUAUUGUUUAAGCUAUAGGUGUGGAUGGCGUUUUCAUGCAUUUGACUUGGGUGGGAUUCAGUCACCAUUACAUGUGGAUGGAGUCUGUGUUAAUGGAGAAUACUCUAAUGGGAUGAUCAGAACGUGGUGACAUAUUACAAGGAAGAAGAAGAUUACCUGGCUGUAAUUGAAAUUCGAGACCAUUCCCUGAAAAGAUCAAAGAUUAAAUUAAAGGAGUAAUGGAGGGAUACGUGGGAGCUUCAAGCAAGAUGAUAAAUAAUUAAACGGGAGCAGAGCGUGUCAUCACAGGAUUAUCAUGGCAGAAUGCUUAAUCUACACCAUGAAUUUUAUAUAUAUAUAUAUAUAUAUAUAUAUAUAUAUAUAUAUAUAAAGAGCUGCUAAUGUUGAACAAGCUACGAUGUUAGGUUGAAUUUAACUGAAGCCAAAAGGAACCCCAAAUUUUAAACUUGUUGUGGUAAGUAAUAAUGGAGACUCUGAUGAGAAGGGACAAAUGGAAGAUUUCUUAUGGUAUCUAAUUGGCCACAAGACCAGUGAACUGUUCAAUUUUUAUAACACCCCAAGUAGAUUACAAAAUUAGAUUAAUUUUGCACUCUAGGAAGAGGAAAUUUUAGUUUAUGUAGUUUUAGUAUUUCAUUAUGAAAAGCCAAUUUUGAUACUUGCUGUUUUGUCAAUUGCAAUAUUGCAAACUUACCGUUUUUAUACGAGAGCCUCGAAGAUUAGGGGAGCAACAAUUUGUGUUUGAUGAACAAAGUAUGCGAGAAAUAUGCCAUCCAUAUAACAAAGACAAAGCCAGGGAAAAAGUCCGCAGAGGCUUUUGCAGUAAUAGAUUGUUUCAUCGGAAAUUGCAAGCAUCCUAAACUAAUUUGUUACCCUUGGAUGGAAUUGAAGCGCUUACAGAGAACGUCUUGCUCUCUCAUUAGACUUUCGACAGACAAUAAUUCAAACAAAGGACUUUUGACAUUAGAACACUAAACCAGACUAAUAAAUACUAGUUCUUCUGUUCACCAGGAAGUUUGUUAUUGACUUAAAAGCCAAUUCAUGGGGUUCAAUUUCAAGAACUUGGACGACUAAACGCACACAAAAAGAAAAAAGGGGACAAAAAGCCUGUACUUAGUACGAAAAGACGUACAGAUUACCAGAAAAGGCUCUCAUGUACGACAGGAGAAAACAUUGACAACGAGCCUACAAACUUGAAUGAGAUUAGCGUCAAGUAUUUGCCAAACUAAUGCAAACUUUUGGAGUUGAUAAUGUACUCAGAGCAGCCUAGCUGGUUAGCAAUAGCAACAAAUGCUGGCAAAUAAAUAUCACAAACAGCACGAAAACGAGUCUUCAAGAUAGUCUGGUGGAACGGACAUCUAAUCCUGGUAGCUUAAGACAAGUCGAAUAUUCUCAUUUAAUAAACCAUAUCAAUAUCCAGAGAGAGAGCUACCUCAAGUUCAAAAGUGUCUGAAAAUCAUACAAACAAAAAAUAUCUGAUGAAUAAUAUGAACGAGAGUAGCUUCAGAACCUCUUACAAAUAAUGAACCCUUACUACUUGCAACAACUUCCUCUGCGGUCUGCAAUUUUAUUGCAUGAUGAUUCAUAACAUCUGUUUCUGCACCAAUGAACCUCAGUAUGGUAAAACAAGGUAUUUGGUACAAUAGCAGGAAUCUGAAAGAAUGAAGCCAUCAAGGGCACAUAAAUGUAGAAAUCAAUGUGAAACAGGCACCAAAAAAAAAGGGAAUGAAGGAUGUUGUCAAAAGAGGUCUCAAGUGCCUUGUACUAUGAAUCCACCAAUGAACCUGAUGAUAUGAUCUCUAGUAUAGCUCGGUGUAAGCUGUCGUUUGUCACAAGAACACCACCUGACGGAAAUAUGAUUCUCCUUUUGACUUGAUCUGCUGCAAAAUCAAGUUCACUCCCUCUCCAGUCAGUCACCUGUUAACAAGCCAAUCCUUUCCAUCUUUCACCAACAAUAAAGUAGAACUGUAUAAAAUGCAGAUUUAUACUUGUGGACCUAUGAAUUCUGCAUCAGGAAAAUAACCAACUUUUCUUCUGUACAGCACAUAAUCAAAUGAAAGAGAAUAAAAGCUUCUUUCCAAGCGUACAAGUAGACUACCUUAAUUGACAAAGAUACUACCAUAUUGGCAUGAAAGAACAACAAAAGGUAGGAAAAGUUGAAGGUUCCAAGUACAACCUCAACAAAGCAGCCCACACUGAGGCUAAUGGAAUAUGAAAAAAUAGUUCGCUUUAAAUGUUUGCCAUGCAUUUGCAUGUCCGUUCUCCUGGUGCAUGUAUGCAGCAGAACUAAGUUUCAGGUUCCAAUCCCUUCUGUAUCUUUUCAAAAUUUUCCCCUUUUUUAAAAAAAAAUAAGUAAGAAUGUUGUUCCACUAUAUGCUGCAACAGAUUCAUUCAAAUACAAUCACCAAUGUAGAUUUCACAAUCUUUCAGGUGCGGAGUUUCAUGAAUUAGCUAUUCAGUCCGAUGGGGUAAACUAGUACACACAGAAAAAGAAAUGAAGUUGGGUAGUGUACCUUUCCCCCUGCUUCAUGGACACAAAUAAUACCAACUGCAUGAUCCCAAGCCUGCAUUUUCAAUGUAACGACAUCAAUGAUGUUACUGAAAUCACUCUUAACAAUGGCUUGAAGCUGUUGUAAUACCUUUAUAGCUUUUCCAGCUUUUGCACCUUGGAUGAAAACAGAUGCCCUCCCUGAAGCCACCAUCAGAUACUUGCACAAACUGUACACAGGAAAUAAAGACCAUCUGUUUAACUAUGAAAUUAUUAUUAAACAUCUCAUCAAAUUGUUUACACAUUCUACUCAUCUUUUUAUUUUUCUGGAAUAGAUUUGAAGAACUCACUGAACUGAGGAGAAUAUACAAGUUUAGAGGUUAUUUGAUCACUAAAGGGACAACAAAGGAGGUUGAAUUAGAUCAUGUGCCAUGUUUUAUUGACAACUCCAGAUUGCCCACAGAAACAGAGAAACCAGGGGAAUAUGCAUUGGACGGAUGAGGACAGAGAAAAACACGUCUGACACUAGAAAACUGGACAAAGAAGUAAAGAUCUUGUGGUGCCAUUGUGAAAUUCUCAUGCUUGAGAUUGAUUGUGACAUCUGACAGAACCCCAAGGAAUAGGGAAAAGACUAUGGUGAGAUGUAUGAAACGGUCAAAGAACAGAACAAAGAAUGAUGGUAGAUUAUAUAUAGCACUUGAUAUAACGGACCACAAGUAAAUGAUGCUGCGCAAAAUUUUUGUUACAUCACAGAUCCAUAUUAUCCUUGAGAAAACGCUACUUCAGGUUGGAAAUGGUGUAGUGGAGCUCACAGCAGAACAAUCAGACCAAGGAUUGACUAGGCAAGGGAAAAUUCCAAGAUCUGAUGCACUGAGUUCUUUCGAGGUAGACAUAGAACUAGGCAUUUUAGUGGAACAUUAGCAAACUAACAAGAAUCCUUACAAAGUAGCGUCUGAAAUGAAAGUACAUGCCGAACCUUCUGAUACAUCCAAUAAAAUUAUAAGAUAUCCAAAAAGAAGACAUGAGAAUUUGCUCCCCGCUCAUCCAAUGACAGGAUAAAACCAAUUGAGUUCACAGCUUUAAGCUAUUUCAAGUAAAUCAAAUAAUUGAAGAAUGCCAUUCUAAUAAUCCAUGAGAUAAAAUCAAACCUUCCACAGCAAGCAGGUAGAAGGAGAACCUCCUUACUCCCAACAUACUCAGCUUCAGUUGUUGCAUUAUAUAAAAGCGAUAAUGGCAGUGAUUCCCAUGUUUGACUAUCAGGAAUACAAAAGCGUGCUUCAUGAACUAUCUGACAAUCAUCAACAAAGCAUCUGAUCCAAUUAUCUAGUAAUCCACCCAUCAUAUUGGUUGUUUCCCACAAAGUGUUUCUCCAUGUUCCACACCCUAUGUGUGAGAUCAUAAUUAUUCCAGACAUGGAGACAGCAUUUUCAUUUUCCUGGUUUUUUGAGCUAGACUUGUCAGGGUGGCUCUCCUGCCAGUUAGGGCAGCCCAUGACUCCUAAAACAAUCUCUCCAUCAACUACAAGAGCCAAGCCUACCUGAAAAUUCAGUUCACGUGCUUACCUCAAUUUGAAAAAGAGAACAAUUGAAAUAAUUGGAAAUUCUACUCCAAGUGAUUGCGGAGCGUAUAAACUAUUCGAAUUGGCACGAAAAAUGCAUAAAGGUAGGUGCUACUAAGAAAGUGAAGUCAAAGAGUUGACUAUUUAUAUCUUGCACAGAAAAUACAUUAGCAGAACACUGGAUUGUAAGCAACCCUACUAUUAUCUAUAAGAUGUUGUCUCAAUAGAUGGAGAACCACUCGAGCAAAGCACAACUUACCACAUAAAGAGCCUCACUACCUCUUACAAAUCCUCUGGUACCAUCUAUGGGAUCCAAUACCUAAAACAUGUCAUUGACAGUAAUCAUUAGGAGAAGGCUAUGAGAAAGAAACUAUAACAUCAAAUGUAAAACAACAUUCAUAUCAUUUUCACGUGCAGGGAAGUAAUUGGAUAUGUUAUACACAUUUCAACAUUGUCAGAGGAUCCGCCAUCAAUCACACAUGCAGAGAGACACAAGGACAAAUUAACUGACAUAUUUGGGAGUUAAAGGCUCAGGUUAACAGCUAAAGAGAAGCUCUGCAGCCAAUUCUAUUAUUUCAGCCUUAAACACUAUUUAAAUACCAAUUUUCUCCUUCCUCAAGCCAACUCUUGUUUGUAACUACCUCUAUCUUCUGUCUAAAAGUUUUCACUCAGUUCUGAUUUUUGUUUUAAAUAUGUUAUACACAUUUUCGAGAACAAUCUCGUCCGCAAAACAAAACAAUGAAAAGCAUAACAGCUAUUUAUGGUAUCAACAUAGCUGUUCUGGGUUCAUUGAAUAAGAAUUUAAAAAGUCAAAAUAACUCACCCAAUAAGUGGCUGGCUUAGGUCCAAAAGCAUAGGCAUCCUUGCCCCCUCGGUCAAUUGCCUCUAAAACAUCAUCUUGUGUCAGUUUAUCUCUGGAAGUUGCUAUAUCAGCAAGCACAUCAACCACAGCAUCAACCAGAUUGUUCGUACGCAGAAACAUGGAGUCCUCUUCUGCUACCAGAGGAAUAGAAGGAAAUAAUUUGCUCAUUUCUACAAAAGCAAGGGGAUAAAAAGUCAUAAAUACCAGACAGAGAGGAGCAGUUGACGUAAAUCAUUUUCCAUGGACAAACACGAAGUUUCUGUUUCAAGAUUUAUUGUAUAACUCGACAAAUUUGUUUAAAAAUGAGUUUCCAGAACUGGCUCCCUGAAAAUCUUACUUUAAAUGAAGCAAGCCAUGAAGCAUAAACAGUGCUAAACCCAAUAAAGCAGACGGAAUCUGUUAUUCAUCACUAUGCAAGUCUUGGUGAUUCUAUGAUUAGCUGUAGCACUACGCCCAAUUCUCUUGUCAAUGCAGUUCAGUAACAAUGAUGUAUCCGAUAAAAGAAAUUUGGCAAAAGUCACUUUAUUAGUCAUCUAGGCAUUUAUAACAUGGACUAAAAUGUUAAAAGAAUGGGCUAAAGAAGUUUCAAUGACUAACAAAAGGAAGCUCUGAGUAAUCUUGUACACCAUUCGUGAAUGCAGCCUCUGGAAAACUCUUACUCCUAUGUGUACUGAAGACAGUUUUCAAUCGGGUCAGGAGGUUGUAAAGUACAUAUCUUCUUGCAAUAUAUCUCAUGACUCUAAUGUGGAUAGAGUACAUAUUUGUUGUACUUAUCUGUUGCUAAUCAGCACCAGAACCACAAACUCACAAGAAUUGUGAAGUGCAGUACUGCACCAAAACUCGCAAACUUUUAUAUAACAACUAAAACUUUAGAUCUGCUAUAGAUGCAAUAUCCUGUUAAAAAGACGAAUGUGGUGGUACUCAUGCAAAGGAGCUUAGUAAAAUGCAAUAAUUUCACCACCAUGGCUGGAGGGCAGGAGAAAAGACAUUAUUACCUAAGCUAACAAGAGCCUGCACCCCAAAAUCUGCAAUUGUCACAGGGGUUUGAUCAUUUUUCUCGAGGAUACUUCCAUCACUCGAGAACAAAGAUUUUUUCACCUAAACGAUUUGACACAAUCCCAUGUUCUCAAUAAAACAAAAAUGAAAUCAUUUUUUUUUUCCACCAAUAGAACCAACUGCUAACUUGACGAAUGAACUUAUAACAAAAAUAAUCAAGAUAAGUACUGUAUUUUUUUUCUGGGCUCAUGAUGUCAAGAAAUCAUAAAAUGAUAAAAUAGAUAAACUAGUUUGAAAAGAUAUGCGUAUUUCCAGAAAAGAUUUGAAACUAAAUUUUUUUCUACGGAAGGAUCCAUUUGACUGUGAUAUUGAACACAUGAUUUUCCAUGCACUUUCUUCAACUAGUUAUUUUAUUAUCUCACAAAUACGCUUGUGUCCGAAAUGCAACAGUGAAACUUUUUUGUAAAACUCUUCUAAGAAAUACCAUCCAAAAGUAACCUAAAUUUUGGGGAAAAAAAUUAAUAUUCUGCUCCAAAGCUUUAAUUACACUAUCCAUAGUAUAAAUAACAAUGAAGCUAUGAAAGCAAAAAUGAAGUCUUAAUUUUGUCUCAAUAAAUUAAAUACCUGGAAAAAAUAGGUUCACAAAUUGAAUAUGAAUAUCUCAGCUAGCAAAAUGAAAAACAGUAAUCAUAUACAAGCAUCCGAAAAUUAAAGAAAGGUAGGGAAAGUAAAAGGUCAUAUUACUAUAAAAUAAAGACCAUAGUUAUUAAAAUUGAAAAAAAAAAAAAAAAGAGUUGCAGAGAUUACAUGGACGCAGAGACGACAAGCUCUGUCGACGACGUCGACUGCAGCUUCAAGAUGCUUGUAAUACACUGCUUUCUCCUCCGAGAAAGGUAGACUCAAGCUCGACCUGAUGAAGGUAAAAUUUCAAAAUGUAAUUUAAUUCACAGAAUUAACUCUGAAAAUCUAGAAAAUGUGCCAAAUUUCAGAAAUGAGAAAAGAAGAGUGGUGAUAUUAAACCUGACUGUGAAAGAGCGUCGACGAAGAGGUGCAGGGAAGUUAAGGUGAGGAUUAGCCGUAGGUAAUCGGGAGAUUGAGUAGCGGAGGAGAUCCAUGAGGUGCCUCAAUUACAAGAAAGAUGGAUUUGGAUUUUAUUUUGCCUUUAAUUGGUGGCCCGCCGGUGAUGUACAACACCUGAUGCCCGCGUUACUUGAAUUAUUGGCGGAGGUUUACUCAGGAUAGGAGCCGCAGCGCGGGCGAGGACGGCCAGUUUGUGCGUGUUGGUUGCCUGGUUGGUGUCCGGACUUUUCAGACUUCAACA
rnacentral:lncRNA from 1 species